rnacentral:lncRNA from 1 species
ACUCUCCCAGCCCCUUUCAGAGAAAUAUAUGUACAUAUGUUAUCCGCACUUGCUACCACACAUUUAGAAGCACAGAUGGAGCAAGAAAGGAAAGUCAUUAAGGAUCCCCAUCUGGCUAUGUAAGCCUUAAUUAUUUAGAAAGCACACAUCUUGUAAUCCUUACAAGGCCCACGGAGGUGAAUUUGUUAGGUUAUAAUUUUUUGAAUGGCAUGAUAAGAUGAGAUGAUGAACAUGUAGUCACUAACAGUGGUUUAAUCUAAGUGAUCAUCAACAAAGAAAACAAGACAACAGCUGGAACCAAAGUAAACAGGAGAUAAGAAAGAGAGAGUACCUGCAAGUUUCCCUUUCCCUUCUCUCUUAAGUUGUGGCUGCUGUUCUGGAUCAGUAAUCUAGUCUUUUUUUUUAUUUGUUUGCUGAAAAAUAAUUUUUUUUUAAAUAAAUUUUUAAAAGGUAAUUUUUAAAAAAGUUAGUUAUUUUUUGAUAUUUGAUAGUGCAAUAAAAAAUAAAUUGAAAAAUAUUUUCCGGUGUUUGGUUAUAUCAUGAAAAAUAAACUGAAAAAUAACUUAUUAAUGUUUUUUUUUUCUUAAAUUUAUUAAAAUAAUAAGGAACAAAUCUUACAAAUUAAAAGGUUAAAUGGGAAUGAAAUUAAAAAAUAUAUAAUUUCAUAAAUUAUCUCAAAUAAAAUAAAUAAUGAUCAAAAUAAUAGAGAUCAAAUCUAAACAAUAAUAAAAAAAAAGAUGAAGAAAUUAAAAUAAUAAUAAUAAUAAAUAUUUCAUAAAUUAUUUCAAAUAAAAAAUAAAAAGAAUAAUAAAAAAGAAUAAGGACCAAAUUUGAUAAAUAAAAAAUUUCAAUAAAAAAAUAAUAAUAAAAAAAAACAAAUAACAAUUAUAAAAAAGAGGAUCAAAAUUAAUAUAAAAAGAUCAAAAUUAAUAUAAAAAUUAAAUUUUAAAAGAUAAAAUUGAAAAAUAAAUAUUUAAAAUAAAAUAUAUAUAGCAAUUAAAAAUUUAAAGAUCAAAUUUGAUAUAAUUAAUAAAUAAUAUAAUAUUUUUAAAACUUUUAAAACAUAUUUUCCACCCAAAGUUUUCAAAAAACAUAACAUAAGUGGUUUACUCAAACUUUUAAGACAGUCCUUAAGUCAUAAUAUUAUAAAUAAAAUAUUUUAUUAUAUAGGAAUGCGAGGUAUAGACACUCGCAUAAUCCAAUUCAUCCACUCUCGCUGUGUGCCUGCUCUGGCCCUAUCUCUAUCCUCUCGCAUCCAAAACUAGCAUCAACACCACCCACCAAUAAGAAAAAGGCACGUGGAGGAUCAUGACUCUGAAUCAGCUACUGGGUCGGCUACCGAGUGGAGUUCCGUUUUGAGCCAUUGAGUAUUGCUGUGGAGUGGAGGGACAUUGAAGCUGCACAGUGUUUGGUGUCUUACAAGUGCUAAUCCCUAAUAGCAAGAGGUUUAUUGAGUGGGGGUUCUAUAAGAAUGGAGGUUCCAUGGUGUGAUAGUAAUAGGAUUCUGUUGUCAAAAGAGUAUGUGAGGUUUCCCGUUGAGUUGGCUCAUCGGAAAAUUGGAAGAGAACUCGAGCGUUUUUUAGUUGUUUAAGAGAAAACAGCAAAUGGGUUUGUGGAGUUCACCAUCUUGGAAAAUGGUGAGCAGCAACAAGGUGACAAGUAAGAUAAGAUAUUUAAUAUAUUUUAUUAUAAAUACAAGAUUUUAUAAAUAAAAAUCAAUUAAUAUAAUAAUAACAUAUUACAACGGAAAAAAAAGUGAAAGCCAUUACAAAUAUUUAUAAAUAAAAGAUCUCAUGCUAUACAAAGAAAGAAGGAAGAUUACUAGAGAUACAAAACUAUUUUCCUGAUAAGCUUUUCAAAAAAAAAUAAAAAACAAUUUGAAAAGCUUUCCACUUUUGUUGUUGAAUUUUAAUUCUAUCUUUUAAUUUGAUAUUUUUCAAUCAUAAUUAAUUUUAAAAGUUUUUAUUUUGAUGAUUAUUAUAUUUUAUUUUUAUAAAAAAAUAUAUCUAUAUUAAUUUAUUGUAAAAAUUUAAUAUAAUCAAAUUAAUUUUUAAUUAAAAUAAAAUAUAUUCAAAUUAUAGAAUCCUCUUAAUUAUAUUUUCAAGACAUGUCCACUUUUUUUAUUAUUACAAGUGAACUUGUCUGGAAAGGAUAUAUGUAUGGAAAGGAUAUAUGUAGAAGCAAAAAAGAAUUACCAAUUAAAUUUUACCGUGUAUUAUUUUUUAUUUUAUUUUUAUAUAAAAAGAUGAAAUAAAAUAGAUAAAAUAACAUAAAAAAUAAAUCAUUACAUAUAUUUUGGUAUUGACACAUAAAAUAAUAUAUCUUAUUAUAAAUCCAAGAUUUUAUAAAUAAAAAUCAAUUAAUAAAAUAAUAUCAUAUUACAGGGAAAAAAGAAAAAAAAAGUGAAAGUCCUGACAAAUAUUUAUAAAUAAAAGAUCUCAUGCUUUCCAUUAUAAAGAAAGGAGGAAGAUACAAAACUAUUUUCAUGAUAAGCUUUUCAAGAAAAAAGAAAAAACCAUUUCAAAAGCUUUCCAGCUUUUUUAAUGUUACGGUUCAAAUCUGAAAAAGCAAACCUCUACUUUGGGUAUGCUGACGUCACACAAGUUCUAGACCUCUCUUUGCAAAAUACCAACAAUCGGCAUUGCCAUCAUUGGUUUUAGUAUGGAAACAACAAUAAUAAUUUAUAAAAAAACGAGAAGUUAUUUCUACUCUGGUUACGUGUGCUGCAUCAUCAUCAUCAUCAUCGCUACUGUUGUGGGCAUUGAUAACUUCAUCCUUUGAUUGGAUAUCAUCAUCAUCCUCUCCUUCCUCUUGAUGCAACCAUCGUUUACCAAUCGUCCUUACUUGAAUAGUUGGACCAUGUGGACGCACUGAAAUACUCACGUCAUCACCAUUAUCAAAUGUAGGAUCACUGCCCCCUAAUUUCCUGUGCAAUAGCGAUUGCAUUUCACGAACACAACAAGCGUACCUCAUAGGGAAGACAAAGGCUAUACAAAGCAUGGACCGAUCACUGGUAUUGUUUCUGAUUUCAAUAUAAAAAGGACCAUGUACCCUGACGUCAAACUAAACCUUGUAAACAGAUUAAAGCCACAUAUCUGGUGCGCAGGAGGUGAGAAUAGUUUGAAUGAAAAGUUAUCUACAAACUCAUUCUGAAUUUGCCAUUUAUCUUCUUCUUCCUCCUCAUCAAACCACCUCGACUUCUCUUCUUCAUCAAAUACAGGUACGACAACGCAUAAUAAGCCAUGAUUAAAUACUACCUGUACCACCAAAACAAAGUCUAUAAAAUGAGCAAAAGAAAAGUAUUCAAAUGUAGAUUUCCAAAACAAUAAAAUGGGAGAGGGAGGACCUGAAAUCUCGAUGGCUGUAUUUGAGCACUAAACGUUUCCAUUAUUCUGAACAUAUGAGAAUCAAAUUUUUGGAUUAAUUCUUGCUUUAUCCGAUCUUGGAACAGUAAAAAACAUACACAGAGUUUUCAAAGGGAUUCAAUUGUUUUAUUUUCACUUAAAGCUUCCUCUGUUACAAGCAAAAUAUAUAUAGCUACUCUACAUAAGAAUCCCUACGUAUCAGAUCCUAUAGUUUAGGACUGAUUUGCUAAUUACAUGGAAACCUAUUUCUACUAGGAUACAAUCACGUAUUUACUGGGAUGCUGGAAUAUAUCUUUCCAGCUAAUAUCAAAGACAAUGUAGGACUUGAAUGCUGCAAAUCCAACUUGGAGAUAAUUACCGUAAUUGUUAGCACUCCCCCUCAAGUUGGUGCGUAGAUGUCACUCAUUCCAAUUUCGCUGAGAAUUGCACUAAACGCGUGGUUUGACAGUGCCUUGGUUAGUAUAUCAGCGAGCUGGUCUUGAGAUCGAACAUGAGGAACUUCAAUUAGCUUUUCUUCUAGCUUUUCCUUGAUAAAAUGCCUAUCAACUUCAACAUGUUUAGUACGAUCAUGUUGAACAGGAUUAUGAGCAAUAUCACAUGCUGCCUUGUUGUCACAAUACAACUCCAUAGGAUUGACUGGCUUAAUAUGUAAAUCUAUCAUCAGAUUUCUAAUCCACAACAAUUCGCAUAUAGCUUUAGCCAUCCCUCUAUAUUCAGCCUCAGCACUUGAUCUAGCAACUACCUCCUGUUUUUUACUUCGCCAUGUAACCAAGUUUCCUCCUACAAACGUGAAAUAACCAGAAGUAGAACGUCGAUCUUGAAUAGAACCAGCCCAAUCAGCAUCUGUAUAACCAUUAACAUCCAAAUUGUGUCCUUUUGUGAACAAAAUUCCUUUUCCUGGAGACGACUUCAAGUAGCGUAAGAUACGGGUGACAGCAUUCAUGUGUUCUUCGCUUGGAGAAUGCAUAAAUUGACUGACCACACUCAAUGAAUAAGCUAAAUCAGGUCGAGUAUGUGCAAGAUACAUUAACCUUCCAACCAACCUCUGAUAGCGUUCUUUGUUAGUCGGAACUUGAUUGGAAUCACCAUGUAGUUUCAAGUUCUCUUCCAUAGGAGUGCUAGCUGGAUUGCAUGUUGUCAUACCUGUUUCACUUAGUAAGUCUAAGACAUAUUUUCUUUGUGAAAGAAAAAUACCUUUAUCUGACCGUGACACUUCAAUGCCCAAGAAAUACUUCAACUCUCCAAGGUCUUUCAUCUCAAACUCACGGGCAAGGUGCUCGUGUAAUCUCUUCCUCUCUCCUGGAUCAUCUCCGGUUACUAUUAUAUCAUCAACAUACACAAUGAGAAUUGUAAUGUGUUUUUCAUUAUGCUUCAAGAAUAAAGUGUGAUCCGAGUUACUUUGUGUGUAACCAACUGUCUUCAUAAAAUUUGUGAACCUUCCGAACCACGCUCUGGGACACUGCUUUAAACCAUAUAGGGAUUUUCUCAACCUACAGACCUGUUUAUUACCUUCCGUUUGUUGUUUACAGCUGGGAGGUAAUUCCAUAUACACUUCUUCUUGGAGUGUUCCAUGUAGAAAUGCAUUCUUUACAUCAAAUUGAUGUAGCGGCCAGUCAAGAUUAACUGCUAGAGAUAGUAUAAUACGAACAGUAUUAAGUUUGGCCACCGGUGAAAAAGUCUCCAUAUAAUCAAUUCCAUAUGUUUGAGUAUAUCCCUUGGCUACCAGCCUUGCUUUGCAUCGUUCAAUAGUUCCAUCAGCUUUGUAUUUAAUGGUGAAGACCCACCUACACCCAACAGGUUUCUUUCCUUUCGGCAAGUCAACAACGUCCCAUGUUGAGUUUUGUUGAAGGGCUUUCAUUUCUUCAUUCAUUGCCUCCCUCCAUCUAGGAUCAGCCAAGGCUUCCUGCACAUUGUUAGGAAUAGAUACAACGGAUAAUUGAUGUACAAAUGCCAUUUUUUCGUUUGACAAUCUAUGAUAGGAUACAUAGUUAUUCAUAGGGUAUUUGAGUUUUGAGUGAAGGGUUGGUUCAUAGUUCACCUUGGGUUUACCUCUUGUGACUCGAUUAGGUAGUUCUUUUAGGGACUCAACUGGAUGAAUAUUAUGAGACUCAAGUCUGGAAUCAACCGGGGAAGACAAUUGGUUAACUGGUACACUGUGGGAAACUGUCGGCCCCUCCAAGGUAUCCUGGUUACCAUCAACGAUUUCUGGACCAUUUUCACUGGUAUACUCUUCCCUGUCCUGGUGUUCCUCUGUGUUCUCAUUAACUGGACAUUCUUCAUUAGUCUCCAAGCUAUCCAAAGUAUCAAUCAGUUGGUUACCAUGUGCAAUGAUAUCCACAUUGUCUGUAGGCUUAGUUGCUAUCUGCACUUCAUCGUUCUCCUUAGUUUGAGAUGAAUAAUACAUAGUAGUUUCAUGGAAGACCACAUCCAGAGUAACAUAAAGUUGGCGAGAAGGAGGGUGAUAACAUCGAUAGCCUUUUUGGUGCAGAGCAUAGCCACCAAACACACAUCGAAGUCCCCGAGGUUCCAACUUAGUUCUCAAACCUUUAUGAAGAUGUACAUAAGCUACACAUCCAAAAACUUUAGGAGGUAAGUUUGGCAUUGUAGGAGCACUUACAAGGCGAUGGAGAACCUCGAAGGGGGUUUGGAAUUGCAGAGAACUAGAAGGUACCCUGUUGAUAAUGUAUGCUCCGGUAGUAACAACUUCUCCCCAGUAACUAGUAGGCAUGUGAGCUUCAAAUAAGGAGGCACGAACGACCUCAAGGAGAUGACGAUUUUUCCGUUCAGCCACCCCAUUCUGUUGAGGGGUGUAAGGGCAAGUUGUUUGAUGAAUAAUGCCAUGUGUGUUCAAGUAAUCUUUCAAGCUGUGAUUGAUAAACUGUCCCCCAUUAUCAGUCCUGAUCACCUGAAUAUUGGUCUGAUACUGUGUUGCUAUCAUUUUGUGGAAUUGCUGGAAUAAAGAACUCACUUCACUCUUUGAUUUCAUUAAGCAAAUCCACGUCAUGCGGGUGUGAUCAUCAAUGAAUGAAACAAACCAACGUGAUCCAUUUAGAGAAGGAGUGUUUGUUGGUCCCCAUACAUCCGAGUGAACAACCAUAAAAGGUGCAGGAUUUUUAUUCAUACUAAUAGGAAAUGAAACACGAUGACUUUUAGCACGUUCACAUACAUCACACUUAAAAUCUGAAACAAUCAAUUGUGAAAAUAAUUGUGGGAAUAAUUUCUGUAAAUAUCCAAAGGAUGCAUGGCCUAAACGCCUAUGCCAUAGCCAAAUUUCAGACUUCUGGUGUUCAUUAGCUGUAUUAGUUGAGAAGACUUGUGCCAACUGAUUUGAGCUUGCUGGAAUCAGAUCCAGGUAGUAGAGCUUCCCUCUCCUAGUACCAUAACCAAUUGUGUUCCGAGUUUGAAUGUCCUUGAAUAUGCAAAGGUUCGGCCAAAAAAUUACAACACACAUCAAGGCACAAGUUAUUUGAGCAACAGAUAAUAAAUUAUGAUUGAGAUUCGGAACAAUAAGAACUGACUCUAAACUCAGAUUUUUUUAAGAGUAACCGUGCCUUCUCCUGACACAGAAGAAGGAGUUCCAUUGGCUGUGAAAACUACAUGGUGGUUUGAGGGUUGUAUGGUCUGAAUAUUAUUGUUAAACGUCAUAUGAUUUGUGGCACCUGAAUCAAUUAUCCAUUCACUAUUUCUAACAGAAGUGGAGGUAUGAAGAGCCUUACCUGCAUUUAUAGCAUCAGCACCUGUGUUCUCAGCAGUGUCGCGUGCAUUCCCAGUAAUAGCACCAGAAGAGGAGUCUUUCCCAGAUUUAUUGCCAAACAUAUGAUUUGGUUCUGCCACAGCAACAGACACAUGAGGAUUUGCCUUUAAGUUUCUCUUACGGGGUGCUUUGGAAAAAUCCCACCAUUCUGGAUAUCCAAUCAAUUCAUAGCAGCGUAGCUUAGUGUGUCCAGUUUCACCACAGUGAGUGCAUAUGCGUUCUGGUCGUGCAGCUCCUAUUUCAUAGCUGCGAUUUUGCGAUCCAAUUGAAUGAUUAUGAUUCAGUGAACUAGAAGCUCGAUCUGGUUUCAGGUUCUGUGGUCGUUGAUACUUACUUCGGCGAGCUAUCAUAGCAGAUGGCUCUAAGUGUCCAGGUUCCCCAUUCAGUGUGUUUCGACGGAUAGAGUCACGGCGAACAUAAGCAUAUGUUUCUUCAAGGUCUAGUGCAGAAUGCGAACAUAAGCAUAUGUUUCUUCAAGGUCUAGUGCAGAAUCUCUCCUUAGGAUCUCACCACGAAUUUGUUCAAAUUCUUCAUCAAGGCCAUUCAGAAAAAUAUGCACCCGCAGUCUCUCAACUGAUUUUUUAUAGGCAAUGACAUCAUCGGGAUCUUUCAUAACAAUCUUGUCACGAUGAUCUAGUUCUUGAAAUAUUUCUACCAAAUCACCAUAAUAGGUAGAGAUAGGACGACCAACCUGUUUGGUGGAGAACGCACGUUGGUUCAAGGUAAAUAGUUGUGAUUCAUCUGCCCCAUCAUAGAAUGCUUUGGCUAGAGCAUUCCAGAUUUCAUGUGCAGUAGGCAAUCUAAGAUAGCGUUUCAUAAUUUCUGGUGACAUGGAGGUCAACAACCAUCCUUUAAUCUUUUGAUUCUCAGCAUACCAUUUAGCAUAGGAUGGAUCAGUUUUUUCUGGGAUUGUGUUGCUUACAAGGUAUUCAAGUUUCUCUCGUCCUGCAAUUUGCAUCUCCAUGAUUUGAGACCAGACAUCAUAGUUGCUUUCAGUAAGGGUGACAUUGGUUGAGAAACUGGAAUUCUCUGACUGAACCUGGAUAACUGGAAAAGAGGAUGAUUCGGUUUUGUCAUUGGCCAUGGUACGAGAAGGAGGAUUCGUAAGAUUUAUAAGGUUUGUGGGUGAUAUAAAGAGCAGAUAAUAAACCUGCUCUGAUACCAAGUAAAAAACGUACGCAGAGUUUUCAAAGGGAUUCAAUUGUUUUAUUUUCACUUAAAGCUUCCUCUGUUACAAGCAGAAUAUAUAUAGCUACUCUACAUAAGAAUCCCUACGUAUCAGAUCCUAUAGUUUAGGACUGAUUUGCUAAUUACAUGGAAACCUAUUUCUACUAGGAUACAAUCACGUAUUUACUGGGAUGCUGGAAUAUAUCUUUCCAGCUAAUAUCAGAGACAAUAUAGGACUUGAAUGCUGCAAAUCCAACUUGGAGAUAAUUACCGUAAUUGUUAACAGGAACUCGACUAAGUGAUCACAACCAUCUGCUAAAAUCCAACGGUAUCGAUUUGCAAGGCUUUGCAGUGAACAACAAAAGGACACAUCUAACGAACCCAAAUGGGAUGGAGUGCCUGAAGCAUUUUGCAAUUUCUUAAACAUAGGUAAUUGAGUAGACCAAGAUCCUUGAUGCUUUCUGGAAGAAAAUGAAUUUGAGUUCCACUUAAAUCUAGACUCUCCAAGGAGCGUGCCAGUGAAAACAAGGUAAAUCUCAACAUUUUCCAUCACUUUGAAAACCUAGAGGAAAAGAAUAGCUUCAAUGGAAGAGAUGUAAUGUACGAUGCACUUGCAACAAUUCCAUCACUUUGAAGCAAGCUACGCCCCUGAUGAUGCUCUAACUCCAUAUUCAAGAUGUCAAGAUUUGAGCAACCACCUAAAACCAGCUUUUGAAGUGAAUUCAAUCUACUCAUUUCUUCUGGAAGCUCCAUAAGACCUGUACAAUUUCUUAGAUUUAAGAUCAACAGUUUUUGUAAAUCACCAAUAGAUUCGUGAAUUUGAACCAAACGGAUGCAGUCUUCAAGUAUUAGCUUUUCAAGGGCUGGGAGACCCGACAAGUCAGGGGUUCUAAUGAGAUCAAGAGAGUGACGUAGAUCAAGAACUUUCAAUUUUGGAAGAAACUGUGACAAUACAUGAAUUUAGUUGUUAUAUAUUGAAAACGAGAGAAAUAGCUAUAGAGAUAGCUAUAGAAACUGUGACAAUAUAUGAAUUUAAUUUAUACAUACCAGUUUGCCUUUCCAAGCAUCAACUAGACAACUUCUGGAUAGAUCAAGAACCACGAGCUUCUCCAAGCAUACGUGAUUUGGUAUGGAUCUCGAAGACAAUCCAUGCCAACAUAACCAUAUCAAAUUCUUAGGAAAGUGCUCAAAACUUCCAUGAAAAUUAGUGUAGUUUAGUUGGAGAAAUUUUACAUCUAUCAUCUUUCUAAAAGCAUCCGUGUUGAGGAUAGGAAACAAACUUGUUUGUAAUUUUUCCCCAUCGGAAAAAUCAGAAAGCCAUUGUUGAAAGAAGUUAAGCCUGCGACGCUUUCGGCUUACACAUUGAAUCAGUAUAGACAACUUUUGCAUAAUUAUCUUCCAUUAAUGCAUGCAUAUCAAUAGUAAAGCCACGCAAUUUUUCAGCAUCCUGCAUAAUAAUAUUAAAAGUACAUGAGAAAGGAAAGUAAAUGAAAGAAGAUGUUAAGGCACCACAAACCAUUUAAGUAGACAUAUAAAAAAAUUGAGCUACUUACAAUAGUUCCUUUCAAAAUGGUAAAAGCAUCCUCGUGACGCCAUAUUCUUUGACAUUUGGGAGAUUCUUGACGAGCAAUUUCCCUUCCCAUAUCUCUUACUAGUUGAUGCAUCCACAACCUUUGAUCAAUGUUGAUUUCAACAAGACAUCUAUCGAUGAGAUUGUCAAUCCCAAAUCUUGCACCUUUAUCGAGUCCAUCUAGUAUCCUAACUACAUCAUCCACAUCCAUUCCAUUGAAGAAACAUGAGAUAUCAAGGAAUAAGUUCUUCGGAUAAUCACCAUCAAGAAAGUCGUAACUUAUUCGAAGAACCUUUUGAACUUCAAAAUUAGGAAUCACUUCCAAUUGUUGUAAUGCACUUUCCCAUAUUUCUCUUCCUUUUCCGGACAAUGAGGAGCCAAUAACUCCAAGAGCUAAUGGAAGUCCAUUACAGUGACGUACUAUUCUCCAAGAGUCUUCUACAAAACCAUCAACAGGGUCAGCUUGUCCAAAGGCAUUCCAACUAAAAAGCUCAAAAGAUUUUUCAAUAUCUAGCGGUUCGACUUUGCACCGGACCCACUCAAUAUCAUUAGCUGAAAACAGACCCUUAUUUCUGGUUGUUACAAUGAUUUUACUUCCUUUACAAAGCCAGUUUUGCAUGCCAACGAUUUUAUUGAAUUGUUCCCUUUUGUCCACAUCAUCUAGAACAAUAAGAGUUCUUCUGCAACAUAAGACAUCCUUAAUCUUCAGAAUUCCUUCAUCAGGAUCAUUUAUCUCAUCAACAGUCUUUUUUAGGAUGUCGGAAAGAAGUUGCCUCUGUAGGCAAACUAUAUGCUUUGAUCUAAAAUUUGACAGGAAGCUCUUUCCUUCAAAUUUAUAAAAGUUCUGGUUAUAAACACUUUUAGCUAUGGCUGUCUUUCCAACUCCACCAAUUCCAUAGAGUAAAGCAAUGGCAGCACCAUGGGAUCCAUCUUGCAACCAUGAGUUGAUAGCUUGUACUAGAGCAUCUCUUCCAAUGAAAUGAAGGGGGACAUGAAAUAUUUUUGGAUCCAAAUUAAUGCUUUGAGACAUUCUCCACAAUAGAUUGGACAAAUUGUGCCUCAUACCUACAUCAAAAGGUAAAGUACAAUGUAUGAUAAUUGCUAGUCUCUCUAUAAAGGAUAAAAAUAAAGAACAUUUAGCUAAGAAAUUAAAGCAGGUUGCGUGUCCAUGAUUGAUAGUUAAAUUGGUCCAUGAUUGAUAGUUAAAAAUCUGUAGGUGCGUUAUCACCACCUAUUAAAACCAAAUCAUGUUUGGAAAAAAAAAACAACAAACAAAAGAAGAAGAUUUUUUUUUCUUUAAUGUUUUCUUAUCAGUCUUCCUUUCUUUUCUUUUUUUUUUGCUAAUAGUCGAAAUUUUAUUAAAAAAAAGACUACAACAAUAGUAGCCUAACUUACAUUAGAUGAAUAAAAGGAAAGCACAAAAACUGUUUCAUGAAACAGGGGAGUUCACGACCAGCAUUCUAGUCUUAUGCUAUGUGUAGUUUCAUAAGAGAUACAACUUACCCAUCUCCUAAAACCAUUCCAGCUAAAUCUGCAACUUCCUUCAAAGCAAUCCUCCACCCGUUCACCCGCUCCAUCUCCUCCUUGAAGUGCUUUUCUUGUUCCACAAAUGCUGCAACAAAGCUCCCUGUUUGAUUUCUGACUUCAGAUGGAAAAACAUCAUAGAAAACUGGGAAAACUAUGGAGACGGUAGUCCUCCUACGUUCCAUGAUCAUUACGAGUUCAUCGAGGCACCAUCUCGACGAAGCAUAGUUUUUGGAGAACACGAUUAUCGAUAUUUUUUAUUCUUGUAUUGCCUUCUGGAGCUCGAAAUCUAUAUUCUCUCCUCUCCGAAUAAUUACCGACCGAAUUACCGACAGAAAAUUCAGAAUUAAUGAAAAAAGGGCGGGUAGGUGGCGCGGAGGUUUUGGCGGGUGAUUUUUCUGACGGAAUCACCGACGGAUUUGAAAUGUCAGAUCCGUAUCGGUGACGUGACCGGUGCACCGUCAAAAAUACCGACGGAAUCACCGAGGGAUUUGAAUAGCAGGUCCGUGCGGUGACGUGUCGAUUGCGUGUCAGAAUUACCGACGGUUUCGCCGACGGAUUCACCGACGGAAUAAAACCGUCGGUAAGUCCGUCGGCAAAAGUGAAUAUACACUCUGCCGACACUCUCCUCCCCAUUUCUCCUUCUUCUUCCUAAUCCUAACCCUCCCCAUCUGCAAAAUAACCAGCCCCCCCUGGCCCCAAAACAAAAAUCUUCCUCAUCUCAGCACAACAAGUUGUAUUUCUUGAAGUUUUGUGGUCACAGCAUCCGUGUUUUGAUUUACCGACGGAUUUUAUCAUUUUUUGUAAGUAAUUCUAUCUUUCAAAAUUUUAACAUUUAAAUGUCAAUUUUAUUGUUUUUUUAGUAUAUGUAUUUUUUUUUAGUAGAUGUACAUGUUUUAUUGUUAUUUCUCAAACAAACUUGUAGUAUAUGAAUGUAUAAUUUUAUACUUGUUAUGGUUUGUUUUAGAUUUUGUAAGAUUGUAUUUGUUUGAAAAUUGUUAAAACUUAAUUUGUAGAAUUACCGAAUUACAUGUUAUGUUUUGAAAUAAUUAAGAGCUUGCUUAAUGGGUCCUUUUUAUAGAGGUUCGAUAGAAGUCAUGGAUGAUCGUUCAUGGAUGUAUCUAGAUUCACCCCAAGGAUUGCGGAGGAUGGAUUAUUGUAACGGGGUUCAGGGUUUUAUUAAUUUCGCAACAUCUAUUCCCAGAAAUUUUACUGGAGGCGGUAUUAGGUGUCCAUGCAGGAAGUGUCAAAAUAAAAAGUAUCUGCAUCCAGAUGUUGUAAUGAUGCAUCUUCUACACAAAGGGUUUGUGGAGGAUUACGAGUGUUGGUAUGCACAUGGAGAGGUAUUUGUUAGUAAUAGGAGAAUGGGAGAAACGGUGGUUGGGUCAACUUCUAGUGCUAGCAACGUGCAUGAAGCGGCAAAUGACAACACUAAUCCUUACAGAAACAUGGUUAUGGAUGCAAUGAGAAUGAAUCAAGAUAAUGUCAAUCAAUGUCCAAUCGUAGAAGAAGAACCUAAUGCAGAGGCAGCUAGGUUUUUUGAUUUGUUGAAAGAUUCUGACGAACCAUUAUGGGAUGGCUGCACAAACCACAGUAAAUUAUCGGCGUGGCACAGGUGUUCACCAUCAAGUCAGAUCACGGGUUGAGUGAGGCCGGGUAUGACAAAAUUAUUGAUUGGGCAAGAAGCAUUUUACCUGAAGGGAACAGGCUCAAAGAGAACUUCUAUGCUGCGAAGUCCAUGAUGAAACCCCUCGGUUUAGGAUACCAGAAAAUUGACAUGUGCCCUAACUUCUGCAUGUUAUACUACCUUGAAAAUGCUGAGAUGACCGAGUGCAUGACAUGCGGGCAUUCCCGUUACAAACCCAGAACUGGCAGGGGGAAGACUCUAGUGGCAUAUAAAAAACUUAGAUAUUUCCCGAUCACACCUAGACUGCAGAGGUUAUUUAUGUCACCAAGGACUGCUGAGCACAUGACAUGGCACCAAACACACGAUGUCGUUGAUGGUGUGAUGGUGCAUCCUUCUGACGGCGAAGCGUGGAAACGCUUUAACAGUGUUCAUCCUGACUUUUCUGCUGAAUCAAGGAAUGUUCGACUUGGGUUGUGUACAGACGGGUUCAACCCAUUUGGGUCAUUUGCUGCUCCCUAUUCUUGUUGGCCGGUCAUUCUCACAGUUUAUAACUUGCCACCGGGAAUGUGUAUGAGGCCGGAGUUCAUGUUUCUAUCUACUGUCAUACCCGGUCCAAGCAGCCCGGGGCGGAAUAUAGAUGUUUGUCUUCGACCGUUGAUAGAUGAGCUGGCGCAGUUGUGGUCCUCCGGAUCUCUGACUUAUGAUAUAUCGAGGAAACAAAAUUUCCUUAUGAGGGCGGCUUUGAUGUGGACUAUCAGUGAUUUUCCAGCUUAUGGAAUGCUUUCUGGUUGGAGCACGCAUGGGAAACUCGCAUGUCCAUACUGCAUGGAAAACAACAAGGCAUUCACGCUAGCAAACGGAGGUAAAGCUUCUUUUUUUGACUGUCACCGUCGCUUCUUGCCACUUAAUCACAGGUUCAGAAAGAACAAAAGAUUUCUUUGUUGGUAGAGUUGAAAAAGAUGUUGCAUCCCCGCGUCUUUCUGGUGAAGAAUUGCAUCAUGUUGUAUCAGAGUACGGUGACAUUGUGUUUGGCCUUCAAUCAGGUAAGCAAAAGUUUCCUGGUUUUGGUUUGACCCAUAAUUGGGUAAAGCGAAGUAUCUUUUGGGAGCUUCCGUAUUGGAAGACUAAUCUUCUCCGCCAUAACCUUGACGUCAUGCACAUCGAAAAGAACGUGUUUGAGAAUAUUUUCAACACCGUCAUGGAUGUGAAGGGGAAGACAAAGGACAACAUGAAGGCUAGAUUGGAUAUAGCUUUAUACUGUAACCGUAAAAAUAUGGAGUUGGUUUAUGACGAGUCACGGGUUGCAAAACCAAGGGCAAGCUUCGUGUUAGAGAAAAACGCACAACUGCUAGUCUACAAAUGGCUUAAGAGUCUGCGUUUCCCGGAUGGACAUGCAUCGAACAUAUCAAGGCUUGUUAACAUAGAGGACUGCAGAUUGUAUGGAAUGAAGAGCCAUGACUGCCACGUGUUUAUGCAAACACUCAUCCCAUUAGCUUUUCGUGAUUUGUUGCCAAAGGGAAUAUGGGAUGCACUAACGGAGAUCAGUCAUUUCUUCAGAGAUAUAUGCUCCAGCAAGAUGAAUGUUGAGCACAUUGAGAUGCUUCAAACGAAUAUCAUCGAGACACUAUGCAAACUUGAGAUGAUAUUCCCUCCUUCAUUUUUUGACUCAAUGGAGCAUCUCCCUAUACAUCUACCGUUCGAGGCAAAAGCUGGAGGACCGGUCCAGUAUAGAUGGAUGUACCCAUUCGAACGGUGAGAUAUUACAGUUGCAAUGGAAUUCAUAUCUUAAAGUAUUUUCUAUGUUUUUCUUAUUUGAAAAUACUUGAAUUGUACUUCAAUGCAGGUACUUGUUUAAUCUAAAAAAAAAGGUUAAGAACAAGGCGCAUGUUGAGGCUUCGAUAUCUGAGGCCUAUAUUGUUGAAGAGAUAUCAACAUUUAUCUCGUACUAUUUCGAACCUCAUCUGAGAACAAGAAUCAAUCGCGUUCCACGGCAUGACGAUGGCGGUGAAGUGCCUUCCAGUGGGAACUUGUCAAUAUUCUCCAAUACUGGACGACCCACACCUAAAAAUGCCGUAAGAGGAAGAUAUUUGUCGGAAAUAGAAUUCAAACAAGCACACAACUAUGUUCUAUUUAACUGUGAUGAGCUGAGACCAUUUAUUCAGUAAGUCUAUAUAUGUGUAAUACUAAUUAAACUUUGUCAGUAAUAUACUGUUAAUUAUAUAUUGUAAUAUCAUACACUCAUUAUCACUUGCAGGCAACAUCGACAAUAUUUGCUCUCCAAUAACUCGCAGCUGACCGAAUCCCAGAUCUUUCAAUUACAAGAUGAACAAUUUGCCACAUGGUUCAGAACACAUGUAAGCACUAUCACAAACUCAUUCUAACGUAUGCAUGUCAUUACGAGAUUCUCGUUCAUUUACCGUGUAUUGAUGUACAUUUAAUUACAUAUAUUUACAAGGUUUAUCAAAUGGGAAGGAGUGCGCCCAAGUCAUUGUCUUCACUAAGCCUCGGCCCUGAAAGAAAAGUUAAGUGCUACAACGGGUAUUUUGUCAAUGGAUAUGUUUUCCAUACUGAAGAAUACGGGCAAGGAAGAAAGACAUACAACUGCGGUGUUUGUGUUAAGGGAUCCACAAGUAGCCAGUUAGAAGUUGACUACUAUGGUAGAUUAGAAGAGGUCGUCGAACUGCAAUAUCAUAGCGAGCAGAAUAAAGUGUUUUUAUUCAAAUGCUAUUGGUAUGACACGACGGACAGAGGAAUCAGAGUUGAUCCGCACCAUGGUCUGGUCGAAAUCAACUCAAAAGCUAGACUCCGCAACAUAAACGAUGUCUUUGUUUUCGCAAAGCAAUGUCAACAAGUUUAUUACACAUACACCCCUUCAUUUAGAAAGGAUCGUUCAAGAGUUGAUUGGUUGUCCGAAAAACGAAACCACGGGGUCGUGUCGAGGUUGUUCAGGAUGAGAACGAAGACACAAGUGUGCGAGAUGAAGUCUUUCAAGUUCGUGAGUUGGUUGAACCAUAUCGAGUUGCUCCUUCGAUUGAAUUGGAAGAAAAUUCAAAUUUUCGAGUUCUCGAUGAUAGUCUUGUUGAUAUUGACGGAGAGGAGUUGAAUGUUGUUCUCAGCUCUAGCGGACAAGCAAAUGUCGAUGAAGAAGAUGAUAUCCAUAUUGAAGAUUGCGAUGAAGAUGAUGACAAUUCAAUUGAUGAGGAAGAAGAAGAAAAUUCCGACUAAUUAUGAAAAUGAAGCCCUAUGUAAAAACAUUUGUCUCAUGUAAUUUAGAUUAUGAUGAUGUAUUUUGUAAAACAAAAUAUUUACUGUUUAAGCAAUGUGGUUAUUGUUUUAUGUGAUGGACAGUUUAUCAGUUAAGUUUUGCAGGAAGGUAAACAGGCAAUACAAAGACAACCUUUCCUGCAUAAUGCAACUUACCGACGUCCAUACCGACGGAUACCAUCCGUCGGUAUCUCACAGAGAGUUCGAAAUUAUUACGCGAAAUGCCACCAACACCGACGAAUUACCGACGGCUUCAUCGACAUACACGACGAAUAUCCGUCGGUAUUCACAGAGAGUUCGAAAAUAUUACAACAAAAUGCCACAAUCACCGACGGAUAACCGACGGAUCAUCCGUCGGUAUCUCACAGAGAGUUCGAAAAUAUUUACAACAAAAUGCCACAAUCACGACGGAUACCGACGGAUUCUAGUCCGUCGGUAUCUUACAGAGAGUUCGAAAAUAUUUACAACAAAAUGCCACAAUCAGCGACGGAUACACCGACGGAUUCUAGUCCGUCGGUAUCUCACAGAGAGUUCGAAAAUAUUUACAACAAAAUGCCACAAUCAGCGACGGGUAUACCGACGGAAUAGGUCCGUCGGUAUUUUGUCGGUCACACAUAUUACCGACAGAAAUACCGACGGACCGCGCGAUUUCCAAAGUAUGUGAAUUAAUGCGCCUCUGAACUUGUCAGAUUACUGACGGAAUCACCGACGGACUGCGAAAAAAAUGGAGGGCUUUUAAAAAUUCGGGGCAAAAUUCAAAAAAUACCGACGGAUUUUUGUCCUGUUACCGACGGAAUGUUUUACCUUUUACCGACGGAAUUACUUCCGUCGGUGAUUCCGUCGGUAAACCUGACCUAUAAGUUCCAGCCCCCGCCGCUUCCCCUCAUUUUUUCUUCUUCUCCCCGCCGCUUCGCUUCUCCUCCGUUUUUCACGUAAGAUUUUUCAUUUUUUUCCCCUCAAUCCUUAAACACCUUCACCUUUAAUCUCUAGCAAGAUUUGGUGUUGUAAAUCUUCAUCAUAUUAAAAGGUAUGUGUUUUUUUUCUAUUUUAUUUUAUUUUUUGUUGUUUUUAUUUUUGUUGUUUUGGUGUUUUUUGUUGCAAUGUAGAUAAAGUUUUGAAUUUGACACAUUAUUAAGGUAUGUAUAUUUCGUUCCUUUUCUUGAUGUAGGUUUUUUUAAAAAAAAUUUUGAAUAUUUUUUGUGUUGUGUUGUGUUGUGUUGUUAGAAUUAUUAUUAGUUAAUUUAACUUAGAAUUAGUUAAAGUUGAAUGUUUGAAUUUUUUUGAAUUUGUUGAAUAUUUGUUAAUUUAAUUGUUAGUCUAUAUUUUUUUUAAUUUAUUGAAUAUAAUUUAUUGUUGUAUUGCCUAUAUAAUUAUUGAUUAAUUUAUUGAAUUAAUAUUGUUAAUGUUGAAUUUACCUUAGAAUUAAUAAUUGCGUUUGUUGGAAUAAUUAUCGAUUUCCAAUUUAAUUUAUUUACUUUUAAUUUAUUUUUAGUUGUUUUUAUUUUUUUUGUUUUGGUGUUUUUUUUGGUAAUGUAGAUAAAGUUUUGAAUUUGUCACAUUAUUAAGGUAUGCAUAUUUCGUUCCUUUUAUUGAUGUAGGUUUUUUUUUUGAAUUUUUUGAAUAUUUUUUAUUGUUUUGUUGUCAUAAUUAUAAUGAUUAAUUUGUUGAAUUAUAAUUGUUAAUGUUGAAUUAUAAUGAUUAAUUUGUUGAAGUAUAAUUUGUUGAAUUUAUUGAAUUUAUUUGUUGUCAUAUUUUUUAUUGUUUUGAAUAUAAUUAUUGAUUAAUUUGUUGAAUUAUAAUUGUUAAUGUUGAAUUGUAAUGAUUAAUUUGUUGAAUUAUAAUUUGUUGAAUUUAUUGAAUUUAUUUUUUUUCAUAUUUUUUAUUGUUUUGAAUAUAAUUAUUGAUUAAUUUGUUGAAUUAUAAUUGUUAAUGUUGAAUUGUAAUGAUUAAUUUGUUGAAUUUAUUGAAUUUAUUUUUUGUCAUAUUUUUUAUUGUUUUGAAUAUAAUUAUUGAUUAAUUUGUGAAUUGUAAUUGUUAUCAUUUAAUUUAUCUUAGGAUUAAUAGUUGAAUAUGUUGGAAUAAUUAGUAUAGAUUGGUUCAAUUGGUUGUGGCUAUUGUUAAUAUUUGCAGGUUUGUGGAUUUGGGUAGUAUCCAGUAUAGGGGAGGUGCUGCCGAUUUUUUUUUAACAUUUGAAUUUUAUUAUACAAUUAUUAAUAUAAAAUUGUUUAGAUGCGUAGAAUGAAAACCAGAGUUGGUCGUUCACGUCCAGUCGAAUCAAGUUCGUCUAGCAGCGAUGAUGAUGUUUCCUUAGGUGCCUCUCAAGAAGAGGCACCUACACCACCUGCGCCGUUAACCGAUGCUGCCUCUUCCAGCGAUGUUUCACAUCGCAGAAGCGGCGUGCCUUCGACGCGGAAUCAAUUUACCCGCCAGUACGAGGCACAGUGGAAGGACAAUCUUUCAAUGUAAGUUUGUUAAGGUUUUAUUUUUUAUAUAUAUAAAAAAAACAAAUUUAAAACAUAAUUUAUGAAGUAAUCACAAAUUAAUUUCAUUUCUUUUCAGGUUCACAAACAUUGAGGCCGCCCGAGUAAUAUCAUCGGCAUUUAAAGCGUCGAUGGAGAUUCCAUUGUUUCAAUGGAGUCAGAUAUCCAGACAUCCUGAAUGGAUGCCUCAAAUCAAUGCAUGGUUUCGUAGAUUUGAGGUUCGUGUUAAUAUAUAAUUUUCAGCUUUUUUCUAAUAAAUUCUAGUUAUAAUUGUAAAUAAAUUAUUAACAUUUUAAAAAAUUAUUUUUUUAUAUACAGCAUCGAUUCUACUGGGACGAUGAACAUGACACUGUUGUGAGGAGGGUGUGGGAAAAUCACGCGGCAAUUAGGUAACAUCGAAAACAAUACGACUUUUUUUUACAUAAUUAUUUAUGUUUCGAAAUGUAAUUUUUUCGUGCGUGAAUUAGGUUGCGUGAUUUUUGGUAUGACACCAGAAAAAAGCAAAAAAAACAGCGAGGGAUAAGGGGUUCCAAGGCUGGAACGAUGUUGCGGUUUGGAGGGAUUUCAAACCAAUAUACAUCCCGGAAGAUAUAUGGCCGCACUAUCUUCAGCACGUGACGUCUGAGCGGUUACUCGACGCUCACAGUCCGGUGCUGGCAACCGGAAUCGGCCAAUUCAUGGCUCGGUGACAACGCACACCGGCGGCUCCGUUCCGUUUUUUGCACAUGCGAAACGGAUGGUAAGAUUAAUUUAAAUGAAAUAUAUCGUUCAAUUAAUUUGUUGUUAAUACAUUUUUUCAUUAUAGGCUACGUCUCUUGGACGUCAGCCGAGCCCUAUGGAGCUGUUUGUGGAGACGCACGUGCGAAGUCAUGACCGCCAAAAGGGACGCAACAGUUCGUUGACAACCGUGCUCAACAUUUUGUGGUAUGUUUGUUCAACCAUUUUAUUUUGUAAGUUAUUAUUAUGUUUAUUGAAUUGAAUAUGAUGAUUUUUUUUUUCAGGAGACCUAUAAUAAUCGGUUGAGGGAGAGAUACGGGGACGAUCCAUCGACCCAUCCGGAAUUCGAUCCGGAUUUGUGGAUGGAGGCUGGAUCGUCAGGUGGACCCGAUAAAAAUCGGGUUUACGGGCUCUCCAACACUACCGCGGCCAACUUGCGGUCGACCGGUACUGCUUCAACCGCUGGGAGCUCCCAAUCUGUAUCGAGCUCCCAAUCUAAGGAGUUUGUGGCCUUGCAGCAAAGGUGCAACCACCUAUCAGAAGCAUACACACAGCUCAAAGAAGAGCAAAGAUUGGCGAACGAACAACACAGAGCAGAGUCUGAACAACAAAGAGCGGCCUAUGAAGAGCUUCGGCAAAUGGUCAUGAACAUGACACAAGGUGGAACAUGUGCGCCUAAUCCUUUUUGGCCGCCUAACCCCCAUCCUCCUCCUCCUCCUCCUCCUCCACCUUUAUAUUAAUUUUUAAUAAAUUAUUUACAUUCAUUAUUUACAUUUAAAAUUUUGUUUAAUGUUUUUUUGAAACACAUUCAUUUUGUAAUGAAUAUUAUUUCACUUUGAGUUUUUGUUGCUUAAUAUAAAUUUUAUUUGCAUAAUUGGUUUGUAUUACCAUUAAUUUAUAUUAUUUUUUCAAAAUAAUUAAAAAACAAUUAAAAAAAACAAUUACACAGGGAUUUACCGACGGAAAAACUCCGUCGGAAUUCGACAGUGCCUGCCACCGUCACCGACCAUCACCGACGGAACAAAUCCGUCGGUAUACAUUUACCGACGUAUUUACCGACGGACGUAUUCGGUCGGUAUAAAAUAUCACCGACACUUUUUCCGACGGAGUUAGUCCGUCGGUAUGUUUAUAACACCGACGGAAAAUAUUCCGUCGGUAUAUUCCAAGCGGGAAACUUUUUUUUUUGGCGCGCACGGUCCGUCGGUAAAAGUUUUUUUUGUAUUUCCGACCGAUAUAGCGACGGAAUGUGGAAACACCGACAAAAGGUAUUCCGACGGGAGUAUUCCGUCGGUAAUAUAGUCGGUAAAUACUUUACCGACGAAAGUUCUAUCACACACCGACGGAAUAUUUCCGUCGGUAAAACUGUGAAAUCUUGUAGUGAUAGUUCAAGAUCGACACAGCACACCAAUAAUCUGAAGUAUUCAUAUAAUAUUAUCUUACUUUUUCUGUAAAACAAUUUUCAAGUUAAUUCCCUGCAAUCAACUCCUCCAUGCCCUUUCAUAAAAAUAUCUGUACAUAUAAUAAAUCUCUAUGCUGAUCCAAAAAAAUCGGUUGACGAGAUCAUCAAUAAUUAGUUUCUAACAGUGAAUUAAUCGAAGUGAUUCUCAGUUACAGCAGAGUUACAUUCCGCAAUAUAACAUAAUACUAAAAGAGAUAAGAGAGAGAGAGUACCUGCAAUCUUCACUUUCCCUUCGUUGAUGUUCUCUUAUCAGUUCAUCAAUUUUCUGCUUUUAAAUCAACCUUAAAAGUCUCUGUGGUACGGACCAUUUCCGCGUUAGGACCUCUUUUUUUUUUUUAAUUUGCUCAAAAUUGAGAGAGAAAGGGUGGAUUGUAAUUUUAAGACAAUUCAUCCCCACAAGUCCACUCUCUCUAUGGUAUGGAACGUUUCCGCGUGAGGAAUUUUCCAUGGCUAAUGCCGGAAGCAGAAAGUCAGAAUGUCUAGGCAUGACAUCCUGAAGUAAGAAUGAAGUUAGAAAAAACCAACAGGUUGUGGCUCAGUGGUUGUUGGGGCAACUCUCCUUCCUUUGAACUUCAGUUCGAGUCCCAGUGGGAGUGGGGCUGGAGAGUUUGUUCCCUUCCUGUUUCUAUUGGGUCCUCUCUGUGCGGUAUGCCUGUCACCCCCGCGGUGCCUUACCUGCUCACUGGGCUUGCAGGAUGUUCAGUGGGCCGUGGGAUUAGUCGUGGUGCGCGCAAGCUGGCCUGGACACCCACGUUAAUCAAAAAAAAAAGAAAAAAGAAUGAAGUUAGAAAAAUCUAAUUAAGAGAAGAAGUUGAUGGCUAUUAACAUCGUGAAGUAAGAAUGAAGUUAGAAAAAUCUAAUUAAGAGGAGAAGUUGAUGGCUAUCAACAUCAUUUCUGUUUCUCUCUUUUUACUUUUAAUAGCCACAAGUGUGAUUGCAGGAUACGUUUGGUUUUAACAAGACAGCAGAGUUAUGAGUAUUUGAUUCAUUUGCAAGGGCAGGGAUGGCAGGAGGGGAAGUUGCUUGUUACAUCUUUGUGUAGAUUUCUUCCCCAUAACUUUCCUGACCUUGCUGUUCUUUAGGAAUUUUCUUCCCACAUAUAUUAAUAGCACCAUGGGGCAGGCCAAUCUUACAUUAAUUAACUAUAUAUAAUUGAUGUGUAUAAUCUCUUUUACAGUGCUUCGUCUUACUUCCAGCGCAAUAUUCCUUUUUCUUUUUCUUUUUUCAUUUUUUGUGAAAUCCAACACAUCUAAUUAUGUUAAAUUAAAAUGUUAACUUGCACAUAAACUAGCACGUAUCAAAACUUAAACAUUAAGAUCAAAAUCAGGAUAAAGAUAAAGUAAAUUUGAUGUUUUUUUUUUUUUUUGUAUAAAGUAAAUUUGAUAUUGACAUCACAUGGAAGUAAAUAACUAAAACUAAUGGAAUAUUUGUUAAGGAAUAAUAGGGACUUGAUACUUAAUGUAUAUAGUUUAAACUUUAACUUGCAUUUAUAUUUAAACAUAGGUAAGUUAUUUCAUUAGUCAGAAAAUAAGAAUCAUGAAAUAAAAAUAUUCUUGGGAUUUAAAAUUUAUUAUCUUAUUUAUUUUAACUCCUUACUAAAAAAUUAUUAACUUUAUCAUCUACUUUUCGAGGUUUAAAAAAUAAAUAUUUACGUGAACAUGAAAUUAAUUAUUAUUUAAAUAUAAAAUAACAUUAUUUUUUAGCAUACUAAUUUUUAAACAUCAUCAAAACUUACCUAUUUAUCCAAAAAAAAAGAAGGCAUGCAAUAUUUUUAGCAUAGAAAUAAGAAAUGCAAUCGAUGAUGCUAGUGAAUUGUCCAAUAAUGCCACCGAGAAGCAUUGUGUUACCCUCUGUCCAAUAAAAUAAGGCAAAGCAUUAGCUAAAAACCCUUCACCCACGUAUUCACCCACUACGGGGGUUUGAAUAUGAUGGAAUUUGAAGUGUUUAAUGGUUUGUUCUUAUAUAUAAAAAACGCGUGACUUGGAUUUUUUAUAGAUAAAAUUUUAAUUUAAAUAAAAAAAAUUAAUUUAACUAAAUCUUGUGAACUCCUGAAAUUAAAUCAGAUCAAUAUCAAAUAAUUAUUUUUAAAACAAAAAUAAAAUUAUUUUAUUUUUAUAAAAUAAUUGACUUAAGAUAAUUGCAUAAUGCAGUUACCCAGAAUUUAUUUUAAAUUUGUCCUCAGACCAAAAGCUUCUUUUGUUUUGCACCAGCUUUUUUGUUUGCGGUGCAAAAAAAUAUAGCAAAGUGUUUGAUAAUUGUUAAAAUUACAUUUAAUACUGCAAAACCCUCUAAAACAUUGAGUUUGAAACGUAUUUUUCUUGAAUCAGUUUUUACAUGUUUUCUUAAUCAAGUUUCGUAAAAUACUGUUUGUUUUUGGAUUUUAAAAGCGCUUUUAAAAAAAUUUAAUUAUUUUUUAUUUUUUUUUCAUUUGCUUCAAAUUAAUAUUUUUUUGGUAUUUUUAGAUCAUUUUGAUGUACUGAUAUAAAAAAAAAUAAAAAAAAAUACAUUAUUUUCAUGCAUUUCCAAGUAAAAAGCAUUUUGAAAAACAACCACAACCACACAACUACCAAAUAUUUUAUACAUGUUUUUUGCUGCACAUAAACUUCAACCAUAUUUUUUACCAAACACAUAUCUAAAUUCAACUAACUUUUGUUAAUCAUACUUUUUUAAAAUUUAUAUUUUUCAAACUAUAACUAUAAAAACUACCUCAAAAACAAAUACACUCAAGUUCCUACCGGUUCAAGACAUGGGCGAAUGGUUUUAAUAUUGAGAGAGAAAGGGUGGAUUGUAAUUUUAAGACAAGUCAUCCCUACAAGUCCACUCUCUCUCUAUGGUAUGGAACGUUUCCGAGUGAGGAAUUUUUUGGUUUUAUUUUGAUCAAGACUUGGAUGUUGAAUAUAAUUACUAAUUUUGGUGCCAGGAAUUGAUGGCUAUAUAUUGACAUGGUGAAGUAAGAAUCAAGUUAGAAAAUAAAUUCCACAAGUUGAUGGCUAGUGACAUCGUGAAGUAAGAAUCAAGUUAGAAAAAUCUAAUUAAGAGGAGAAGUUUAUAUCUGUUUUAUAUCUGUUUGCCAUUAAUUUCUCUUAGUUUUCCAUUACGUCUAAUUGCCUUUUUUCUAAAAUAUCUCCUGUAUAUUCCAAUCAGUUUCUCUGACCUCACAUGCUUUUGUAAUUUGUUUUUGUUUUUUUUCAUAAAACAUCGUUAGUAGACCAAACAACAAGCAGUUGUAAGUGGUAAAUUAAUAAAAAACAAUAUUGUCUUCGGUUUAGACCAAAACGUAUUGUAUCAAAUGUCUUUCAAGUAGUUGAGCAAAGAUAUCGGAUCAUACUAAAAACAAAUAGGGAUUGCUGUCAAUUUACUCCUAACAUUUAGGGCUAAUGCAAUUUUUCUUUUUUAGUCGUUUCAUUACUAGAAAACUAGCAAAUAGCUAUGAAAAUACCUACAAAAAAUAUUCCACCAAUAAGAUAGAAAAUUUAUGCCAUUUAUUUCUAACAUAGCGAUGAAAUAUAUAAUAUCAAAAAUUUCUGACUAAAUAAAAAAAAAAAUUCCGUUUAAAAUUUCACUCUGAAAGUACUCAACGAGCUUGCGUUAUAAAUGGAUGUUUAUCUUUCACGUGUUUAUUCUUUGUCAGCACCUAACAAUUCAUGGUUGUCAGAAGCAUUGCUAAAAGAACUAGCAGUGAUUAUGUUUACAUGACACGCAAUUGACUUUCCCCUUGAUAUUUACACAAAUUAAAAAAUUAAAAUAUCAUAAACCAUUUCUAUUUAAAACCAAAUAGCAACACCUCCUCUAUACAAGAAAAAAUAAUUUAAAUUAAAUUGCUACAAACCAAUUGAUUUUAUUCAAUCUGUUUCUUAUCAUUGAGUGAAGAAUUCACUCAACUUGUAUUUGACCUAGUUUUAAAAUUAUUUUUUUAAAAUUGUUUUCUAUUAAUACAUAUAUUUAAUGGGCAGCCUUUAUUAUGUUUCAAAUUGUAUGUUAAUUAGCCAAUUGCAUGUAAAUGAGUUUAAUUCUGAACUAAUUACCUAAAAAUAAUUUUAAUAAGUGAAAGUCAAUUUUGGUCCUUAUUUUGAUUGCUAUAUAUAUAUAUAUAUAUAUAUAUAUAUAUUAUUUUGAUUUUUUUUUCAAUUUCAUCCCUUAGAAUUUGAUUUUUAUGAAAUGGUAAUUAUUAUUAUUUUAAUUUCUUCAUCUUUCAAUUUUUUUAUUUAUUAUAUUUGAUCUUUAUUAUUUUUAUUAUUAUUUAUUUUAUUUGAGAUAAUUUAUGAAAUUAUAUUUUUUUAAUAAUUUAAUUUUCAUUCAACUUCUUAAUUUAUAAGAUUUGUUUUUUAUUAUUUUAAUAAACUUGAAAAAAUAAAAUAUUAAAAUUUAUUUUACAACUGGACCCAAGACAUGAGCAAAUGGUUUUUAAAAUUGAGAGAAAGGGUGGGUUGUAAAUUUAAGACAAGUCAUCCCCACAAGUCCACUCUCUCUAUGGUAUGGAAUGUUUCCGCGUGAGGACUUUAUUGGUUUUAGUUUGAUCAAGACUUGGAUGUUGAAUACAAUCACUAAUCUAUUUGAUUAUAAUCUCGACAAUUAAUGCACACUGAAUUUUCCAUGGACGUAAUCGGAAUGCAACUUGACCAGUUAUGCUAUUGACAUCCUUAAGUAAGAAUCAAGUUAGAAAAAUCUAAUUAAGAGGAGAAGUUGAUGGCUAUUGACAUCAUUUCGGCCAAAAAUUCUAUCGAAAAAUUAAGGGGUAAGAAACCCAGACUCUACCCCUUCGUAUUGUUUCUGAUUUCAAGAAAACCAAGACGAUAAGGAUUGCAUACUGACAUAGCAGAAAACCAUGUGAAUAGAUCAAAGCCACAUAUCCGGUACUCUACAAACUCUUUCUAAAGUAGCCACUCCUGUUCUUCCUCCUCGUGAAACCACAUUAACAUCUCAUUUUCAUCAUAUUCAAGGACAAUGCUGCAUCUGUUGCCCUAAAGUUGUAUCUGUUCCAUCAAAGCACAAUUUAUAAAAUGAGCAAAGGGAAAAUUUUCUAGAUAUACAAGAACAAAAAUGUAGAGUUGAAAUAAAGCAGAACUUAUAAAAUGAGCAACGGAGAUCAAGAAUUUUAAAUUUUGGAAGAGACUCUGAAAACACUUGAAAUCAGUUGUUGUCCAUUGAAAAUAAGAGAGAUAGCUGUAUAGAGAGACUAAAUACAGAGCAUGCCUUUCCAAGCAACAAUUAGACUGGUUCUGAAUUAGAUUAAGAGCCACGAGCUUCUCCAAGCAGAAGUGCUUUGGUUUGGAUCUUGUAAUAACCCAACCCUUUUUUAUUAUUAUUUUCCUUGAAAAAUGAUAAUAAAAAAAAUAAUGAUGAAAAAAACAAAUAAAAAAUAAAAUAAAUGAAGAUGAAUUAAAAUUUGGGUUAACGCAAUAUGAGUUGAAGUUUUGGGAUUUAAUUAAACUUUGAAUUUGUUUUAUUAACCAAAUUAAGAGUUUAAUUGAGGAAUUGAUAAGUUUGAGACUUAAUUGAACUUGAAAUUAGUUAAUUAAUGAAAUCAGGGGCUUAAUUAAAUAAAUAUCAAAGUUUAGGACUGAUUCUAGUUAAAAUUGCAAGAAAUUAAAAUCCAAUGACCAAUUUGUAAAUAGCGCUGAGAUGUAGGGUUCCAAUUAAAAUUUAUCCGGGGGGCUUGCUUACAAAGCUUUCAAAACAUCAGACCAAAACGAAAAUGGCCAUCAAUACUGUUCAUCUUCUUCAACGAACUAGACCAGAAACGGACGCCCCACGAUCCCUAUUACUCCUGCAAUAACAAGGGUCGGUCGCCUCAUUAUUUAGAGGAGGUGACCGCAUGGCAUUCUCUGGUCGGUCGCCACACGGGGGGGGGGGGGCUGGGGGAAGGAGAAACGUAAAGAAGAACGUAUAUAAAAAAAAAACAGAAGAGAGAAACAAGGGAUGACAGAGAAGAGAUUGAAGCGAAAAACUAAGGAAAAACCAAAAGAACCAGGGCAGGAAACAGAGGUAGAAACCCGGGGAGGACAAAGAAAAAAAAAAACAGCCGAACAGAGGAGAGGGAGUGAAAGUAGGAAACACAGAAUCCGCAGAGAAGAACAGAGCAUAUACGGGGAGACUAAAAGAAAAAUAGAGAAAAACAAACACAGGCAAAGGUUGCACCGAGAGAAAGCAAAAUAAAAGAAAGAACCAGAGGAAAAGUAAACGAAAGGACGAACAGCACGCCAUCGCCUUCAUCCUGCUCCCAGGUAAGUGUCUCCAAUUUUGCAAAAUAAUUCAUCAACACUGUGUAUUAGAGAUUUAAUUACAUGGCGACUGUAGGAAGCGUUUGUGAACAAUUCACGCAUGUUUGUGGGUAAAAACUGCCCACUAGACCUAACCUAAAAAAAAAAAAUAAUAAAUAAAGAUAAAAAAAAAACAAGUAAAAUAAAAUAAAAUAAAUGUAUGCAUGCAUACAUAAAAAAAUAAAUUUGGUUUAUUAGUUUAUUUACUAAUAUUAGAGUCAAGAAUAAAAAUACUUAUUUAAAUUUAUUUUAUUAUAUUUUGUUAUUAUUAUUUUCUAGCUAUGUAAUAUUUAUUAACACUAGAUUUGAAAAUAUUUAUAGUUGAAUAUUCACUGACGCUAGAGUCGAGAAUAUUACAAGCAAACCAUCAGAGCAUAAACCAACAAAUUUUUAGGAAUUUAAAAUAAAAUCAACAAUGCAGCAUGUCAUAGGCAGAAAGUUUAAGAGGUGAUAAUGUCUUCCCUUUAUAACUAGUCUUGUACCAUAGAAUCUUUGUUGACCAUUUAGGAUUCCUAAUGACCAUAAUAUUAGAUGACGACUCUUUAAACAAGAUCAUUUUCCAUAAAAAAAAACAAGAUAUCAAAUGUCUGUUCUUUUCUCUUAUAAGGUUUCAUUUUUUCAUGGUCGCGCGAAGUCCAAUGUGACAUAUCUUAAAGGGAAUCCAUGCCAACAUAACUACAUCAAAUUCUUGGAAAAGUGUUCAUAACUUCCACAGAACUUGUGUAAUUUAACUGGAGAAAUUUUACAUUUUUCAUCUUUCUAAAUGUAUCCGUGCUGAGGACAAGAAACAAACUUGUUUGGUUAAUUUGUACUUGUUCCCCCAAGAAAAACUUAGAAAGCCACUAUUGAGAGAGGAGUGUAGGAAGAAGACAUUGUUGAAAGAAGUUAAGCCUGCAGCGGUUGCAAGUGCACCAUUGAAUCAAUACAGACAACUUCUGUACUUAUUCAUGCAUAUACAGGGUAAGGUCACACAAUUUUUCAGCAUCAUGCUUCCCAAAUGUUGAAAGUAAAUGAGAAAAGAAAGUAAAAGCAUGAACAUUUUAACACACCUAAAUACCAUGAAGAUAGGAAAACAGAACCAGUUACUCUUACACUUGUUUCUUUCAAAACUGUAAAAGCUUCCAUGUGUGAUGCCAUAUUCUUUGACAUUUGGGUGAUUCUUGACGAGCAAUUUCCCUUCCCAUGUCUCUUACAAGUUGAUGCAUUUAUAAAUUUUUUUCAUUUUAUUUUAACAAUUUUUACAAGACAUCAAUCGAUGAGAUAGUCAAUCCUAAAUCUUGCAUCUAUACCGAACCCAUCAACUGUCCUAACUGUAUAAUUCUCAUCCAUUCCAUUGAAGAAAGAAGCAAUAUCAAGGAAUAAGUUCUUCUGAUAAUCAUCAUCAGGAGAGUUCUAACUUUUUGCAAGAACCUUUUGAACUUGACAAUUUGGAAUCACUUCCAUUUCAUGUAAUGCGCUUUCCCAUACUUUUCUGCUUUUACUAAAAAAUGUAGAACCAAUAGCACAAAGGGCUACUGGAAGUCCAUUACAAUGAUGUACUAUUCUCCAAGAUUCCUCCAUAAAAUCUUCAACUGGGUAAGCUUGUCCACAGGCAUGCCAACUCAAAAGAUUAAGUGAUUUUUUGUUAUCUAGAGGUUCAUCUUUGCACUUGACACACUCACCAUCAUCUACAAUCAAAGCCUUAUUUCUAGUUCUUACAAUGAUUUACUUCCUUCGCGAAGCCAAUUUCGCGUGCCAACAAUUGCAUUGAAGUGGUCCCAUUUGUCCACAUCAUCAAGAACAAUAAGAUUUCUUCUGCAACAUAAAGCAUCCUUGAUAUAAUCCCUCCAUCAACAUCAUGUAUGCCAUCAGCAUUGUUUAGGAUAUCUGAAAGAUUAAGGGUGCAUUAUGUUGCAGAAGAACUCUUAUUGUUGCUCAUACCUUACGAUAGAUUGGACAAGCUGUGCCUCAUACCUGCAUCAGAAAGAAAAAUGUAAUGUAUAAUUCUCUCCGUAAAGUUUCAAAAUCUUAGCAUCCUGGAAAAAAGAAAUUAAACCAGGAUGUGCGUCAAUGAUGGAUUGCUACUUUUGCAGCUAUGUUAUCACCACAUAUUAAAACCAAAAAUGGAAUAAUGUAGAAAUCUUUGCUUUUUCAGGUAGUCAAGGAAAAAAAAGAGAAAAAAAUAUCUUCUAUUUUUAUUUUCCUUGUAUGUUCUUUGAGUUGGGAGUGUUAUAGUUUCACUAAAUUGUAGUGGUAUUAUCAAUUAUCAUCCAAAUGCUUAACUACAAACCUGAAAAAAUUAAGAGUUCAAAACCAGCAUUCUAGUAUUAUGUUAUGUGUAGUUUCAUCAAGAAAUACAACUUACCCAUCUCCUAAAACCAUUCCUCCUCGAUCUGCAACUUCCUUCAAAGCAAUCCGCCACCCAUUCACUUGCUCCAUCUCCUUCAUGAUCCACAAAUGCUGCAGCAAAGCUCCCUGUUUGAUUUCUGACUUCAGACGGAUCCACAUCAUAGAAGACCGGCAAAAUUAUGCAGUCAGUAUUCCUCUUACGUUCCAUGAUCAUUACAAGUUCAUCCAGGCACCACCGCUACAAAGCAUAUGCUUUGGAGAACACGAUUAUCGAUAUUUUUUAUUGUUGUAUUGCCUGUUGGAGCUCUGACUUUAUAUUUUCUCCUCUCCCAAUUUCAUCAUCGUCUCUAAAUGUGUGAAUCUCUGCUUGAACCAGGGCUGUGUAGAGGUGAUCGGUAAAGUUCUUGCGGGUGUCUUCACCUCUAAAACUCUAGAACACUUGAUAUUUACAACUAGAGAACCGUGAAAAUGAGGAUUCUUGAUAUUUACAACCAAUCCCAUAGAGUAUAUCAAAGGCAGAACUGUGGGAGCCAUAUUCUUGCAACCAUAAGUUGAUAUGUUUUCCUAGAGGAUCUCUUCCAAUGAAAUAAAGGGGGAUAUGAAAUAUUUUAUGAUCCAAUUUCUUUGAGACCUUGUCGACAAUAGAUUGGACAAUGUGUGCCUCAUGCCUGCAUCAAAAAGAAAAUGCAACAUAUGAUAAUUAGCAAGUCUCUCUAUAAAGUUUCAAAAUCUUAGUGUCUUGGAAAAAAGAAAUUAAACCAGGCUGUGCGUCAAUGAUUGAAACCGAAAAUGGAAUAAUGUAGAAAUCAUUGCUUUUUUCAGGUAACUAAGAACGAAAAUAUCAGAAAAUGAGAAAAACAAGUUUUUUUAUUUUUAUUUUUAUUUUUCUUUAAUGUUCACUGAGUUGUGAGUGGUACAGUUUUUUCUAAAUUGAAGAGGUAAUAUCAGUCAUUGUCUAAAUGCUUUACUACAAACCUGAAAAAAUUAAGAGUUCACUAGCAGCAUUCUAGUCUUAUGUUAUGUGUAAUUUCAUUCAGAAAUACAACUUACCCAUCUCCUAAAACCAUUCCUCCUUGAAACGCUUUUCAUGAUCCAAUAAUGCUACAGCGACUUCAGAUGGAUCCACAUCAUAGAAUACUAGCAAAACUAUGCAGUCAAUAUUCCUCUUGCACUCCAUGAUCAUUACAAGUUCAUCGAAGCACCACCUUGACGAAGCAUAAUUCAAUAAUUAUUUUUUUAUUUUUUAUUUGUUAAUUUUAUUCUUUAACAUAUGAUUGUUUAGAAUUGAGAUUCAUAUUUUUUUUUAUAAGGUUGUUAUAUUUUUAUUUGAUUUUUUUUCUUCGUUACCAAAUACUAUGAGGAUAUAUUUGUUAUCAAAUACUAUGAGGAUAUAUUUAUGUAAUAUUGGUAAGCAUUUUUUUUUAGUUGAUCAUUGUGAAUUUCUUUAAUUAUUAGUUUGUUUUGUUUAUUGUUGUUCUCAAUUUUUUUAAUUAUAUUAUUAAAUUAAUUAUAUUUAUUGAAUUAAGGCAACUUAACAACCUAUGUCUUUAAUUAUUUUUAUUUUAAAAAAAAAAAACACUACCAUCACCUCAACAUCUUUUUUAUAUUAAAAAAAACUUUGCCCUACUAGUAAUAAAGUUCAGGUAAAUAAUCUAGUUUAAGCUAAUCACGUGGCCACAAAGCCCCACUGGGAUUCAUAUUCAAUAUUCAUUCGAUGGUGUGUAUGGUAGGCUAGACAUGUGAAGCCCAUUAAUUGAUUCUGUCCAUAUUAUUUAUGUUAACCCGACCCGGUUGUGCUUUUUGAAGGUCCACCAGGCUUGAACCGAGGUCUCAUAGGCAGUCAAAGUUGUUGGCUACUGUAGAAAAUUUUAGGAUUUCCACUUUUGUUAUUAAAUUUUAAUUCUAUCUUUUAAUUUGAUAAUUUUCAAUUAAAAUUAACUUUUAAAUUUCUAAUUUUGAUGAUUAUUAUUUUUUUAUUUUUACAAUAAAAAUAUCCAUAUUAAUUUAUUGUGAAAACUUAAUACAAUCAAAUCAAUUUUUAAUUAAAAUGAAAUAUAUUCAAAUUAUAAAAUUUUUUCAACUAUAUUUUCAAGACAUUCUCAAAUAUUUUUAACUGCAAGUGAACUUGUCUCGAGAGGAUAUAUGUAGAAACAAAAAAACAAUUACAAAUAAAAUUUCAUCAUAUAUUAUUUUUACAUAAAAAAAAAUGAAAUAAAAUAGAUAAAAUAAUAUGAAAAAGAACUGGUUCUUCACAUAUAUUUUGGUCAAUAAAAGAAGGUUGACAUAUAAAAUAAAAUAUUUAAUAUAUCUUAUUAUAAUAAUGCAAGAUUCUAUAAAUAAAAAUUAAUUAAUAAAGUAAUAUCAUAUGAUAUUAAAAAAGAAUAUGAAAGCUAUUAUAAAUAUUUAUAAAUAAAAUAUCUCUAGACAAAGAAAGGAGGAACAUUAAUAGAGAUACAAAACUCUUCAAGAUAAGGUUUUGAAGGAAAAAAAAAAAAACUCUUUCAAAAGCUUUGGAGCUUUUUUUUCAUUUUACGGUUGAAAUCUAAAAAAGCAAACCUCUACUAGUUGACGUCUAAUAUAAUACAAGUUCUAGACCUUUCUUUGCAAAAUACCACCAAGCGAAAUUGCCAGCAGGCCGAGCACUGUAUUUACCGUAUUUACCAUGGAAAGCACAAUAAUAAUUUCUAAAAAUACGAGAAGCUAUUUCUACUUUGGCUACGUGUGCUGCAUCAUCAUCAUCAUCAUCAUCCCUACUGUUGUGGGCAUUGAUAACUUCAUCCUUUGAUUGGAUAUCAUCAUCCUUUCCUUUCUCUUCAUGCAACCACUGUACACCAAUCGCCUUUACUUGAAUAGCUAGAUCAUGUGGAAGCACUGAAAUACUCACGUCAUCACCAUCAUCAAAUGUAGGAUCACCGACCCCUAAUUUCCCGUGCAUUAGCGAUUGGAUUUCACGAACCCCGCGCUUGUAACGAAUAGGGAGGAGAUAGGCUUGACAAUGCAUGGAUAGACCAUUGGUAUUGUUUCUGAUUUCAAUAUGAAAAGGAUCAUAUAAACUAUACUCUGACGUCACACAAAACCUUGUGAACAGAUUAAAGCCACAUAUCCGGUGCGCAGGAGGAGGUGAGGAUAUUUUGAAUGAAAAGUUAUCUACAAACUCAUUCUCAAUUAGCCAUUUAUCCUCUUCCUCCUCCUCAUGAAACCUGCUUAACAUCUCAUCUUCAUCAAAUACAUAUUCGACAAAGUUGAUUAUGCCAUCCAUAAAUAUUAUCUGUACCACCAAAACAAUGUCUAUAAAAUGAGCCAAAGAAGAAUAUUCAAAUGUAGAUUUCAAAUACAAUAAAAGGGGUGAGGGAGGACCUGAAAUCUCGAUGGCUGUAUUUGAGCACUAACCGUUUUCAUUAUUCUGAACAUGUGAGAGUCAAACAAUUGGAUUAAUUCUUGCUUCAUCCAAUCUUGGAACUCGACAAAUUGUUCACAACCAUCGGUUUUAGUCCAAACGGUUAGAUUUGCAAGUCUUUGCAGUGAAUAGCAAAAGGACACAUCUAACAGCCGCAAAUGGGAUGGAAGCUCUGGGACUGCCUGAAGCAUUUUGCAAUUUCUUAAAUAUAGGAAAUCGAGUAGACCAAGACCCUUGAUGCUUUCUGGAAGAGAACGCAUUGUUGUUCCACUUAAAUCUAGUCUCGUCAAGGAGCCUGGCAGUGCAAACGAGGUAAAUCUCAACAUUUUCCUCGUUGAAAACCUAGAGGGAAAGAAUAGCUUCAAUGGAAGAGAUGUAAUGAAUGAUGUACUUGCAACAAUUCCAUCACUUUGAAGCAGCUUGCGCCCCUGAUGAUGCUCUAACUCCAUAUUCAGGCUGUUAAGAUUUGAACAACCAUCUAAAACCAGCUCUUGAAGUGAAUUCAAUCUACUCAUUUCUUCUGGAAGCUCCAUAAGACUUGUACAAUUUCUUAGAUUUAAAAUCAACAAUCUUUGUAAAUCACCAAUAGAUUCGUGAAUUUGAACCAAACGGAUGCAGUCUUCAAGUAUUAGCUUUUCAAGGGCUGGGAGACCCGAGAAGUCUGGGGUUCUAAUGAGAUCACGAGAGUGACGAAGAUCAAGAAUUUUCAAUUUUGGAAGAAACUGUGAAAAUACAUGAAUUUAGUUGUUAUCAAUUGAAACGAGAGAGAUAGCUGUAGAGAGAGACUCGAUACAUACCAGUUUGCCUUUCCAAGCAUCAAUUAGACAACUUCUAGAUAAAUCAAGAACCACCAGCUUCUCCAAGCAUACGUGAUUUGGUAUGGAUCUCAAAGACAAUCCAUGCCAACACAACCAUAUCAAAUUCUUGGGAAAGUGUUCAAAACUUCCAUGAAAAUUAGUAUAGUUUAGUUGGAGAAAUUUUACAUCUUUCAUCUUUCUAAAAGCAUCCAUGCUAAGGAUAGGAAACAAACUUGUUUGGCCAGAUUGUAAUUUUCCCUCAUCGGAAAAAUCAGAAAGCAAUUGUUGAAAGAAGUUAAGCCUGCGGCGCUUGCGGCGAACCAUUAAAUCAGUACAGACAACCUCCGCAUUAUUAUCUUUCAUUAAUGCAUGCAUAUCAAGGGUAAGGCCACGCAAUUUUUCAGCAUCCUGCAUUAAAAAUAUUAAAAGUACAUGAGAAAGGAAUGAACAUGUUAGGGCACCACACAAACCAUUUAAGCAGACAUAUAAAAAAUUUGAGCUACUUACAGUAGUUCCUUUCAAAAUUGUAAAAGCAUCCUCGUGACGCCAUAUUCUUUGACAUUUGGUUGAUUGUUGACGAGCAAUUUCCCUUCCCAUAUCUCUUACUAGUUGAUGCAUCCACAACCUCUGAUCGUUGUUGAUUUCAACAAGACAUCUAUCGAUGAGAUUGUCAAUCCCAAAUCUUGCACCUUUAUCGAGCCCAUCGAGUAUCCUAACUGCAUCAUCCACAUCCAUUCCAUUGAUGAAACAUGCGAUAUCAAGGAAUAAGUUCUUCAGAUAAUCACCAUCAAGAAAGUCAUAACUUAUUCGAAGAACCUUUUGAACUUCAAAAUUAGGAAUCACUUCCAAUUGUUGUAAUGCGCUUUCCCAUAUCUCUCUUCCUUUUCCGGACAAUGAAGAGCCAAUAACUUGAAGAGCUAAUGGAAGUCCAUUACAAUGAUGUACUAUUCUCCAAGAGUCUUCUACAAAACCAUCAACAGGGUAAGCUCUUCCAAAGGCAUUCCAACUGAAAAGCUCAAGCGAUUUUUUGUUAUCCAAAGGUUCGACUUCGCACCGGACCCACUCAAUAUCAUUAGCUGAAAACAGACCCUUAUUUCUGGUUGUUACAAUGAUUUUACUUCCUUUACAAAGCCAAUUUUGCAUGCCAAUGAUUUUAUUGAAUUGGUCCCUUUUGUCCACAUCAUCUAGAACAAUAAGAGUUCUUCUGCAACAUAUAUUGCAUCCUUAAUUUUUAGAAUUCCUUCAUCUUCAUCAUUUAUCUCAACAGUCUUGUUUAGGAUGUCAAAAAGAAGUUGGCUCUGUAGGCAAACUAUAUCCUUCGACCUAAAAUUUGAUAGAAAGCUCUUGCCUUCAAAUUUAUAGAAGUUCUGGUUAAAAACACUCUUAGCUAUGGCUGUCUUUCCAACUCCACCAAUUCCAUAGAGUAAAGCAAUGGCACCACCAUGGGAUCCAUCUUGCAACCAUGAGUUGAUAUAUUGUACCAGAGGAUCUCUUCCAAUGAAAUGAAGGGGGGAAUAAAAUAUUUUUGGAUCCAAAUUCUUUGAGAUAUUCUCCACAAUAGAUUGGACAAACUGUGCCUCGUACCUACAUCAGAAGGUAAAAUACAACGUAGGAUAAUAAGUAGCCUCUCUAUAAAGGAUAGAAAUAAACAACAUUUAGCUAAGAAAUUAAAGCAGGUUGCGUGUCAAUGAUUGAUUGAUAGUUAAUUUUGUAGGUGCAUUAUCACCCCUUAUUAAAACCAAAUCAAGAUUGGAAAAAAAAAAACAAUGAAGAAAUCAUAAGUAUUUUAUUUUAUUUUUCUUAUAUGUUUUCUUAUCAGUAUACUUAACUGAAAGAAAUUAAGAGUUCACGACCAACAUUCUAGUCUUAUGCUCUGUGUAGUUUCAUAAAGAGAUACAACUUACCCAUCUCCUAAAUCCAUUCCAGCUAAAUCAGCCACUUCCUUCAAAGCAAUUCUCCACCUAUUCACCCGCUCCAUCUCCUCGUUGAAGCUCUUUUCAUGUUCCACAAAUGCUGCAGCGAAGCUCCCUGUUUGACGUCCGACUUGGGAUGGAUCCACAUGAUAGAAUACUGGCACAACUAUGCAGUCAGCGUUCCUCUUACGUUCCAUGAUCUUCACAAGUUCAUCGAGGCACCAUCUCGACCAAGCAUAGUUUUUGGAGAACACGAUUAUCGCUAUUUUUGAUUGCUGUAUUGCCUUCUGGAGCUCCAGUUGUAUAUUCUUUCCUCUCCGAAUUUCAUCAUCAUCUCUAAAUGUGUGAAACCCUGCAUCAACCAGGGCCUUGUAGAGGUGAUCGGUAAAGUUCUUGCGGGUGUCUUCACCUCUAAAACUCAAGAACACUUGAUAUUUACAAUAAGAAAACCGUGAAGAGUAGGAUUCUUGAUAUUUCCCAGCAGCCAUUUCAAGUCUAGCGAAGAUAAGACUUUUCAAAGAUCUGAACCAAAAAAAAUAGGAGUUGCAGGAUUCAAGUCGAUAGUUCAAGAUCGAUAGCACACCAAUAAGCUGAAGUAUUCAUAUAUUAUUAUCCUACUUUUUCUGUAAAACAAAGUGAUAGAAAAAUAUUUGUACAUUUGAUAAAUCUCUAUGCUGAACCAACAAAAUCGGUUGAUGAGACCAUCAGUAAUUAGUUUCUAACAGUGAAUUAAUUUAAGUGAUUCUCAGUUACAGCAGAGUUACAUUCCACAAUAUAACAUAAUACUAAAAGAGAUAAGAGAGAGAGAGUACCUGAAUCUUCACUCUCCCUUCGCUGAUGUUCUCUUAUCAGUUCAUCAAUUUUAUGCUUUUAAGGUUGUGAUUGAAAGUGUUGUUAUUUUUUAAAGGGAUAUUUUUUUAUAAAUAAUUAAAAUAAUUUUUUUUAUUUUAAAAAUAUUAUUUUUGAUAUAAGGGUAUUAAAAUAAUUUUAAAUAUUAAAAAAAUAAUUUUAAAUAAAAAAGUUUUAAAAUUUUUAAAAAUACAAGUUAUACUACGUUGCCAGACAAUUCUUAUAUAAACCUUACAAGUCUGGGGUAUGGGCCAUUUCCGCUUUAGGGCCAUUUUUUUUUCUUCUAAUUUUCUCAAAAUUCAAAUCAUUUAUCACGCGUAGAGUAUAAUUACCAAAAGGGACAUUAGAGACACUCAUACAAACACAAUUAGGGUAUGCUGGGUAUUGCGGUUUGAAAGUAUUUUAAAAAAAAUUUAAAAUUUAUUUAUUUAUUUUAAAUUAAUAUAUUUUUGAUGUUUUCAAAUUAUUUUGAUGUGUUAAUAUAAAAAAUAAUUUUAAAAAAAUAAAAAAAUAUUAUUUUAAUGUAUUUUGGAAUGAAAAGCAUUUUAAAAAGCAAUUGUUACCACACUCUUAAACACGCUUCGAAAAUAAAUUCUGGGUAGUUGCGUUAUUCAAUUAACUUAAGUCAAUUAUUUUAUAAAAAUAAAAUUAUUUUACUUUUUAUUUUAAAAAUAAUUUUUUGAUAUUGAUCCUAUCGGGAGUUAGCAAGGUUUAGUUAAAUUAAUAUUUUUUAUUUAAAUUUAAAUUUAAUUCAUAAAAAAUCUAAUUCACGAGUUUUUUAUAUCCAGGAACAAACCAUUAAACAUCUCAAAUUCCAUCGUAUUCAUACCUGCCAUUGCCAAUGAUUCAAAGACGCGGAACUCUGCUGUCUUGUUAAAACGAUACGUCUCCGAUAUAUCCUCAGACCAAGUCUACAACUGGGCCCAAGACAUGGGCGAAUGGUUUUAAAAUUGAGAGAGAAAGGGUGGAUUGUAAUUUUAAGACAAGUCAUCCCUACAAGUCCACUCUCUCUAUGGUAUGGAACGUUUCCGCGUGAGGAAUUUUCCAUGGCUAAUUAAUGCCGGAAGCAGAAAGUCGGAAUGUCUAGGCUUGACCAGUUAUGCAUGGAAAAAUUUGGUGCCGGGAAUUGAUGACUAUUGACAUCCUGAAGUAAGAUUAUUUUUUAAAAAACCUUUUCUAUUAAUACAUAUAUUUAAUGGGCAGCCUUUAUUAUGUUUCAAAUUGUAUAUUAAUUAGCCAAUUGCAUGUAAAUGAGUUUAAUUCUGAACAAGUCAACUGGGCCCAAGACAUGGGCGAAUGGUUUUAAAAUUGAGAGAAAAAGGGUGGAUUGUAAUUUUAAGACAAGUCAUCCCUACAAGUCCACUCUCUCUCUAUGGUAUGGAACGUCUCCGCGUGAGGAAUUUUCCAUGGCUAAUGGCGGAAGCAGAAAGUCGGAAUGUCUAGGCUUGACCAGUUAUGCAUGGAAAAUUUUGGUGCCGGGAGUUGACGGCUAAUGACCUGGUGAAGUAAGAAAAAAGUCAGAAAAUAAAUUCCACAAGUUGAUGGCUAGUGGUGACAUCCUGAAGUAAGAAUCUUUUGUUUCUAAUUAAGAGGAGAAGAUGAUGGCUAUUAACAUCAUUUCUGUUUCUCUCUUUUUUCUCAAAUCUUUUGCUUCUGUUUGCCAUCCUGAAGCUAGAAAAUAUUUCAAUAACAUAAUAUUAAAUCCCUAAAUUUUAUAUCUGUUUGCCAUUAAUUUCUCCUAGUUUUCCAUUACGUCUAUUUGCCUUUUUCUAAAAUAUCUCCUCUAUAUUCCAAUCAGCUUCUCUGAACUCACAUGCUUUUAUAAAUGUUUUUUUUUUUUUCUCAUAAGACAUCGUUUAGUAGACCAAUCAACAACAGGUCAAUUAAUUUUAUAAUAAAUAUUGUCUUCGGUUUAGACCAAAACGUAUUGUAUUAAAUGUCUUUCAAGUACUUGAGCAAAGAAAUCUGAUCAUACUAAAAACAAAUGGGGAUUGCUUUCAAUUUACUCCUAACAUUUAGGACUAAUGCAUCAUUUCUUUUAUUUUAGACUGAAAAUAUUUUUUAAAAGUUAUGAAAAAUUUAGAAAUAUCAUAUUAUUUGCUGAUUAUAUCAAAUUUGGUCUUCAAACUUUAUAUAUAUAUAUAUAUAUAUUAUUUUGAAUAUUUUUUUCAAUUUCAUCCCUUAGAAUUUGAUUUUUAUAUUAACUUUGAUACUUAUUUUUAUAAUUAUUAUUUGUUUUUCCCUUACCAUUUUUUAAUUGAAAAUUUUUUUUAUCUAUCAAAUUUGAUCCUCAUUCUUUUGAUUGUUACUUAUUUUAUUUGAAAUAAUUUAUGAAAUGAUAAUUAUUAUUAUUUUAAUUUCUUCAUCUUUCAAUUUUUUUAUUUAUUAUAUUUGAUCUCUAUUAUUUGAUUAUUAUUUAUUUUAUUUGAGAUAAUUUAUGAAAUUAUAUUUUUUAACAAUUUCAUUCUCAUUCAACUUCUAAAUUUGUAAGAUUUGUUCCUCAUUGUUUUAAUAAACUUGAAAAAAAUAAAACAUUAAUAAGUUAUUUUCCAGCUUAUUUUCCAUAACAUAACCAAACACUACAAAGUGUUUUCCAACUUAUUUUCUAUUACACUACCAAACAUCAAAACAUAAUUUACUUUCCUGGAAUUUACUUUCCCAAAAUUCACUUUCCAAAAGGAAACUACUUUCCAGCAAACAAACGGGCCUUAAAAAAAUUUAAUAAGUGAAAGUCAAUUUUGGUCCCUAUUUUCUUGUUAUUUCACAAACAAACCCUCAAUUGGUCACAAUCUUUAAUAAUCUUUUCAAUUAUGACACUUGAUUUCUUUGAUUGAGCCCUUAGUAUCUUUUACAGUAUGAUCAUUGGUCUUGAUAUUCUUUAAUUUCAUCCUCAAUUGCCCUUUUAUACUUUUAAUUUUUUUGAUUUCACCCUUGAUUAAAUUAAUUUGCCUCUCAAAACGUCAACACCCAUUCAUUUUAGUCUUUGAACCUUUAAUUAUUGCAAUCUUGACACAAAUUGACUCUCAAACUUUUUUUUCCUUCAAUUAAGUCCCUAGUUGCAUUAGUUAACAUAAACCAAAUUUCAAUUAAGUCCCUAGACUUAUUGAUUCUUCUAAUUUCUAACAAAUUGACUUCUAAACUUUAUUUUUCUUUCAUUUUAGCUCCUGUUCAAGCCACUUAAACCUUUUUAAAGUUCAAUUAGGUUUUUUUAUUUUUUAAUUUAAUUGAAAAAAAAUUGAAAAAAAACUAAAUAUAACAAAAUUUUCUCAUAUGAAAAAAAUUCAAACAAUUAAGAAAAUAAAUUUUAAAAAAAAAACACACAAAACUUAGAGAAGAAAUAGGAGAAUUCUUACCUUAUAUUAGUUGUGGGUUAAUCUGAGAAUAAAAAAAAUGACAAGUUAUGAGUUAAUUAACAAAUAAAAAAUUAAACAAACCGAGGAGAAAAGAGAAGGAGAAGCCAUACCUGUUAGAGAAAAGAGGGUCGUUGCUCGAGGAGAGAAUGAGAGAGAGAAGAGAAAGAAAGAGUGGGAGGUUGGUUGGCGAGAUAAAUAGCAGAAGAGGAAGAGAGAGAAAGAAAAAAGAGAGAAGUUGUGACAUCCCCAUUUUUAUUCCGGGAUAAAUUCUCAAUUUAACAUGAAAAUUAGGAAUUUUUUUUUUUUUUUGCGUAACAUAUUAAUAGUGUUAAACUAAUUGAGAUCAAACACAAAAAGGAGGCUAGAAUUCUGAAUAAACUGUAUAUUAUGAAUGCAUAGUCUUAACCUAAUUACAAAUAAAGUAUAUAUAGGUUAAACUGAAAGUACUAUUCUACCCUUAAUAAAUAAGACAACAUAAAUAUUAUUUAACAUCUCCCCUCAAACUCACGAUGCGGCAGCUACAAGCAUCGAGAGUUUGCCAACUAGAAAACGAAAACGAGAUAUGGAAUGCGCCUUGGUAAAGAAAUCUGCAAUCUACAAUGAAGAAGGAACAAAGGGCAAAGUAAUGGUUCCAUGCUUGAGAUGAUGACGAGUAAGAUGACAAUCGAUUUCAAUGUGCUUAGUCCGCUCAUGAAAAACCGAGUUGUGAGCAAUCUGAAUAGAACUCUGGUUGUCACAAUACAUAGGAGUAGAAUGGGAAAAGGAAACUCCCAUAUCAGCAAGUAACCAACGUAACCAAAUAAUCUAUUUGGUAGUCGAUGUCAUGGCACGAUAUUCUGCUUCGGUGGAUGAUUGAGAAACAAUAGAUUGUUUCUUGCUCUUCCAAGAAAUAAGAGAAUCACCUAAAAAGAUACAAAACCCGGUAACAGACUUGCGAUCUGUGGGAUCACUACCAUGAUCAGCAUCAGAGUAUGCACGCAACUCCAAGGAAGAGGUGGAUGAAAGUAAAAGACUUUGAAAAACUGUACCCCGAAGAUAUCGCAAAAUACGAAGAACAGCUGCCCAAUGAACAGUAGUAGGAGAAGCAACAAACUGACUAACAACAUGAACAAUAUGCAAUAUCUGGACGAGUAAUGGUGAGAUAUACCAAACUCCCAACAAUAGUGCGGUAUAAAGUAGGAUCUAUCAAAGGUAAACCAUCAGAAGAAGAGUACCUUGCGUUAACCUCAAUAGGAGUAUCCACAGUCUUGUUAUCAGUAAGUCUAGCCCGCUCAAGAAUAUCUGCAACAUAUUUCGACUGAGAAAGAAGGUAACCUCUAGGUGAGUAUGCUACCUCAAUACCCAGGAAAUAUCGAAGAUAACCCAAAUCCUUCAUCUCAAAUCGUCUAGCCAACUCUGUCUUCAAAACUGAAAUACCAUCAAUGUCAUCACCAGUAAUAAUCAUGUCAUCAACAUAUAAAGACAGAAUGAUACGACCUGCAUCAGUGCACUUAAUAAAAAGAGCAGAAUCAUGACUGCUAGAAACAAAGCCAAGUGACGAGAUCACAAUAGAGAAUUUCUCAAACCAAGCACGGGGUGCUUGUUUGAGACCAUAUAAUGCUUUCUUAAGCUUACAAACAUAUCCAGAGUCAUGUGAAAUACCAGGAGGGGGUGCCAUAUAAACUUCUUCUUGAAGAUCUCCAUUCAAGAAGGCAUUUUUAACAUCAAGUUGAGAAAUAUGCCAUUGACGAAUCGAAGCUACGGCAAUAAGAGUACGAAUAGUAGUCAUUUUUGCAACCGGAGCAAAUGUCUCCUCAUAGUCCAUACCAUACUGUUGAGAGUAUCCUUUGGCAACCAACCUAGCUUUAUAUCGCUCAAUAGACCCAUCAGAAUUAGUCUUGAUCUUAUACACCCAACGACAACCAACAACACUCUUACCAGGAGGUAGAGGAACCAGAUCCCAAGUAUCUGUCUUAUGCAAUGCAGAAAGUUCCUCAUCCAUAGCUUGCUGCCAAAGCGGAUCAAGAAUUGCCUCUUUAUAGGAAGAGGGCUCAACAAGACAAUGAAUAGAGGCUAAAAAGGAAGUAAAUGAUGAAGAAUAACAAGAAUAAGCAAAAUCUGGUAGUUUUGUGGACUUACGAAUACGGAUGGACUGACGUGGAGGUGGAUCCACAAUCUCAGAUGAAGCUUGAGGGGCUGUAGAUGAGAAUGGAGCUUCAGGUGUGCCAGAGAGUAAAGUACCAGUACCUGCAGAGUUAUGAGUACAAAUUGAUCGAACAUGGGGAGAGCUAUCAUUACCAGAAUCCUCAGAAAAUGGAUCUAUACUAAUAAGAUCAGAUUUAGUCAGGUUAUGAGUAGUGGAUGGAAUAGAAAAGAAAGGUAUAUGCUCAAGGAAGACAACAUGACGAGACACAUAAAGUUUCUGAGUUAUUGGAUCAAAACAACGAUAACCCUUUUUACCUUCACCAUAGCCCAAAAAGACACAAAUAGCGGAUCGAGAGGAUAGCUUACUUCGUUCUACAUGAGGACGAAGAACGAAACAAGUACAACCAAAGACUCUAAAUGAGGAAUAAUCAGGGACAUACCCAUAUAACUUUUCAAAAGGAGAUAGACCCGAACUAUGAGAAGAUGGAAUUGUAUUAAUCAAGCUUACAGCAGUAAGAACAGCUUCUCCCCAAAACUCACUAGGAACAAAAGCAGACAACAAGAGAGAACGAGCAGUUUCGACAAUGUGCCUAUGUUUUCUUUCAGCAACACCAUUUUGCUCAGGAGUAUCUGUACAUGAAGUUUGGUGGAUGGUUCCAUCUAGGGCAAGCAAUUGGCAAAAUUUAUUAGAAGUGUAUUCCCCACCUAAAUCACACCUAAAGCAUUUGAUCACAGUAGAAUAUUGAGUUUUGAUAAGAGCUCGAAAAGCUGCAUAUAUCUCAAAGAAUUCAGAACGAUGUUUCAUUAAAUAAACCCAACAAUAACGAGUAUGAUCAUCAAUAAAAGAGACAUAAUAUCGAGACCCUCCUUUUGUGGCAACAGGAGAAGGUCCCCAUACAUCAGAAUGAAUCAAAUCAAAUGGUGAAGAAGAAACAGAAAUACUUCGAUUAAAAGGUAAGGCGGAAAAUUUUGCCAAUUUACAUCCACUACAAUCAGAAAUGUCACAAGUUUUCAAAUUUCCUAAAGCUCCUGUGGAUGCCAAAAAUCUCAAACGAGAAGACGAAACAUGACCUAGACGGGAAUGCCAUAAAUAAAAACUAGAAGAUGAAAUACUCAAACGAAAGGAAGACAAAUCAACUGUAGUAGUAGCAGCGGCAGCAGCAGCAACUGGCACUUUUAACUCAUCCAAAAUAUAUAGUCCAUUCUCCCUACGGCCUGUCCCAAUCAGCUUCUGAGACUGCAGAUCCUGUAUACAACAAAAGGAACCAGAAAACAUGACUAAAUAAUCACCAGAAUCACAUAUUUGACCAACAGACGCAAGAUUCAAUUUGAGUUGUGGAAUAAGAUAAACAUUAGGGAGAGACAUGUGAGGUGUGACAACAGAACCAACACCUGCUAAGGGCAUUUGAGUGCCAUCAGCAGUCAUAACAGGAAUGGAGGACAAAGGGGAUACAGAGGUAAAAGAUGAGGAAUCUGGAGACAUAUGAUGAGAAGCACCAGAAUCCAAGACCCAUUCAGAAUGUGACAUACCUGAGGAACUAUGAGGCAACUGACCUAUGGAAGAAGAAGCGGACAUUGCUUGUGGCUGCAAGGAGAGAAACUUCUGAAAUUGCUCAGCCAAAAUAUUAGGAUCGGUAAUAGAACUCGAGGAAGCUACUGCUGCAGUAUUGUGGUGUUGUGGUUUAUAACCCUGAGGUGGUCUAUGAGCAUUAGAUUGUGACUGAUUGCCAGGCUUCCAAGCUUGAUUCUGAUGUCUCAACUUAGGACACUGAGCCUUCCAAUGACCUUUCUGCUUACAGAAGCUGCACUCAUCGAAGCCAACCCUUGUGUGAGACUUAUUCUGAUGAUUAGAGAAUGACCUAGAAGGUACUGCUAGUACAGAAGGAUUUGAAGCAGAAAGAAUUCCUUUUUCAGAAUAAGACUGAAAACGUAUUUCUUCAGCCAAUAACUCACUGACAACAGAGUCAACAGAAGGCAGUGGAGAACGAUGCAGAAUUGAACCUCUAAGUCCUUCGAAAUCACUGCGAAGUGCUGUUAAAAACUGUACCAAUCUUUGCUGCUCUCUACGCUCAAUAUAGGCACCACAUGCCUUUAAUUCUGUCGAUUCAGUAAGAGCCAAUUGAUCCCAAAGAUCUGUCAUAGCAGAAUAAAACUCUUGAAUACUCAUAUUCUUCUGAUGAAGAGCUCGUAUGUCAUUCUCUAAUUGAUACUGUUUUGCAAAAUUUGAUUGUGUGAAUAACCUUUGCAGAUGAUCCCAAACCUCUUUUGCUGUCUCAUAUUUCGCCAACUACGUACCUAUUGAAUGCUCAACAGAAUUGUUGAUCCAAGUAUCUAUCAAACCAGCAUCCCCCUCCUCAAUAUUCUUAGGUAUCACAUAAGUUCCACUAACAUACCCCCACAUCUUCUUACCCUUAAGGAAAUUUUUCAUUACAUAACUUCAAUAUGAAUAGUUCUUCUCAUCCAACCUCACACUCACAGACUGAAGCGAAUCAUCUCUUUCAGUAGCCAUAAUCAACAAUCACAAAUAACUAGAAUGCAAAAGCAGCGGAAGACAAAAUACUCAAUUGCAGAAACUAAACAAAUAUCUUCUCGAAAUUAUACGAUUACUCCCAAAACACAAAACAAAGAGUACGAACUCAAUUGCAGAUACCAAAUUGCAGAAGCUGAAGGGAAGACGAAAUACCAAAAUAAUUGCAGAAACUGUCGAAAUACCAAAAUAAUUGCAGAGACUGUCGAAAUACCUAAUUUUGCAGAAGCGGAAGACAAUUUCUUAGAUUUAAAAUCAACAAUCUUUGUAAAUCACCAAUAGAUUCGUGAAUUUGAACCAAACGGAUGCAGUCUUCAAGUAUUAGCUUUUCAAGGGCUGGGAGACCCGAGAAGUCUGGGGUUCUAAUGAGAUCACGAGAGUGACGAAGAUCAAGAAUUUUCAAUUUUGGAAGAAACUGUGAAAAUACAUGAAUUUAGUUGUUAUCAAUUGAAAACGAGAGAGAUAACUAUACAGAGACUUGAUACAUACCGGUUUUCCCUUCCAAGCAUCAACUAGACAACUUCUGGAUAGAUCAAGAACCACAAGCUUCUCCAAGCAUAUGUGAUUUGGUAUGGAGCUCCAAGACAAUCCAUGCCAACAUAACCAUAUCAAAUUCUUGGGAAAGUGCUCAAAACUUCCAUGAAAAUUAGUGUAGUUUAGUUGGAGAAAUUUUACAUCUAGCAUCUUUCUAAAAGCAUCCGUGCUGAGGAUGGAAAACAAACUUGUUUGGCCAGUUUGUAAUUUUCCCCCAUUGGAAAACUUGGAAAGCCAUUGUUGAAAGAAGUUAAGCCUGCGGCGCUUGCCACAAACCAUUGAAUCAGUACAAACAACUUCUGCAUAAUGAUCUUCCAUUAAUGCAUGCAUAUCAAUGCUAAGGCCACGUAAUUUUUCAGCAUCCUGCAUAAUAAUAUUAAAAGUACAUGAGAAAGGAAAGUAGAUGAAUGAAUAUGUCAAGGCACCACAAACCAUUUAAGUAGACAUUUAAAAAAAUUCAGCUACGUACACUAGUUCCUUUCAAAACUGUAAAAGCAUCCCCAUGAUGCCAUAUUCUUUGACAUUUGGGUGAUUCUUGGCGAGCAAUUUCCCUACCCAUAUCUCUUACUAGUUGAUGCAUCCACAACCUUUGAUCAUUGUUGAUUUCAACAAGACAUCUAUCGAUGAGAUUAUCAAUCCCAAAUCUUGCACCUUUAUGGAGCCCAUCCAGUAUCCUAACCGCAUCAUCCACAUCCAUUCCAUUGAAGAAACAUGCGAUAUCAAGGAAUAAGUUCUUCGGAUAAUCACCAUCAAGAAAGUCGUAACUUAUUCGAAGAACCUUUUGAACUUCAAAAUUAGGAAUCACUUUCAAUUGUUGUAAUGCGCUUUCCCAUAUUUCUCUUUCUUUUCCGGACAAUGAGGAGCCAGUAACUCGAAGAGCUAAUGGAAGUCCAUUACAAUGACGUACUAUUCUCCAAGAGUCUUCUACAAAACCAUCAACAGGGUCAGCUUGUCCAAAGGCAUUCCAACUGAAAAGCUCAAAAGAUUUUUCAAUAUCUAGCGGUUGGACUUUGCACCGGACCCACUCAAUAUCAUUAGCUGAAAACAGACCCUUAUUUCUGGUUGUUAUAAUUAUUUUACUUCCUUUACAAAGCCAAUUUUGCAUGCCAAUGAUUUUAUUGAAUCUGUCCCUUUGGUCCACAUCAUCUAGAACAAUAAGAGUUCUUCUGCAACAUAAGGCAUCCUUAAUCUUCAGAAUUCCUUCAUCUUCAUCAUUUAUCUCAUCAAUAGUCUUUUUUAAGAUGUCGAAAAGAAGUUGCCUCUGUAGGCAAACUAUAUCCUUUGAUCUAAAAUUUGACAGGAAGCUCAUUCCUUCAAAUUUAUAAAAGUUCUGGUUAAAAACACUCUUAGCUAUGGUUGUCUUUCCAACUCCACCAAUUCCAUAGAGUAAAGCAAUGGCAGCACCAUGGGAUCCAUCUUGCAACCAUGAGUUGAUAGCUUGUACUGGAGCAUCUCUUCCAAUGAAAUGAAGGGGGACAUGAAACAUUUUUUGAUCCAAAUUCUUUAAGACAUUCUCCACAAUAGAUUGGACAAACGGUGCCUCGUAACUACAUCAAAACAUAAAGUACAAUGUACGAUAAUUAGUAGUCUCUAAAAAUAGACAACAUUUAGCUAAGAAAUUAAAGCAAGUUGCAUGUCAAUGAUUUGAUAGUUAAAACCAAAUCAUGAUUGGAAAAAAAAAAAAACCAAUGAAGAAAUCAUAAGUAUUUUAUUUUAUUUUUGUUUAUGUUUUCUUAUCAGUAUACUUAAUUGAAAGAAAUUAAGAGUUCACGACCAGCAUUCUAGUCUUAUGCUAUGUAUAGUUUCAUAAAGAGAUACAACUUACCCAUCUCCUAGAACCACUCCAGCUAAAUCAGCCACUUCCUUUAAAGCAAUCCUCCACCCAUUCACCCGCUCCAUCUCCUUGUUGAAGCUCUUUUCAUGUUCCACAAAUGCUGCAGAGAAGCUCCCUGUUUGACGUCCGACUUGGGAUGGAUCCACAUCAUAGAAUACUGGCAAAACUAUGCAGUCAUCAUUCCUCUUACGUUCCAUGAUCAUUACAAGUUCAUCAAGGCACCAUCUCGACGAAGCAUAGUCUUUGGAGAACACGAUUAUCGAUAUUUUUGAUUGUUGUAUUGCCUUCUGGAGCUCGAAAUCUAUAUUCUCUCCUCUCCGAAUUUCAUCAUCAUCUCUAAAUGUGUGAAUCCCUGCAUCAACCAGGGCCUUGUAGAGGUGAUCGGUAAAGUUCUUGCGGGUGUCUUCACCUCUAAAACUCAAGAACACUUGAUAUUUACAAUUAGAAAAGAGAAGAGUAGGAUUCUUGAUAUUUCCCAGCAGCCAUUUCGAGUCUAGCAAAGAUAAGACUUUACAAAGAUCUGGACAAAAAAAAAAGGAAUUGCAGGAUUAAAGUCGAUAGAUCAAGAUCGACAGCACACCAAUAAGCUGAAGUGUUCAUAUAUUAUUAUCUUACUUUUUCUGUAAGACAAUUUUCAAGUUAUUUCCCAGCAAUCAACUCCUCCAUGCCCUUUCAGAAAAAUACUUGUAGAUAUGAUAAAUCUCUAUGCUGAACCAACAAAAUCGGUUGAUGAGAUCAUCAAUAAUUAGUUUCUAAUAGUGAAUUAAUCGAAGUGAUUCUCAGUUACAGCAGAGUUACAUUUCACAAUAUAACAUAAUACUAAAAGAGAUAAGAGAGAGAGAGAGAGAGAGUACCUGCAAUCUUCACUUUCCCUUCGCUGAUGUUCUCUCAUCAGUCCAUCAAUUUUCAGUUUUUAAGUCAACCUCACAAGUCUCUGGGGUCUGGGUCAUUUCCCGCGUUAGGACCAUUUUCUUUUUUUAUUCUUUUUUUUUAUUUGCUCAAAUCAUUUAUCACGCGUGGAGUAUAAUUACCAAAAGAGACAUUAGAGACACUCACACAAACACAAUCCCUUUCAUCAACUCACACGGUUCUUCACUUCUUCUUACUUCACCCACCAGUAUCAUCAAGGCUCUUCGUAUCUUACCAAUCUAUUAGUUGGUCAGUUUGUCGGUGGAGUUGAAAUCAAAAAAUUUGGUUUUUUAGUGAUUUUAUAUUUGAGUUGUGUAAUUACUAAUAUAAUAGUGAUUAAAAUUUUUAGUUUUUUUAUUUCAGUAUAUUAAAGAAAAAAUAAAAAAUAUAUUAUUAAAACGAAAAACUAAACAAACUUUUAAACACGGAUAUUUUACAUAUCAUACACAGAGUUCUGAGUAUUUGAAUCAUUGGCAAAGGCAGGGAUGGCAGGAGGGGAAGUAUCUGUGUAUGAUAUAUUACAUAUCAUACGCAGAGUUCUGACCUUCUUGUUCUUUAGGAUUUUUCUUCCCACAUAUAUUAAGAGCACCCAUGGGUCGGGCCAAUCUUACAUUAAUUAACUAUAUAUAAUUAAUGUGUAUAAUUUCUUUUACAGUGCUUUCUCUUACUUCCAGCGCAAUAUUCUUUUUUCUUUCUUUCUUUUGUGAAAUCCAACACAUCAAAUUAUGUUAAAUUAAAUUUUGAACCUGGCACUUAAAGUAGCACGUAUCAAACUUAAGAUCAAAAUCAAGAUAAAGUUAAAGUAAAUUUGAUGUUUUUUUUAUAUAUAUAAAGUAAAUCUGAUAAAGUUACCUGCAAUCCUCACUUUCCUUCGCUGAUGUUCUCUUAUCAGUUCAUCAAUUUUCUGCUUUUAAAUCAACCUUGAAGGUCUCUGUGGUAUGGGCCAUUUCCGCGUUAGGACCUUUUUUUUUUUCUUUAAUUUGCUCAGAAUAAGAGAAGCUAUUUCUGCUUUUGAUACAGGUACACAUCACUAUUGGGAAAGUGCUCAUAACUUCCGUAGAACUUGUGUAAUUUAGCUGGAGAAAUUUUACAUUUUGCAUCUUUCUAAACGCAUCCGUGCUGAGGACAAGAAACAAACUUGUUUGGUCAAUUUGCACUUGUUCCCCCAAGAAAAACUCAGAAAGCCACUAUUGAGAGAGGAGUGUAAAUCAGUGCAAAGAUCUCUGUAUCAUGUUGAUCAUUGCCUGGGCCAAUUGGAGUGCAUUCUAACUCAUGUUUUAUGUGCGUUCUUAGUCGUGUUUGAUUCAAUGGUUACCUUUGGUGCACCUGAUCGGCAAAUCGCCUGGAAAAAGCUGCCCAGAAUGCUUAGCACCUAACAAAAUCGGAAUUAGAGGAAUUUGCUAGAGCAACAGAAGAGUAAGCAAUCGAAUUGUUCUGUGUUCAUGUAGAAAUUCUCAUAAAUGUGGUUUUGAGGUUGGGCUGCAAUCAAUUUGGAAAGAUUUUGGUCCAUGCGAUGAGAGCAUUCCUUCUGUACUCUGUUAAGUUGCUUCAUUUUUUUUCUUUCAUUUUCCUUUGCACUCAUAUUUGCUCUUGCUGUAUUCAUCUAUCUGGAAGAGAUGUUAGAGAUGUGUGUCAACAGGCAGAACGAUCAUGUGCAUCAAAGGUAACCAACUAAACAUCUCAUGUCCUCUCACAUCGUAUUGUUUACAUGUCUUUGCAUUCGCAGCAUAAUUCGAGGACAAGCAAGUAAAGAUGGAGAACAAGGAAGUCUUCCACCUCUGGCAGAAUACACCAAAAAACUCCAUGAAUUGAAGGUAGGCUCUAGCUAGCAUUGUAGAGCAGAAAAUUCAAGGUUCUAAGCAUAUCAUAUCUACAUGUUUCAGUCUUCCCCCUCUGGCAGAAUACAUCAACAAGCUCCAUGAAUUUAAGGAAGGCUCUAGCUAGCAUUGUAUAGCAGAAAAUUCAAGGUUAUAAGCAUAUCAUCUCUACAUGUUUCAGUCUUCCCCCUCUGGCAGAAUACAUCAACAAGCUCCAUGAAUUGAAGGAAGGCUCUAGCUAGCAUUGUAUAGCAGAAAAUUCAAGGUUCUAAGCAUUUCAUCUCUACAUGUUUCAACCUCUCACCUCUGGCAGAAUACACCGAAAAGCACCUUGAAUCGAAGGAAGGCUCUAGCUAGCAUUGCAGAACAGAAAAUUCGAGGUUCUAUUAUGCACCCACAGAAACCUCAAGUGGAUACAUGUUAGAAAGAUUGACAGAGGAAUUGUAAUUUCAAUGUUAUAUAGCACAAACCCUAGGUAUAUCAAAAGAUGUAUAGCAUGCAUACGAGUCCUAAUAAAUCAGCAGAAGGUCAAUUUCAGGUUUUGCAGUAGGAAUUCUGUACUUAGGGUUUGCAGAACAGUAGUUAGGAUACCACACCAUCAAACAUAAUGCAAAGAAGCAAUGGAUGCAGAUCUCUUUAUUGCUCUGUCCAUUCUUGACUUAAAUAGAGAGAAAACAUCAAGCAGAAAUUUUUAUUUGUUGAAAAGAAAAGAGAAGAAAAGGGCAAGAAACCAGGGCCGAAUACAAAACAAAUAGACUUCAAAAGAAGAAGUUGCAUUGUAGCAAACUUAGCAGCAAAGCUCCUUCCCUGCAUUAACCAAUCACGACUCAGUGAGUUAAGCAGUCAAAAAACAUAUAAAAGUCCGAAACUUUUUCAUUGAGAGAGAAUGAACUGUACCUUGACAGAAUGGGCAUCUCCCCCUCUUCUUCUCCAACUCGUUUCCUCUUUCUACUCGUUCCUUUCCCGGCCACAAUCGAAGCAAUCUGCAACUGAGUCUGCAACAUCAUUCUAGUCAACUCAGCCUCCAACUCCAUCCUCCUUUUCUCUGCCUCCAACCUUGAAGCCUCUCUUGCCUUGAUCAUCUCCAUCUCUGCAAGGUCCAUUCUCGCCAUUGACUCCGAGAAGACCCGGAAACUCGCUGCAAGAUCAGCAAGUCUUGGAGGUGACUCGGAGCUUACAGAGUCAGAACUCAGUGGAUUGUUAGAAUCCUCGCUGUCCGAAGGGACUUCACCAGUUACCAUUCCAGCAUCACAGGCAUGCUUUAAACGGUUCUCCUCUUCCCGGUUCGGUCUGGCUCGAUCGGCUGCGUCUGCCAUUACCUUAUCUUUGUUCUAUUCUACCAUGCUCUCCUACCAUUAUUAUCACAGGGUCACUCAUAAAGUGAAGAUUCUGCCACGUCAGCUAACUUUGUUGUUAAUGGGACCCGCCAACAUCUCGAUGUCUCCUUACUUUGAUGAUUUAAAAGUAGUGAGUUGCCCAACCAAGGCAGUAAACCUAGCAUUUGAUGUCUUGAUUAGUGGUGGAAGGGGAUGUUCCUUUUCAUCUCACCAUGUUUCAAACUUUAUUAUUUGUUAUUUUUAUGAUGCCUUAUAUAUUUAUUAGAUUUGUAAAAUAUUUAAUGGGUCAUAAAAUUAAUUGUAAUACACUCAAACUGAUCCAGAUAUUCUAAAAUAUUUGUGUCAAGGAGAUGUGUGUACUUUUAUGUAUGUAUAACCAUGUGAGUGCGCAACAAUUUAAAUAAAAAUCAUCUCUAAUUCAAGAAUUUAAAUCAAUAAUUUAUAUAUUUUGUGAUCUCUCAUGGUUGGAGGUGAAAUUUAAGAAAAAAAUAUAAUAGAUAAAUAAAUCAAACCUUUAUAUAUUAAAAAAAAAUUACACAACAAAAAAUAUAGAAAAAUAAUUUUAAACUAAAACUUGAGUGAAAUAUUAAUUAUUUCAGGUAUCAAGUAUUUAGACAUUAUAUAUGGGAAUAUCUAAUAAAAAAAUAUAUGAUUAUGAGAGAUUAUGAGAUUAAAUAUAAUAAUGGAAAUCAUCUCUAACCUAAAAAAUUCAUAUGAAUAUCCAAAAAGUGUAAAUUAAGAAAGAAAAUUGCUGAUUAAUGAAUAGAUGAUUGAUUGGUAUAGGUGUCGAACUCUCAAUUAUCAUGGACGAUGACUUGAACCUAGAGUUACUAGGUCCAUGAAUCUAGCACUUGCGAUCGAGUUUCCACACUUCUUUGCAUGGAAUUUUAGACCCUUUAUUUUUAUGUUUUAAAAGUAAUUUGUAAGAAAAAUAAUUAUUUUUUUAUAUUUUUAAAUUAUUUUAAUAUAGUAAUAUUAAAAAUAUUUAUAUAAAAAAAAUAUUAAUGAUCGCAUUAAUAAUAUGUUAUUACUACUUUCAUGCUCGACCCUUGCAAAAGAAAGAUGAAUUUCAUCCGGAUUUCAUAAUAUAUUAAUGAUCAAUUUCUUAUUUACACAUCAUUUGUUAUUUGUUAUUGAUAUUCUAUAAAACUGUUUAGGCAUAAGAGUUGAGUUGAAAGUUUUUUUUAAAAAAAAUUGAUUCUUGAAUUUUUUUAUAUAGUUGAUGAUCUUGGAAUAAUUAAAUUGACAUAAUUUCUAUAUAAUUAAUUUUGAAUUUAAAUCAAAUAAAAAAUUAAAUUUAAUAACAACACAAUUUUUUUGUAGUUUAAAUAUCUGUUGAUAUGUCUAAAAUUAUUUUUUUAUUAUUAAGUAAUGGACAAGACAUGCAUGAAGUAGAAACUGACUCGUAGUUACAGUUACCAUCGCUAAUCUUUGUAUAAAAGGAAAUAUAUAUAUAUAUAAAUUACCGUACCAAAAUUAUUAAUAUCUGCUGGUUAUAGGCUUUUUCUUUCUUCCUAAACCUCAUCGAGUCUCAGCAAAUCUAUCCAAAGCAAAACAAAAAUGGCGUCAAGGGACAAGAAACCAGCAAAACCCUCAAGCAGUCGAGCCGGAGGUAUCCGUACUCUCUCCGAUCUGAACCGGCGUUCCGGGCCUGACUCUGACAGCGACGACGAAGAUGCUCCUCAAGAGUACUACACUGGUGGAGAGAAAAGGUAACAAACAAAUACCCCCUUUAAAACCCUAAUUAUAUAUCGAGAUUUACUUCUUCUGGGAUUUCAAAUUUUGAUUUUUAAUGUAAAGUUGCAAUCUUUUUUGGAUUAGCAAUAAUGGGUUCCUUUUAUAAUUGAUGAAUUCAUUGAUUUGUUUGUUAAUUGGCGGGCUAGUAGUGAUAAUUGAUUGAAUUUUGAAGUGGAUUUUUAGUGCUGAGGGUUGACGAUGAGUCUUUUGAGAAGAAAAAUGAAUGGGGCGGGUGUCUUUAGUCGUGGUAAGAAAGAUACUUGAGUUUAGGCAUUGAAAAUCAUGAAGUAGGAAGUUGCGCAUUUGAGAGUUAGAUAAUUAGGUGGAGGGAUAGUAUGGAUAGGGUUUCUUGGUUUUAUUGCCUGGUUGUGUAGUGUUAGUUUCCUCGGUCAAUGGAAACAGUCCUGCCCCUUAGACGGAUGUAAAUGCUGUCAUCUAUUGUAAAUCAAAAAUUGUCAUUUUGAUUAUUAUUUUGUUUAGGCGAGCAUUGGACUUGCUGAUUUGAAAAUGCUUUUGGGGUGGGUGCAAGAGGAUCUGGAUGACAGCAUUGGUAGGAUCUGAUAGCGAUGGGAUUUGUUUAUAGAGCUUGCUUUUUGUAGAGAUUCAUUUACUAUUGAUGCCAGAGCUGUAACAUAGGUAGAGAAGAAUCAUCUUACUCAGUCUCGACUCUAGGCAUGUAGACUGAGUACUGAGCAAAGAAAGCUCCAUGGUUCUGGAAUGUUUAUAGAUGAUGGCUCUUUAGUGCAUUGUUAGCUUUAUUUCUGUCAUAUAUUUAUCGGCCGUGUCAUAAGCUAUUCCGUUAUAAUUUGUAUUUAAAGCAUUUAUAAUUUCCAAUCCUUUGUAAUUUUGUAAGGAACCAAAUUUGAUCUUGGUGUAUUUUCAUAUUUUCAAUAUUUGUUAAUUCAAUAAUUUUUAGAUUUUUGCUCUUUAUCUUGCAAAUGUUAGAAUGCUUUUCAAUCCCACAACUGUGGCUCCUGAAAUAUUUCACAAAGCUGUAGUUGCUAAUGCCUAUGUCUAUCAUUUGUUUUUAUCUGACUUGUUGCCCUUGGUCAUUCCUUCCUUUAUAUAAUAUAUGUAUGAAAUUUGUUUAUUUAAGUACCUUGCGCAUUUCUAAUUUUUACGGUUGCAGUGGUAUGCUUGUCCAAGAUCCUACAAAGGGUAAUGACGUGGAUGCAAUUUUCAAUCAAGCUAGACAGCUUGGUGCUGUUGAAGGGCCUUUGGAGAAUAUUAAUCAAUCUUCAAGCUCAAGUAGCUUUAGUGGAACUGGUAGAUUACUCUCAGGGGAGACUGUACCAUCUGCUCCUCAACAACCUGAAGCUGUUGUUCACAAUAUUGUUUUCUGGACGAAUGGUUUCACUGUAAAUGAUGGUCCCUUGAGGAGUCUGGACGAUCCUGAAAAUGCAUCUUUCUUAGAGGUAAUAGCAAUACAGAUAUAAAAUAAAUAAAAUAAAUUAUAGAGUGAGAAGAAAAUUUUCACAAAGUGGAGUUUUGAUUUGUAGUUGGUGAUUGUUUCCACCCCUUAUGUGUGAGAAAAAUUUAAAGUUCGUGGUAAUUGCAUCAUUCUCAAUCAAUAUCUUUUCACUAUCUUGCUUGUUUCAAUAAUGACUAAUGAUUCUGCUAGAUAGGUAGUUCAUCCUAAGACUUCUUUUUCUACCUUCUCUUGAACCUUUACUUAUAGCAGCAUAUGCUAGGGCAGCUUUUGUUUUAUGUCGUCAUGUUUUACUUAUUCCUGCUCCCUUAUUUCUUCGUUAGUAAUGUUUGUGGUGAUAUUAUUAUUUUGUUUUAUAAUGUUUUAUUGCAGAGCAUCAGGAAGUCCGAGUGUCCGAAGGAGCUUGAACCAGCGGAUAGAAGGUCCUCAGUUCAUGUCAAUUUGGUUAGGAGGGAUCAAAAGUCCCCAGUGAGUCUCUUUCUCUCACUCUUUUCUUACUUAGACUAAUAAUUAUUUUAGAACUUUAGAAAUUGUCAUCCUUUUUUAAUCCCCGAGUCAGUGUUUUGGUCAGUAAUUGUUCCCGAAAAGAGCAUCAGCAUGCUUUUACAUGUGUGUUUGAAAUACAUCGGUGUUGGUACAUGUGUUUGAAUGACAUUGGUGCUGAGCUGUACUGACACUCCUCUGUCAUUGUCUUCCUGCAGGAACCAGAGAGGCAGCGCCAUCUUCCAUUCCAAGGUGUAGGGAGAACUCUAGGAAGCAGCAGUACUGCACUUGCAACUGAACCAACUGCUGCUUCUGCUCCUCUGAACUCUGCCCCAACCCCUUUUAUGGGCCUGGUUGUGGAUGAAACACUGCCAUCGACUUCAAUUCAGCUUAGGCUGGCUGAUGGGACCCGCAUGGUGGCCCACUUUAAUAAUCAUCACACAGUCAAUGACAUUCGAUCCUUCAUAGAUGCUUCCAGGCCUGGGGCUGCCCUUAAUUAUCAACUGCAGUUGAUGGGGUUCCCACCUAAGCUUCUUACUGAUCCAACACAGACAAUAGAGCAGGCAGGCCUUGCCAAUUCAGUUGUUAUUCAGAAAUUCUAGCAAAAGCUGCAAGAGGGUUGCAUACUGUCUCUAGGCAAGAUGGAGCUGUUUCUCGCAGCAAGUGAACCGAUUUUAUGAACAUGAAGACCUUGAAUAUAUGUUUCCUUGUAUACAAAAAGGAGGGUUGGCGGCUGGUUGAUUGGAAAAUGGAGUUGAAUUUUGUGAUUCCAAAAUGUAUUCUUCUGCGUUGUCUUGUAAAUUGAAUGCCGUUGUUUUGCUUGCUUGACAUUUUCUCGCUUCCCACUUUAUUCAUGUUGCUGGCAUCUGUUCUUCCCCUACAGUCGUUCAAACCAGAGAAACCCAUGCAAGCAUGGCCCUACUUGGUGAAUAGGAUUGAAGUAAAUGAGUACGAGGAACCAUGACUAGAUCCUUGCUGGAUUAGCACUUGCAAAAUCUGCAGUAACCAGCCCAUGGCUCACAAGCCCAGCCCUGAACUGAGGAAAGGACUGUAGCCUUAACAGAGUGGCUAGGCACUAGGCGGCUACAGUAACAUGCCAUGUAUAGUCCUGGACUCGAGGUCGAAGUCUACAAUCUAAAAAUGUCUCUUCUUACCUAACAUCCUUUACAAAGUAAGACUAUAAAAGAUCUCUGUCUCUAAAGCGGAUGCACGCAAGGUAUCUUAUUCACUACUUGGUAAGGCAUCUAAUGAUCACAGUGAGCCGGUGAGGCAUCUCAAAACACCCCUCUCAACAGUUUCUAUCCCCAUUCAUUGUGCCAUGGAUUUGACAAGAUAAAGAUUCUUUUGUCGGCCAAAAUAACCCGUUUGUGCUCCCAUUUGAAAAUUUCCCCUCUUUAGGGCUCGCCGGACUGAAGGGUCCCCCUGAGCCCAUGUGCUAGCCAUGCAUCAACAUGACAGCCUUGCAUGAUUUAGAGCCCGUUAGGCGACAUGGUAUUUUUGUAAGUAUCCCCCCUCAAAAGUCACAAAAAAAAAAAGGUUUUGUAAUUUUCGAAAAGUUGCUUAAAGGCUAGAAAUCAGAAGUUAUUUAUAAUUAUAAUUGCAGAUUUUUUCUGAAGUUUCAUCCAGAAAAGAAACUAUGGUUAACUCAUGUAUUAUUUUUAUUUAAAACAAUAUUAUUCCGAAUGUUUUUAAGUUUUUUUGGUGUUAAAAUGGUUAAAUCACUUAAUUGUAGCUGUGUGAAGAUCAAAACUGGUCUAAAUUAAAACAUUAUUUGAAUUUAAUUUUAAAUUAGGAGUUUUCUAAUUCUAACUAGUGAGAUUGAAUUAGGUUUAAUAAUUAUGCUCGGAAGAACAUUUUAGUGAAAUAUCUCCAAAAUUUUAUUCACUACUAUAUAUAUCUAUACACUUAAAUAAUGCUAUACACAUAGAUAGCACUUGAUGCAUGAAACCAGACAAAACAAGUUCAUCUGCAAGUUAGUUGGUGUGUUCCGAAAGCUCCUUGUUUUUCCCCAUGGGACGACAAACUCAUCUUGUCCAGCCAAAUUUCUUCUGCUCGCCAAACGCACCCUCUCAAGCAAGUCAUCGGGGGUCAUGUCAAGGAACAUGUACAAAAGGCCAUAGAUAGGAUCAUAGGUGAGCUAGCUGCUCAUGCCUCGUGUAGCAAAGCAAGAUUCCCGGCCUCCUCUUGUUGCCAAUUUGCGAGCGAAUAUCAGACCAUUAGGGAAACACACUGAUAGCUUCACGUCCACAUUUCAAAGAAACCGAGAGUGGUGCCAUCCAACUUUAUGAAUCAAAUCAGUGGUUGGAUUGUUGAUUGAAGAUCUUCGCUUCUGUGGUGGUGCUAGUGCACAUACAAUUUUGAAAAGAAAACUGAGACCCCACCAUUCAAAGUGGUUUCCCUCGAGGGUUAAUUUCUCCUUAAUCUACAAGUUGACUGUACUUUGCAUUGAUCAUGACGUCCCAAUUGUGGUUUAAGUUCAUAGACUGUUCGCCAAUAAUAUCGGCCUCUGAGUUGCAUCAGAUAAGUUGACCGUAUGGUUUCUGGCUUGCUGUCAAAAUCAUUAGGAGCUACUUUAAUUAUUAUCUCCAUGCUUAAGACCUCCAAGGAACUUCUUGCUUCCUAUGGCAAGGCACAAGAUAACAGUAUCCUGGUGCCUUUCUAAGCUGUCAAUGGACGAAAGCAUGCAAUUAUCAUUAAAACUCGAGUAAUCAAGUGGUUGUUGCUGCGAGCAAGACCUUUAAUCUGAGACCUACAGCUCAUUUCAUAAUUAAGCUGUCAAGGAACACAAGCAUGCAAUUGUCAUCAAGCAGAUAUCUUUACAACUUCAGCUAUGUAUGGACGCUCAUGGGAUGUUGUUGAAUCUUGCAACUCUUGCAUUACUUUCCCCUUUGCACUGCACGUUGAUCAAUGGGUGUUCAUAUGAUUUUCAUUUCUUGAAGGAACAAAAUAUAUAUAUACUCGAUUAAUAUUUUCUAUCUUCAACAAAUUCAUGCUUGUUAUUUAUGCUGUUUCAACCAAUGUCUAGUACUUUAUUUUUGUAUAGAUAUUUUUUUUUGUUUUUACCCGGGUAUCCUCACACCCUUUUAAAUAGUAAGACUAGUCUCGUUCGGGGUUCGUGGCUGUCCCUCCCAAUAAGUGCGCUUCCUGGAAAUCAAACUUGUAUUCUCACCCUUGUAGGGAUAUAGCAGUGUCUUAACCGCUAGAUCAACACUUCAUUGGUAUUUUUUUUUUUAUAUAGAUUUGAAGAUACUAUUGAAUUGACUAUAAUGAUCAAGACAGACUAUUUGAUUAUUAUCUUAAAAGAAAUUCACAUCAAAAUUAUUUUAAUAAUAUUAUUUUAUUUUUUUAUCACUGAAAUCAAAUAUAUUUUUAUUCUUUUACAAGUAGUGUAUUAGUGAAACACAAUCUAAUAAAGUUAUUGUUUGGAAAAUGAGUUUCAACAUGAUUUUUAUCAAGAUUUGAUUUUAUUCUACUUAAAAUUAAUUAUUUUUUAAUAUAUUCAAAACAUUUAGAUAUGUUAAUAUUAAAAAUAAAUUUAAAAAAUAAAAAUAAAAAUAAAUUAUUUUAAUAAUUUUCUAAAUAAAAAAAUUUUAAAAAACAAUUUUUAUAACAUCAUCAAACAAAUUCAAAUACUUAGCACGCUCACAAAGUUAAUCAAGAAGAUAUGAACAACACCUUGAUCAAUAUCUAGGCCAUUGAAAAUGUUUGGAAAACUUGAUUUUGGAGGAUUAGAGCAGCAGGAUCGAAUCAUCCUAACUUUUAUUGACAAUUCUGAAGGACAUAAACACUUGUUCUCCUAAACAGUACAUGACAUCAACCUCACCCUUCACAAUUCACACCAGUCUUGACACAAUUCUAAUGACAAAUUAUAAUCUCCAACACCUGUAAACAGAAGAUUAGCCAAGGUCUGAUCAUGGCCAGGUGGCCUUCUACUUAAUUUAUUUAAGCUCAGCUAAUAAUUAUAUCCUGUAUCGUUUUAAUUUUGCUGGUUCAUAAAUAAAUAUUUUACCAUGGCGGAAAUUAGUGUAGCAAUUGACUUGCCAGGCCAGGUCCUGAGUAAACGGGUAAUCAAGCUGACUUGUCAUGCUAAGCUGCAGAUCGAUGGGUCAUUGAGUUAACUCGUUAAGUCAGGCCGGGUCCCAUGACACUAAAACGACAACGCCGGUGGCCCUUCCUUGUGUUGUUGUUGGGCGACUAAUCUGAACGUGUAGCUCAAUUUGACAGGAAUGGACGUUCUUUGUUUACAAUAAUAAAGAUAGAAUUUCAAACAAAAGUAUCAUCAAUUGGAUUCCACGGGUUAGUAGAGAACAAUGCUAAAUAGCUAGUUUGAUCACGAUGAUUAGUUGUUUCUCUCUUGCACUUCAAUUAUGGUUCCAUUUAGAAUUUGUAAUUGCUUGUUUAUGCUUUUUAAAUAUAUUUUUUAUGAUUUUGAAUCUUUUGAUAUAUAAAUAAAUAAAAUAAAUUUUAAAAUUUAAAUAAAAUUAUCUUCAUGAAUUUUCAAGUUAAAUUCAUUUUAAAAAACAAUCUAACACUGUCUUCUUUACUAUUCUUGUAAAACUAUCAGGCUAGGGUCCUCUGAAUGCCAAGAUUGUUGUCUUUCGUUUUGAGAUCUUCAUUAUUCUCACAGAACCAUCAGGCUAGGGUCCUCUGAAAUCUUGAGGAGCAGCCAUGGAAUCUUUUUCUAUUAAGUUGUGCUGGUGGAAUAUCCAUUGAAUGUUCAUGCAAUAAGCACUACGGUUCUCAACUGUCUGCAAUGAAUGAUUAUAUAAAGACUAAAAAGAAGCCCAAGUGAAGAUCCAUUGCACCUCGAAGUCAAGAAGCUUCUCUGUUUAUGGCAUAUCAAAACUUAUGUGAGAGUUGAAUUGUUGAUGUUUGAUAUCGUCAAGGAACAAUGAGACAGUGGCCUUCAUCUUCUUCGAUCGAGUUUUCACCAAUAAGAGACGCCUUAUUUCUUAAUAACACUCACACACACCUCAUCAUCACAAGUGGCCAGAUUGAAUGUUCAAAGAUUAACAUGAUUUCGCCUACCGCAUAACAAAGACAAGAAAAAAAAGGCAAAAGAAGACUACUUUUUCAGCCUAGUUGUGAAAUUCGGGUUUUAUCAAAUUAACUUGCUAAUUAAUGUAUAAAUUCACUCAACUAGCAACCCAAGUCUUCAACUCAAUUGAUAUAAAAAGAAAAGGAAACCAUCCACUAAAUUAAAAAUGUAUUUCGGGUCGAGUCUUACUUAUUUUAAAUCAUGAUUUAAAUUAACCUCAUAAUUUAAAUAUAAAUUCACUCUACUUGAACUCAAGUUUUGAAUCCGAUUGACAUGUAUAAAAAAUAAAAAAGAGGCCAUCCAAUUAAUUAAAAAUGUAAUUUAGGUCAAGUUUUAUUUAUUUUAAAUCAUAAUUUAAAUUAACCUAAUAAUUCAAAUAUAAAUUCAUUCGACUUGAACUCAAGUCUUGAAUCCGAUUGACAUAUAUAAAAAAAUAAAAAAGAGGCCAUCCAAUUAAAUUCAACUUAACUUGCCCACACAAACUCUAAAAAUGACAGGAUAAGAAACCCAACAUGGUAACCUAAAAUCAUAUCCCAAUUUAAUUUGAGCAUCAUCAAUGAAGUUAAAUCCUCACUGCAAGCCAAGCUGGCAUGCACUUCCAUCUAAUUUAAUUAUUAAAAUUUUAGCAUUGUAUUGCAUAAUAAUGUUUAAAAAUAUUUUUUUAUGUACAUUACUAUGUUAAAAUCACUAAAAAUUAUUUUUAAAAAUAUAAAUUUUUUUUUUCAUAUUAAAUAUAUUCUUAACACAGAAAGAACAGCAUUUUAAUGCGGUGAUUCAAAAAAAGCAGAGAAAUCGGAGUUGGGUGGUAGCGGCUUGUAUAUUUUUUUAUGGCUUCUGCACCCUUUGAGUGGGACAAGAUAAAAUAAUUUGGCUUAACAUCGUCCAAGAGAUUUUAGAAUUUCUUGACCUAUGAAACACACUUUACAUUACUGGCUUGUCGUCUUCGUUGUUUUUAAUGUUCUUGUCGAUUAUGACUGCUCAUGAGAGAAUUAGAGAAAUAUAGAGUACGAACAUUUUCAGAAGUGAUAGCUUAUGGAUUUUUUUUUUUUUUUUUUAAGUAUUCUUUGCACUCUUUUAAAUGCUAAGAUUAAUUCCAUUGAAAUUCAUAGCAAUUUUUUUUAAUAAAUAUAUUUUUUAAAGAUUGAACUCAUAAAAUAUUUCAUGUGAAAAAAAAAAUAACUGUUUCUAAGUUAAAUUAUUUUUCUUCUUCUAUAUAUGGAAAUGUAUUCUAAUAUUUUUAAAAUAAUUUAUUCAUUUACAAGUUGAUUUGGUGCAUAUUUAAUUUAACUCUCACAAUCUAUCAUUUGAUUCCAGACAAUAAUAAACUCAGUAAUCAAAUAGAUGUUUACUAUAUGAAUGAUUUAAAUAUUUGUUUCAUGGAAUAUAAAUAUUGAGAAUCUAAACUGAUAUCGAGAAUUUGUUGACUUUGAGCCACGAACUUAUUGGUAAAUGUGCUUGAUUACUUUUGAUUGAUUAAACCCUUAAACUAAUAAUAAUUAAAUUAGGUCAGAUGUUAUAAAAAUAUUAUUAAAGCCUAUGAUCCAUUUAACCUGACAUUUAGAUUAGAUUAAAUUCAACUAGUAUAUCAACUUAUAAUCUGAUUCACCAAGUCAAAUUUUAUUUUGAUUUAAAAAAAAAUAGAUUAAAUUAUUUUAAUUUUUCCAAAAAUAAUAUUAAAACCACCUUGAUUAACCCGUGUACUUGUAAUUUCUGUUUUGUCCGGGUUAUCUGCGUUUAAUAUCUUCGUUAUACAGUCGUAUCUAAUAAUCAAAAAACAAGAAAGGCUUGGUUCUGUUUAUAUAUAAAAUUGAAAAAAUAUAUAAAAUUGAAAAAGAAGAAGACCCUUUACGUUAUAUCAUGCAACUGUUGAUAGAAGAGACGUAAAGUGAAAAUCAGAAAAGCUAAUAAUAUAGUAGGUUGAAAGGGCCUCUGCCUAGCUAGGGUUUGCUGUCCCUUCCUUUCCCUUCCCAAUAUUAUUAUACCAUCUGCCUUCCUCUGCUCUCCACACCCUUCAAAACCUCCACACACUUGCAUACACCUCUCGUAAUGACGUCUCUCUCUCUCUCUCUCUCUCUCUCUGUUUUCUUUCUUGCUUUUCUCUUAUUCUUACCCUGUUGUGACGGAUUCGCGUACUGUGACACUUCACUAAAACUCUCUCUCCUCUCUCUCUCUCUCUCUCUCUCCUAUUUGUUAUACUGAUAACCCUAACCCCUGCAGACCACCGAUCUGGUGUCAAAAUUUACGUAGCUAAUGGACCAGACACGGAACAAGGCUUAGGGUUCUCUCCUUCUGAAAUCUUACAUUGAUUCUCCGUAUCAAAUGCAAAUUGUAAAAGAGAAGAAUUUGAGAGUUGUGUUCCAUACGAGCUUGAGUAUAUUAUGAUAGGGAGCUGAGUCCUUUUUUUAAUAUUUGUCAAAUAACUAUUUAACUUGAAAUCUAUAUAAACUCGGUAAUCAUUGUAAACUUAAGCAUAAAAUAUUAGAUGAACUUGCUGAUUGUUUAGUUGUUAAUAAUUUAAUAUUUAUUAAAUAAUCAUUUCAAUUCGGUAAUUUAAAACAGUAAAUAAAACAUUUAAAUAAUUAUAUAUUAAUAUCUAAUAUUAUCUAAUAAUUAAAGGUAUCCAACUUGGACUCCACCAGAGGAACAACACAUUCCCUGGACCCAGAUCGAUUAUGCCAAUUGCGGACCUCUGAGAUUUUUCUGUUCUUGAUAGAUUAUAUGCUUGGGUGUGUGUGUGUAAAUAUAUAUAUAAAUAUAUAUAUAUAUAUACACACACACACACACACGAUCGACAUGCACCAACCUUGCUUGCUUUUGGUGUACACAACCCUUUUCUUGAUUUUGCACACUACCCUACGUUAUUUAUGUUUUUUCAGUGGAUAUUUUCUUAAAUUGGGCCAUGCCCAGAAUAGAAAACUUGUAUAUUAAACGACAAUUUGAGAAGUAAAAUAAAAGGGGAAAUGCAUUCAUGUGAUAGAAAUCAAACACUUAUUUUCUCUUUAGAGUAUAUAUAUAUAUACUUUGCAUAUAAAAUAUGUGUUUGGUGAUAUAAUUUUUAUAUCACCAAACACAUAUUAAUUUCUUAAAAAGAUUUUGAGACAAUCAUUUACUCAACCUUUUACCAGUAUAAAAAUAAAGUAAUAUAUUUUUAUUUUAUGGGUGUUAAACUAGGUUUUCUUUUGAAGAAACAAAGGGAAAUUCAUUAUCCUUGCAUGAAGUUUUUUUUUCUGUUUUUUUGGAAUAUUAAAAUAGUAUUUGAAGUUGCAGUGCAGAUACUUCCCAAAAAUGUUUUUUAUUUAAGAAUAUAUUAAUAUAAUUUUUGUUAUUUUUAAUAUCAGCAUAUUAAAAUUAUUAAAAAAACAUUCAAAAUUUAUAUUUGAUUUUUAUUUAUGCCAAAAACAUUCAAACACAGGUAACAAUAAUAAGGCAAUGACAAAUAACAUCUAAAAAAUAUAAAGAAAACAUCUUUUAGGUACUAAGAGGAUGGAUGACAUCUGAACUUCACAGCAGAGGGAUGGAUUUUAAAUCUCUCAAAAAAUAAGGACUAUAUAAAUCAAUCAUUAAAGGGUGAGAUGGCAAGAAUCUCAAUCUUUGGGACCAGGGCCAACCCUGACCACUCCUUGGUCUCUCGUCACUCGGAGCUGGCACCAAACCUCUCGGAGCCGGUAGUCACAUGGAGCACAAUUCAUACAUGUGGGGUGGGGGUCUCUUCAAGACGAAAAAAUGGAAGUAAAAUGCAAUUCCUUGAUCUCUGUGUUUGACCAUUUAAAUUCUAAUUAGUCCUUGGUUUUUGAAAAUAUAUAUAAUCAGUCCCUUCACUCUUGUUCAACACUGUCUAGUUCCAAAUCCCUGUGUUUGACCAUUUAAAUUCCAAUAGCAAAGUUAUUAAACUGGACUCAAUAAUCAACCUAAUCUAAAAUCCAUGUCGCUGGGUGAGGGUUAAAUCUUAUGUCAACGAGUUGACCCGGCCUCUAUUGUUUUUUUAGAAAACAACAGAACAUCGUCCUUUUAAUAAAAAAAAAAAUUCUUAUACUUGACUCGGUCUAGGUCCCGAGCUGUUGGAUUAGAGGUUCACCUGCUGAAUUGUAUCGAAUUUAAUAACAUUAUUAGGUAGUAAGAGCUUAGAGAAAAACCAAUAGAUUAGAAAAAACAGAGUUAACAAAAGUUAAGGGAAUCAAGUUGGGAUUUUAAACAUGAGUAAUAAGAACCAGCAACCGUGGGUGUUUGUAUUAAAGAUGGAGAUUAAAGUAUGAGUAUGGAAUAUAUUAAAAAUUUUAUAAAAAACAAAAAAAAUUAACUUUUUAUAAUUAAAUUUUAUACAUAAAUAAGUUAUAUCCAAUCACAACCUUGCCACAUAAACUAAAACAAAAACAUCGUUCUACUCCCACGUUUUCAAAGCGAUUAGUGCCAUUGGCUUUGAAUGAGUUAAAAAAAAAAAAAGACAGCACAUGAAUGACGAAUUGAAUCAAGAUUCACCACAUAAAACAAAAGAAAGCACUCAUGCUAUUUUUUUUUCCGGGUAUUUGUAAGUGGAGUAUAUAUUAUAUUUUAAAGUAAUUUUUAUUGAAAAUAUAUUUAAAUAAUUUUUUUAGUUUAACAAAUAAAAUAAAAUAAAAAAUAUUUUAAAAAAAUUAUUUUAAAAAACAAAAAGAAAACAGUACAAAAAUUAUUACUAGCUACAUGCAUGCCUCUUUUAUCAUGUACAAGCCUCUCAUAUGCAGGCGUUACAAGCUACAUGCCUGCCUCUUGGACUGCACAAGAAGAGUACUACAAGUAGUACUUAAGUUCCUAUUUCACUAGUCAUGUUUGGAGGGUUUUGUGCACGUUUUGUCAUUCUUAAUUAACGGUUGUAUGUUCUAAGUAAAAUUUUUUAUAUAAGAAUAUUUGUAAUCUUUAAGAAACAUUUUAAAUAAAUGAUAAAUGUAAAUAUUUGACAACUAAUCUAUGAAUUUAACUCUCUCCUUCAAAUUUAUUUUCUACUCUAAUCAAUUUACUACCUAUUAAAUAAUGUAAUAUUUAUUGCAUUUAAAAUGUUACAAAUGAUGUUAUUUUUUAGAAGUAAUCAUUUUAGAUUUAAUUUGGUUUUUAUAAAAAAAAAAUAACUAAACCAAAUUUAAAAAAAACCUGAACCAAAACUGGUUCAAACUGACCGGUUUUGAUUAUGUUUGGCUCGGUUUUAGCUUGGUUUGGCUCGGUUGUAGCUCAGUUUUUUUAGUUUAGCUGUUUUUUAGUUUAAUUCGGUUUGGCUCGGUUUUUUUCCAGUUUUUUUGGGUUUAGAUUCGGUUUGAUUUUUUCAAUUUCAGGCUUAUAAAAUCAAAACUAAACCGAACCAAAUAGUUUUUUUAAAAUUUUAAUUGAUUUAAUCAGGUUUUUUUAUGAUUCAAUUUUUUCAGUUAUUUUAUUUUUUUACUUUCUUAAUUUAAUUAAUUUUUUAUUUUCUUACUCACAUCUAAUAUUCGAUGCAAAAUAAUGUAAUAUUUAUUGCAUUUAAAAUGUUAUACAUGAACAUAUUUCCUGCAAACCAGAUGACUUUAUCAAGAUGCGAAAUCAUUCAUGAUCACGAUUAAUGAUUACAACACCGCUAUUUUGGUGGCGAUUGGGAUUAGACGAGGAAGAGGAGACAAUUUGCUCGAGACGAGUGGAGCUAGAAGCCAUGAUUCGUUGAAGCUAGAGGCUAGAGCUGCCAUGGUGUAUGGCAAUUGUUUUUUAAAAUUUAUUUUCAACCCUAUCAAAUUAAAAUGGUAUAAACAUGUAGAGAAGAUGAUUUUAGAAAAAGAAAAAAAUAAAUCUUGGGACCAGCCGUGUUGAGAAGAGACAUUCGGACUGUCCCACAACCUUUAUCAGCUUUUUAAACGGCGGUAACCUACUUUUUUUCCCCUGCUAACAGAGCUUGGAUUAGAUGCUAUGACGGUGACUAAGCUAAUAAUUAGGGUGUAAGAAAAGCUACAUAUUUUCAAUCUUGCCAAAAGAUUUUUUCUCCAUCCUGUUCAUUUUUCGUCUCCACCUGUCCCUGACUUGUUCGUCGAGUGCUCAUGUGUUUUGUGAACAGAGGGGGGAUAAGGGAGUCCAGAUUUUUACAGUUCAUGGAGAUCAGAUUAGAUUACAGCAUGCAAUUCCUUGUCUUGUUCUUGAGCUCAUCUUUCUUCUUUUUCGGAUUUCACUGCCACAGAUCUUAGUUGUGUUUUAGGGAGGGAGGUUGUCUUCUUUUUAAGUUUUUUUUUCAGAGUGUUUUCUUUAAAAAAAAUAUUAAAUUUAUGAGUUUUUUUAGUUCUUUUAGUAGUGUUGAUGGGUUGAUGUAUAAAAAAACUAAAAGAAAUUAAUGUAUUUUUAAUGAAAAAAUAUUAUGUAAGAUAGUAUAAAAUAUUAGGAAUGAUAUCAAGAGAGUUUUUGUCAUUUUGAUUUUAAAAAAAUAAAUUUAAAAAUAACUAUAAAUUAUAACUUUAUUUUAGCCGGAGUUUUAAAAUAGAAUUUUAAAUGGGAUCUAUGCAAACUAUAACGUAUAUUGAUUAAUUAGAUAUUUUUAUAAUUAUAAUUGGGACAAAACACAAACUGCAUUAUAUAAACAAAUAUAAUCUAAAAAUAAUAUGAUAAUUUAUUCUAAGUUUUAUUUUAAAAUAAUUUGAAAAUUUAUCUUAUCAAAUAUUGAUUAAUCUCGUCAAAAUUGAGUGAGAUUUGAUUGGAUGAAAUUUUUUUAAAAAAUAAUUCAUAUAAUAUUUUUUUAAAAAAAUAUUUAAAGAUGUUUUUUUAAUAAAACAAAACAAUAUCAUUUAAAAAAACAAUUUCAUUUCAGUCCCUAGUCAAUUUAGUGAAUUUACCGAAUGUCAAAUCAAUAUCAUUUAAAAAAAAAAUCAUUUCAGUCCAUAGUUAAUUUAAAAUUUAAAGUGUCAAAUAAGUAGUUACAAUUAACAAAAAAAAAGUUAAAAAUGAAAUAUUCAUGUUUCAAUCAAUGAAAAAAUUGAUUAAUUAAAAUAAAUAUAAAGCAGUAUAUUAGAUAUCUCUUCUUUUUUUCAUUAUAUAGUGUAAAAAUUGUAUGUUACAAAUAACAAAUAUAAUAUAUAUAUAUAUAUAUGUGUGUGUGUGGGGGGGGGGGGGGGUAAAAUUAAUUAGAAACCUAGAUGUGAUGGUGUGGUAGCGGUUGUUUUUAAAUAGCUUUUCGUGUCGAAAUACAUGCCAAUUUUUUUUUUUUUUUUUAAAAAUUAUUUUUCACAUCAGCACAUCAAAACGAUCUAAAAAGUAUAAACCACACUCAAUUUUAAUAAAAAACAAAAAAUUUGAAUUUUAAUCAAACACAGGUUCAACCACAGAGCCAAUCAGAAUUAAAUUUUUGAACACCUCAAUCUCACCCUUCAAGUGGAUUUUUUUUUAAUUUGACCAUUUAUUUGAAGUCUUAAAAAUCAUAGCCGUGAAUUCUACAAGUAUGACAUCAUUUUUCUCCACCGGUCAAGUCUUGAAAGAGACCUCCUUAGUCAAUAGACUAAUCAUAGUUUUUUUUCCUAACUAAACUUAAAAAUGCGAUACCUCAAUUUUGAAUUCAGUUUUCCCAUGUAUUUUGGGAAUCUAAAAGUUGUCAUAUGAACAUUUAAUAGAUAUAAUAUUUUUGUCUUGCCAACCAAUAAUAGGUAUUGUAUGAAACUAAGAAGAGUUAGAAUCCUCCAAAUGAUCCUGGACCCAGCAGAUAAGCACACAAGGUAUUUUGCGCUACAGUAAUAUUUUGUUUUAAUACACUAAAAUAAAAUUAUUUUUAAUACUAGCAAAUCAAAAUAAUAUAAAAAAAUUAAUUAAAGUAAAAAAAUUAAUAAAUAAAAAUUAAUUUUUUAAAAAAUACUUUUGAAAUGUAUGAUUAAUAUAUUUUUGAAAAAUUAAGGAAUUUGUUUUUUGUAUACUCUUAAGUCUUAACAGCUUCCUACGAGAUAGAACGAACGCUCAAUAAAAAUGUUUGCUUGUUGAGUAAAUGGAUAUAAUUUUGUAUCAAUUGAAUAUAAUUGUUCUAAUUAUUAAUACAUGAAGAAAUUCUAUGAUAUUUAACUUAUAAUCACAAAUGAAAAAAAAUUGGUCUUGUUUUUUAAAAAGAAAAAGAACUUUUGGGCGUACGUAUUUAAAAAUGUGAUUGUAAUUGUUUUUUAAAAUAUUUUUUAUUUCAAAACACAUUAAAAUAAUAAGUUUUUUAUUUUUUAAAAAUUAUUUUUGACAUCAAUAUAUUAAAAUGAUAUGAAAAUAUCAAAAACAUAUUAAUUUAAAAUAAAAAAAAUAAAAAAAUUAUAUUUUUUUAAAAACAUUUUUGUAAAAAAUAUGAAACAAAUUUGGUGGCAAUCAAAAGCUAGAAACCAUAAAUCGAGAUUUUUGGAUCUUUGAAUUUCAUUUUAACAUAAAAGUAUUAGCAGACACUUUUACAAUUAUGUUCGCAACUACAAUAAUUACGGUCAAGGAAAAAGAGCUCAGUUAAAAACCAAAGUUAUACCAGAUGCGCUCCAAAGGGAAUUAGAAAAUAAGAAUACAAAUUUCAUUGCAGCCAGUAUUUAACAUCUUUUUUAGCCAUAGCCAUGGUUGCAUGGAAAUACCGAUGGAUAUAAAUGGUGUUUAUUUUUAUAUUUUAAAAGUAUUUUUAUUUUAAAAAUAAUAUUUUAUUAAUGUUUUUAAAUCAUUUUAAUAUAUUAAUGCCAAAAAUAUUUAACAUAUAUAUAUUAUUUUAAUAUAUUUUCAAAUGAAAAGUAUUUAUCACACUUCAAAACACCUCGUAAUUAUAUUACAAAUGUGUUGCAACGAAUGGGAAUUUGAACUAGUCAUGAGCAGUUUAAUUAAUUUAUAUCUAUCUAUAUAUUAUAAAUUCAAAAAUAUGAUUAUUUGAGUGUAUUUUUAAAAUGAAUUCUACAAUGUUUGAUUCAUCAUAAAAAAAGCAUCACAUUUAAACAAAAUUAUAAUCUUACCAUCAAAACUCAAAUUAGUUUACUUUGACAAUAUUAAUUAGUAUUUAUAGAAAAUCAUAUACAUGAUCACAUAUUAUCAAUCUAUAGAUUUAAUUUCUGGGUGAAAGACAUUAAUAUCUUGAUAGAAGACUAAAAAUUGUAACUGCUCGUGACAAACAGGGUGUUGAGAAAAUGCAAGGCAUGCAAAUUUUACAGCACAUGUUUUAUUGGUAAAAAUAUCAGUCCACCACACAUCAAUGACAAUUGAACAGUACAUGGAUGUCAUAAAAAUGCCUACAAGGUGGAGACAACAUAAAUGUGUCACUGUUUUCACUGGUUUAACGUCUAUUUAAGAUCGUGGUAAUAAUAAUAAUUAAAAUUAUUUUAAAAAAAUUAUUUUUAUAUUUUAAAAAUUAUUUUUGAUAUCAAUACAUUAAAAUAUUUAAAAACAUAAAAAUAAAAGUAUCUUAAACAAAAAAAAAAUCAAAAAUUUUGGGAAUACGGUAUACACUGUGUUUCCAAAAACACCAUUAAAUUUAUUAAAUUACAUUAUGUAUUUCAAUAUUUUUUAUUUUUAAAGAAUCAUUUUAAUUCAAUAACUUAAAUUAUUAAAUGAAGUUACAAUAUAUGAUUUAUAUUAUUUUUUAAUAUAUUUUUUCAAGUGAAAGUCAUUUGAGUUUGAAACUUGUAUAAGUUCAUAUUAUAUUAUACUUUAUUUUUAUCAAAUAAAUAAAAAUGGUGAGAUUUAAACUUAUGAUCGCUUGAUCAUCAAGGCUUUGAUUAAAUGUUAAAAUGUUAUCUUAAUCUAAUAAAUUAAAUUAUUAAAUAAAAUUUUAAAAUAUAAUUUAUAUUAUUUUUCAAUAUUAGUAGUAAUAACACCCGGAUAGAAAAUAAUUUUUACGUCCGAACCCUAGAGAAUGUGAUUCUCCUAAUUUUAAAAGAAAUUCACUUUCGAAAAGGGAGAUCUAGGGCCCUGUGAAACGUCAAUUUUGUGGAAUUCGAAGGUAUUUUUGCAUGUUAAUCGAGACGAGAUCACGUCUCUUUGACACCUUUAUACUAAUUUGAUACGUCUAGGAGAAUAAAAUUUCUUGAGCAUGACUUCGAGAUUUGAAUACUGAGGGUCAACAAACAGAGCAUAAAUCCUUAACUCGGUGAGGUUAUAUUAUAGAUAUUCCAUCACUUCUAUUUUGUAUGUUCACUUCUGAAUUCCAUGUUUUACAAAAUAUCAUUUAUUGUUUUGUCGGUGGUUUUUUUAUUUUUUCUCUUUGUUUUUUAGUUUUCUGGUUUAUUUAUGACUUUUAUCACCUUUUCUUUUAUUUUUGUAUUCCCUGAUUUAUUUAGGUUGUUUUUUUAGUUUAUUAAAUGAGCGAAAAAUUUCUUAGAGAGACUCACUAUUUUGACAUAAAAUAUUUAAUGAAAAAAUUCCAAAUCAUGUUUUUUUUACAUGGAGAGCCUUUUCGUCGGAAUUCUGUGUUCUAUGUUAUUGUACUUGCUUAUUUUCUUGUGUUGUUUUCACAUGUCACAAACAUGUAACAAUUCAAAUAACCCAAAAUUUUUCUUUCAUUUAACUCCUCACACUUUUUUCAAUUGCAAUCUUCCAUGACCAAUUUCUUAAAACUUGUUAGGGAAAGAAAUAAACCAACAAAGAGAACCAGUGUGUAAAACAAGUAAAAAUCCCAUGAUCAAUGUCAAAUUCACUGUAAAAAAGAUAUGUUUAGUUUAUCUACUUUCUUUUUUCUUACUUUAUAAUAUAUUUAGUUUUUGCAAUUUUUCUUUAAUAAAAAAAAAUCAUUUUCUUAACAUAUCAAUUCUUGGGUUUUAUAAAUGAGAGGGAAAGUCAUAUAAAAACAGCAAGGGAUAGAAAAAGUUGGUGAAUGAUGUCUUUUCAACAAUUAAACAUGUCGUUUGGUAUCGAUGAGUUCCUUUUGAUAGGAAAAGUUUGAUGGUGUAAACAUUUUUUAUAGACAUGCCUAGAAAAGAAGAUCAAGCUCCAUUUAGAUUUUUUUAUUUAGCUGAUUUUUGUUUUUUGAGUUAUUUUAAAGUUUGUGGAUGAUCUAUCAAGAUUUAAAAAGUGUUUUUGAGAUGUUUUCAUACCAUGAUGACUAGAAAAAUGAGUUUUUAGAUUCAAAAGCUUGGAGCUUAAUUUUUUUUGAUCAAUAUGGAUAACUAAGAAACAUAAAAACAUGUGACAUGGUAAGUUAAACAGGAUUGACUUUAAUAAUUGUUUUUAUUAUUUUUAAUUGAUUUUUUAAAAUUUCAUCAUUAAAUAUUAGAUUUCAUUGGCAAUUAAGUUUUAUAAUUUGUUUUGAUUUAUUUUGUAUGGUAUUACAAUGGUCUCAUAAUCUAACAUGUAGAUUAAGAGAUUAACCUAAAUUGAUUUAAUAUGUUUUGUCUCAAUGUUUAUAUAUAAAAAAUCUCACAAUGAAUAUUUAUUUUAAAUCAAAAUAUAAUGUCAUCAAUCAUUUGAGUUAUUUUUGGAUCCACAAAGUUGAACUGAUGAAUCCCCACACGUAUGGGUUUUAUAAAAAUGGAAACAAAUUGUUUUUAGUAACAACAAAUGCCCACAAGAUAAAAUAAAUGAAAGCAUUUUAAAUAAAAAAAGGACAGUCAUUGCUAAACAUUUACAUGUGCAUCUAUCUUUAUAUAUAUAUUAAAAGGUAGAUUCCCAUUUUAAAAUUUAAUUAUUAUUAGCAACUUUUUUUAUUUAUAAUUUCAAUAUUUCUUAAUUUUAUUUAUAUAAAACAUAAAUAACAUAUUUUAUUUUCUAAAUAAAAAAAUCAUGUUAAUAACUGAGUUUCGUAACUUAUUUCGGUUUGUUUUUCAUAAUGUUAUUGUCAUCUUAAACAAACGUUUCAAUAUUGAACUGGUACUUAAUUUUUUGAGUAUCUAUUUUUUUAUUAUAAAAUUAAAUAAAAAAUAAUUUCAUAUUAAAAAACAAAGUUUCUAAGCCCAAUAAAUUUUAAAAUCUGAAUCAUUGUUUUGAUGGAUUAAUUUAGUUUGAUUAGGUAAUUAUUAUAAAAAAAUUUAAAAAUUAAACUAUAUUUUCAAUGUUUAUUUAAGUUGUCUUUAUACAGUAUAAAAAUUAUCCAGGCAUAUUAAUUUGAGUCACGAGUUAGAUAAAAAGCCAUAAUUUGAAUAUAAUAUAACCUAUUUUUUUUUAUUCAUGUUAAAAGAACUCUAUCCGACGCAACAUAUGGAUUAGUUUACCAACCAAGAAUCAGUUUAAGAAUAUGGUUUCGGUUGCUUUCAAAAAUAUUUUUCAUUUGAAAAUGUAUCAAAAUAAUAUUUUUUUUUAUUUUUAAAAAUUAUUUUUGAUAUUUACACAUCAAAAUAAUCUAAAAACACCAGAAAAAUAUUAACUUAAAGCAAAAAUUAAAUUUAAAAUUUUCCAAAUAUACUUUUAAACAUAAAAAAAAGAACCUAAAACUUUUACCUAGCCUAAUUUUUUUUAUCAUCAAGAUUUCUUCACAGGAGAUUUGUGAAAAAAUAACAUAGCAUGAUAAGUUGGAGAGGGGUGGCAUUAAAGAGCUCGAAGCCCACCAAAACAACAAGGACAAGUGUGGCCACUGUCACAGCAAAAUAAGAAAGAUGAACAAGAAGAAGGGGAGAUGGUGGAUGGGCAUAAUAUUGGGAGUUUUAAGGCCCUAGGGUUAAGGUUAAGGUGGAGAAGAGGACAGCAUAUAAGUUAGGGAGAAUAUUAAUGGACACAUUGCUAUCAAACCCCCGCAUUAAAUAUUAGAGAUGAAAGGAAGAAAGAAACUGUAGUGUACUCUACAGAUACUGUAUGUGAGAGAGAGAGAGAGAGAGAGAAGAGACUUGUGUAGGGUUAUAUUGAUAACCGUGCCCCCAUCAAAACCUCCAUUUUACACCACAAAGAGACUAGAGGCAGAUUUCUUUCGUGGCUGGUUUCUCAUAUUUCCUCGAUUUGAUCGUUCAUUUUUUUUUUUCUCGCAACUUUGGCUCUCUCUCUGUCUCUCUCUCUCCUUUUUCUUCUUUGCCAGUAAUGGCAGUGGCAGUGCAAGAAAAGAGGGAGGUAGAGACUUGAGUUUUCAUUGGGAAGGUAAAGUUUUGGAACAGUCCCUCAAAGAUAACCCAAAUAUUUCCUUUCAUUUUACCAUCUAUCAACCCACCGCCACACCUGCUGCUGCUGCUCUCUCUCUCUCCCUCUCUCUCGCGUGCACUCUGCUAUUACCGCUUUCUUUUUAAAGACCAGAAACUCACUCGCUCCUCACUCAUUUUCCAAAGGAAAUCUGUGCAGUCUUUUUUGGCAGACAGAGACUCCUAUCUCGCUUGCCAAGAUCACCAAACCCUCUUACCAACAUAUAACAAGAUACUGACUCUUUUGCUACUUCUAUCUACACUAUCACUAUUUAGGAUUUCUCUGAAAAAGUCUGGUCUUUGAAGCAUAAAUCCCGGGAGGGCACUGCACAAUACUAAUACUACACCCCACUUUUUGAGCAAAGAAAAUACAAGGUUUUGCAUAGGUAGGUGGGAAAAAAAGAGAGAAGAAGAGAGAGAGGGGGGGGGAUGGGUUAAAAUUUGUAGUACUACUACUAAUACUUCACUAGUAGCUACCAAGUUGCAAGGCACACAAGUGAACAACUAAGAAAAAGAUAAGAUAGAGAGAGAGAGAGAGAGAGAGAGAGAUAAUGGAGGGUGGUGGUGGUGAUGGUGGUUCAAGUACCACUUCAUGUAUGAUGGCUUUUGGAGACAACAGCAAUGGACUAUGCCCUAUGAUGAUGAUGACGCCUCUCAUGUCUUCGUCUUCUGCUCAUCAUCAUCAUCGGGCUAAUGAGGGCGAUUCGUCAGUAUCAAAUACCUUAUUCCUUCCUCUACCUCCUACAAACAAUCAAGGCCAUAACCGUAUCCAUAGUAAUGCUAGUGGCUCUUCUUCUAUGAUUAUUGACGAUCACAACCACAACAACACUGUCACUGCUACUGGGUGUUAUUUCAUGGAUAACAAUGAUGGUAGUAGUUCUUCUGUAAAGGCCAAAAUUAUGGCUCAUCCUCACUACCAUCGUCUCCUUGCUGCCUAUGCUAAUUGUCAGAAGGUGAAGAACGAAGCUGAAUUUCCAGUUUCUGUAACCCUACUAACUAAACACCCCAAACCCAUAAAUAUAUUUGUGUUUCUUCCUCUCUCAUGCAUACCUAGUAGCAACACUCUUUCUCUUGUGGAAGCAGACUAACUCAGUUAUCCUCAAAUUUUGCCAAAAGUUCUUGUAAUUAUGGAUCUAAGAAGUAAACAUCUCCCAAAUCCUAGACUUUUUCGGGGUUCUUUUGAUGCAUCCACGAAAAAUUCUGUUGCAAAGAAAGUGAGAGGUCAAACCCUUUUAAGCAAAUACACAUGAUAGAGACAUGAGCUUAAUUAGUUCUUCUCUUUCUUACUUCCGCUUUCAUUCAUGGGAUAUAAAUAUAUAUCUCUCACACAUGUCAGUAUUUCUUCAGGUUGGAGCACCACCUGAAGUGGUGGCUAGGCUAGAAGAAGCUUGCGCAUCGGCUGCUUCUAUGGCCCCCGCUAACACAGGCUGCAUCGGUGAAGAUCCAGCCCUUGACCAAUUCAUGGAGGCUUACUGUGAGAUGCUGACCAAGUAUGAGCAAGAGCUCUCUAAACCCUUGAAGGAAGCCAUGCUUUUUCUUCAGAGGGUUGAGUGUCAAUUCAAAGCUCUCACUGUUUCCUCUCCAAUUUCUGGUGAUCAUAACCUCUCCCUCUACCCCCACUCCCUCCCCUCUCUUUCUUUCCUUCUCUCGGUGUGUUAAGGUCUUUGAGCUCCAAAUUAAAAUAUAUUUGACUUGUUUAUUAUUGUUGAUUUGAUUCUUUAUUAAAAUACUAAUAGGACUUCAUGCAUGUGUUUGUUUCCAAGAAGGAUUAAUUAACAACAUCGAAGAGCUUGUUUCCCAAAGUGGGUGCUAUUAUAUUCAUUUCCCUGGCAAUGUACAAUUUUUUUUCUUUCCCUAGAUGCAACUGUUUGAGGUGGUAUGGUAUCCAUAGAGAAGACGGUCUUUCUUGCUGAACAUCGAUGGGGUGGUAGGGUUAAUGUUCUCUGAUUUGAUUCUCUUCUCGGUGCUUGUGUAUUUUGUUUUGUUUUUCUUCAAUUCUACUUCCUGUAUUGGUAGAUAUUGGCCCAUUUAUUUCCAAUCAAUGUUGUACUAGUACUGUUGUUGAUGUUGUUGAAAGCUAGGUUCUUAUAAUUUAUAUGCGUUUUUUCCAGACAAUUGUAAGUACUUUUGGAGAUUGCUAGUUUAAUAUCUGGCUGCUAGAGUCUCGAUUGCAUAGAAGAUUCUUCGUAGAAAGUAACUCAUACAUCUGGCUGAUAAGAUGGCAAUUGCAGGGCUUGGAUGUUUAAAGUUUUGAAAAUAGAUGAGAUACACAGGUGAUCAUAUUUUAGUGAGUUGAGGGAUAAUAGUGUUCAUAUUUUUAGGGUUCCUUAAGAAUUUUAGUGUUCAGAUUAUGGAUCACGAGCUUAAAACUUUUAAGGAUGACGGAAACACGGAUGGGGGUAAUGUGAUUAGAGGCUGAUCAAUAUGGACUUGUGAUGUGUGAAGGAGAUCUGCAUCCAUUGUAAAAGGACCUUUUCUCUAAUGGUUGUGUAUUUUAUGGAAAUCAGAACAGCUUGUAGUGUGCUCUUUUGUUCUUUUGACAGCAAAGUCACUAGUAUUGCUAGAAUUGGAGCAGGUUCUCCCAUAGGAUACCUAAAUCACAAUACAUGUUAAGGGACUAAAUUUGAUUCACAAUCUUUCAUUUAUUUUUCAUAAUGAACUGUAGUGAUAACCGUGUAUUUAAGGGACGAAACUUCUUGAAGGGAGUUGUGGUUGUCUCUACCUCUUGAAAGAUUUCUGUAAUACAACUAAUAAUUUCUUAGCUAGCUAAAUUAGAGUUAUAUGAAGCUGUGAGAGCUUAUUUCCAGCCUUAUAAGGUAAUAUUCUUCGUAUAAUGAGUGAUGUGUGUUAAAUGUUGCAUCUAGGUAGAAUUUUUUGGUCUAUCUGGUUCUGCAUGGACAAUAAUGCAGUCCUCUAUGGAUUAACAUGUAUGCAUAUAUUCUUCUUACUUUGUUGGCUUCGGAGCAAGAUAUACUGAGUCGGAAAACGAGCACUUGUACGCCUCUAAUGGACUCGGACUCUUAGUAAAUUCAUUUGUUGUAAUUAAAAUGCAGUCCGUUUCAUUUGCAUCUCCUAAAUAUUAAUGGACCUCAUUCAUGCUCACUAGUUGUUACAGUGAUACUGCCUUGAUUCUUUAAUUAUAAUGUAGGAUUGCAUGAGCGUGAACAAGGUGUAAGAGUUUCUGGAGUGUUUUUCAAUCUUAACAACGAAACCCUAAUCUGUCUGAUGAAUUUUUCUAAGUCAGUACAAUGAUGAAUUUCUUAGUGCAAGAACGGUGCAGAACUUGUAUUCAGAUUAUCUCUUCUUUUUCCUCUGCAAAUAUAGGGAAAAUUCAUAAUGAGGUAGUACAUGUAGAGUUUUGUCGAUGUAUAUUCAUGAAGCCUUACUCAUUGAUGCAAGGAUAUCUUUCGUUGUCUUAGGUUAUUGCUAUAGUAUACUUUUUAUAUACCUUUUAGGUAAAUGGUUGUUUGAUUAGGGUUUUAAGGAUGGUUCAUCAGAAUCAGAUUCAUUAAAUGUGUUACUGACUGUCUGACUCUUUCCUUGUAAUUCAUGAAUAGAGUAAGAAAGGAUAGGACCAGAAAAUACAUUUGAAGGACUAGCUUCCCUUUUUUUCAUGAAAAUGGUGGAAGUUUAAAUAAUUGUAUAUUUCCAUAUGUAAGUGGUAAUGGAGCAAGGUUUUUCUGUUGCAGCAGCAGUAUGGAUGCUGCUUUACUGUCUUUCAACACACAAUUACUACGAAAAUAUCAUGCCGCAGUAACUUUUCAUGGGAUAUUUUAAUGCGUUUUGAGCUGCUAACUCAUUAAUGUUGUCAUCAGGUUGUGGUGAUGGCAAUGAUAGGAAUGUGUCAUCUGAAGAAGAGGUUGAUGUGAAUAACAACUUCAUAGAUCCUCAAGCUGAAGAUCAAGAACUGAAGGGUCAGCUACUUCGCAGGUACAGUGGAUAUUUAGGGAGUCUUAAGCAGGAGUUCAUGAAAAAGAGAAAGAAAGGGAAGUUACCGAAAGAAGCCAGGCAACAGCUGCUGGAUUGGUGGAGCAGGCAUUACAAAUGGCCAUAUCCAUCGGUAUGUAUGGUUUUUAUCAUCUAACCUCGUCAAUGCCAUACUUUGUUGCGCCUUAUGUGUAAGAAUUAGAAGCCGGGGAAGCAUUCAUGUCCCUCUUCAUGUCACAGCACCGUAAAAGCUGAUUUUUCUCCUCUCCUUUCUCUCAUCAUUGGCUUCUGUUUCAUCCGACAAGUGGUUCAUGAAGACUUUUAGUGGAUCUAAAUUAACCCUUGUUUGCUUCCCCUCGGUUAAUUACCUCUUGGUUUAGAUUUCCUUGUUUUUUCAAAGAUGUUUUUGGUGGCUGCGGAUGAUUCUCAAACCUUUUCUCGCAAAUUUGUUUGUGCCGGGUGGAAUUUUAUUUAAUGUGCAAAACUAUAAGUAAUUCAACUUUUGUAAGUAGGUAGUUAACUACAGUUCAUCACUUUGUGUCGGAGACAUUAUGUUUGACAAUUGUUUAUGUAUAUUUUUGUUCAUAGAUUUUUUAGCUAUUUUAUGCGUCAACAGGAGUCGCAGAAGCUGGCCCUUGCUGAAUCCACUGGUCUGGAUCAGAAGCAAAUAAACAACUGGUUCAUUAACCAAAGGAAACGACACUGGAAACCGUCGGAAGACAUGCAGUUUGUGGUGAUGGAUGCCGGCCAUCCUCAUUACUACAUGGAUAAUGUUUUGGGCAAUCCUUUCCCAAUGGACAUCUCUCCCACACUGCUUUGAAGAUCAUGCAUGAUACAUGAUUGAUCUUCACUGCUGGAAUGCAAGUGAAAUUCUUCACACGCUUGCCCCAUUUGACAUGCAAAUUAUAUAUGUUGUGUACUUUUAUGCAUCCGGAGGCUAUCUAAUGUAGUUGAAUGUUGUGAAACCAGCCCGUCUCUUAAUUAUAUAGAUAUAUAUAUAGUAUAGUAAUGUUGUCCACUCUCAAGUGUUGUUUAUAGAUGGUUAAGACUCUCAGGGCAUAAAGAAAUGCCAUUCUUUUGACUGGGGGCUCCUUGCUAUUGUACUUGCAUGAAUCAUAUCCCGCUCAAGCCUGUUCCGGGGCCAUGGAUGUCAAAUUGAAGCUUACGAGUUUCUACGUUUAUCAUCGGUGCAUGGCUCCAUUUUCCGUUCACACUGGAGUCUUUGUUGGCUGAAAUGAACUCUGGCUAAUGCGAGAGUUCAUGUUCUAUAUAUGAAGUUUUCAUGUCAAAGUCUUUAUUGUUUCCAGUGUUGAUCAUCAUGUUAUGUUUGUGCUUUUGCAUGUCCUUGUAGAACCUUAUAGUUGAAUUCGAUUACAGAGUCAUAAUUACUUUCGACAAUUUUGGGAUCUAGUCUGGAAAAAGGGGCCAUAUCUGGUGACUUGGUAGGGGUCCCGACCAGGCUUUGAAGGGUCGACUUGCAGGGCUAGAUCUAGUCUAAUGCCUAGGGGCAUGAGAAUUUACUAGAUUCUCAUUUGAUAAUGAGAUAGUUUAUUUGGAUUUUGAACUUGGAUUUGAUGGGAAGUUUACGUUACAGUUUGUUUUGAAAGAAAAAGGAAUUAGAAUAUCUGCAAAAAGGAAACAAGAUUGAGAAGUAAAUAUUUCAGAAUGAUACUGAUUUUACUAUAAUCCGAUUUCACAUGAAUUUCAAUAAUUGAAUCUAUGGGAUCCCCCAAUUGAAUCCAUACAAUCAAUAUCUUUGGAAAGAUUAAAUUAAGUCAAUAAAAUCCAAUCAAACUACUUCAGUACAAAUUUCCAAGAAAAAACUUCUUGUAACUUUAAUUUAUUGCAAUAAUACUCUUCUUAAUCCAUUACAAGCUCUAUAAUAAUCUAAUUGAUCCUUCAUGCCUGUUGACUUCUAUAAGUAUAAUUAUUGGCUUUGUUAUAGGUUUUUGUUUUUUUAAUAACUAGCUUUAUAUGUUUUAGAAAAAUUAAUUUGAAUAUUUUGUAUAGUACUGAAAAGACUUUGAUGUGUACAUCCAUCUAAUCAGAAAUUAUUUCCACCUAUAUAUUAUACUUACUUUCAUUGAUUUGUAAUUGUUUUGAAAGAAAAUGGAUUUUCUUCCCUUCUCUUCGAUGCUCGACCAAUGCUUUUAUUAAAUCCAUAAUCUAAUCUCAUAAUACCUAAAAAGUAACUACAGAAAUCAUAAUAAAACUUAACUUCAAAUUUUCCUCCAAUACCUCAUUUACCAAUACUACAUAUCUAGUACCUGUAAUAACAUAAUAUUUUUCAUAACCUAGAUAAAAUAACUUCAAUGCUAACAUUUCUUUUUGAAGAAAAAAAUAUUAUUUCUAUUGAUGGCAAACAAAGUAUAAAUAGAUCAAUAUCAUGCUUGCGAACACUUCAUUUUCAUGCAAUACUCAAGUAUUAUCAUCUAAAUAUCAUGAAAUAAUGCAUCAUACGAUUUGACUGAACAUGCUUUAUGCGUUUUUAUUGUAAUUUUCCAUUUGAAAAAAAAAACCCAUAAAGAACUUCUAUUUGAAAAAAAAUGCUUCUAUUAAAUUGAAAAUGGAUGAUUUUUUGAUCCAUUAGAAAUUACAGGUUAAUUUUUGAAUGAAGAGCUAUUUUUUUCACCACUCUCUGUAUUGCAUAUCCUCUAGUUAUAAAAUUUGAGUUGAUCUAACAGGUGGAUUGUGCUAAUAUAAAAUACAAGUUGACAUGUAAUCUGAUCAACUUAAAUAAAAUUAUUUUAAAAUUAGUUGAUUUUUUUAUCAGAAUAAUAUUGUUUUUAUCAUUGGUUUUUUUAUAUUAAUAUGAGUUAACUCUUUUUAUUUGUAAUCUAGAUCCUGUCAGAGGGAACCUUCUUAUUUGUAAUCUAGAUCUUGUCACGAGGGAACCUAUAUAUCAGGUUUUAAACCUGUGAUAUAUUCUUUACCUAACGGGACCUUAAAUAAUAAAAAACAAACAUGUUGGCAUAUGUUUUGUUUUUGAAGGCAGCCCAUAACUCUCAAAGGCUUCUUGUCAAGAGAGGAGUGGCCCAUUAAACUUCCCACGAAACCCCAUGGGAAGAAAGCUUUGGGCUUUUGCUUUGCUAUUCUCCUCUCCUCUCACCCACUCUUACAGUGCUUCCUUUCUCUCAAAAACGAUCCUCUCCGGCUGGAGGACGAUCGAAGACUAUUAAUCAUUGGUCUCAUUUCUACAUUCAAGGUUUCAUCUCACGGUACUCUCCUUUUUAACCCCAACAGACCCUGAGCUACCUUUGUAUUCUUUGAUGAAGCUUUUUAUCAAACACCUAGCAGUUAUUAUUAUUAUUAUUUUUUUUUCAUUUCCUUUAUGAAAGUUUGAAAUUUUAUUAUCAUAAUUAAUGGUCAAUAAUCCAAUCAGGGUUUCAAUAUUUCUGUUUAUUACAAGUAUAAAAAAGUGAAAAAUCUGAACUUUUUGAGUAAUAGAUGAACAGGCGAAGUGGCAUUGGCUUGCUUGGAUCAGUGGAGUUGUGUUUCUAGGUAGUUAGAGUUAUGACUGUCGAUUUUGAGAAGGAUUUUGCGUUCUUUUGGAUCCUUCUCUCGGCUUGGUCGCUGUGGUGAUUCUUCUAGUUUCACUAGUCAAUCAUUUCGAGCUUCUCAUGGUAAAGGAACUUGCUUUACUGGAAUUUUUCUGUGAUUUUUUUUUUAGAUUUUUAGCUCUUUGUUUGAAUUUUGUUUGCCUUUUCUGUAGCAGAUUUGUAUGGCAUUUUUCUGGUGAUUGUUUAUUUUCUGCAGAAUCUUCUAGCUUUAUCAAGGUUUGUUCUCAUUGUUUGUAAUUUUUUUCCUUCUUCGUCCACAUCAAAUUCUGAACCUGGAGGAUGUGGGUUAUUUAUGUGCGGCUUGUCAAACUCGUUUUGGAUUUGCAUCGACUGAUAAACUCAUGAACUGAUGGUGUUGCAUGUUUUAAUGUAGGGUAGGGGGUCUUCCCUUGCUUAUGGAAGGUUUCAACGUCCAACUGAACUUCUGAAUCCACUGAUGGAUUGUUUCCUUCUGAUUUAUUAUCUGCAAAGAAUGUGGUAACGCCACAAUGUGAGAUAGGUACGGACUAUGAAGAGAGUUUAAAUUUCACUUGUAUGGCAAUACAGUGAUAUGUCGUGCACUUGUUUUGCAUUUCUCCACAUUUAGUUCAAUGUAGUCCUCCCUGUGGUAUUAAAUGAUAAAAGGGUGAUUGGGAUUGUAACUUUUAUUUUUUUAACUUGCUGCUGAACAGAGACUCUCGAACCAACACCUUAAUAUGGUUCUGGUUUCAACUCUUUUAGUCUGGUUACACAAUAUUAUCAAAUCCUGGUCAUGAAGUUGGGCCAUUCACUUAUACAAUUAUCUAGCUAUUUUUCUGGAUUGAUCUUUUAGUUGGAUGUUUCCAGAUUAAAUGAGAAAAAAAAAACUAAGAAAGAAAAGGUAGUAGAAUAGUUUUGACCUCAGUUCUUAAACAGUUGCAUCUUCUUCAUAUUUUUAUUCAUGAUUACCACUUCUCCCCCAUCAAAUUUAUAAGGAAGAGGAAAAAGAAAAAAAAUCACAUACCGAAGGGGAUUCUAACUCUUUUGCAAUAUUUUUUUUGCCCUUCUGCCAAUUCACCUAUUUUUGCAUGUUAUGUGUCCUACAUGAUAUUGUUUAAUCUCUUCCAUGGAACAUGCAAUAUCAUGUGAAUACAAUCCAAUAAAAGUUCACUUUUCUUACUUGUUGACGCUGCAUUGUGAGUUUUGACUCUUGGGAGUGAUUUAAAUACAGUUUUAGUUAUGUUCUUUCCUUGAAUAUAUAAAAUCGUGAGAAUGAGAUUUAUAUUAUUGGGCUUAUUGAUUCACUGUAUAGGUCUGAAUUUUAAUAGCUCUGUAUAGCUCUGCAUUGUCAGUUUUAAUAGCUCUGAAUUUAAUUUUGUCUUCUUCAUCUUUUUUUUUUUUUUUAAAUAAUUACAAUCAGGGAUAUUAUAUUGACAUGAAGUUGUGAUACAGGACUGUUUCAAGACCUGGUAAUUCCAGCGACAAAUUUUCAUAACUAGGACAAGGGCUUAAUGGUUUUGGCUGGUGAUGUUUUUAAUGGCCCUAUCAGGAAUGAUAUUAUUCGCUGUGUUGUGAUGGCCGCUUGCAAAACAACAACAGGUAGUCUCAAACCACCAUGCUUAAAAUCUUCAAAGAAAUUAAUGGCUUAUGACAAAUGUAGAACUCUCUUCCUAAUCAUAUCAUUGAUAAAACCUGUUGGGUUUGUUUAUUAUGAAAAGCUGUCUGAUGACUUGCUAGUUUUUAUCUUGCCAUGUGUCAUGAACCGUGACAAGUAUUGUGUUCCUAAUUGGAUUAACUUUCAUGUUCUUAAAAAAAUCUGCUACCUGCAUGUUAGGCCUUCCUCUUUAUAAAUUGGAUGCCUCCGAUGCUGGUAUCAAUUGAGUUGUCAACAGGAAACAUAUUCAACUAAAACAAUCAGUGCGGUUAGAUGCUGGUAUCAAUUGAGUUGUCAACAGGAAACAUAUUCAACUAAAACAAUCAGUGAGGUUAGUGGUACUGGAAGAAAGCCAUAUAGACAAAAGCGCACUGGCCAAGCAAGGUAUGGAACGUUGCAUUGGCCCCAGGUAAAGAGCCUCUGAUGAUCUUUGUUUUACUUGAUUGUCAAUGCUUCUUUAACUUGAAGAUCAGUUAGGGGGGCCUAACAUUAAUGUUUGGAUCACAGUUUUGAGGUGGUGCUGUCAUGCAUGGUCCUAAACCACAAAGUCAUGCUAUUGAAUUAAACAGGGUGAGGCGUUUGGGUUUGAAGAUUGCUUUGUCAGCGCGCACAGCAGAAGGAAAGGCAUGUCUCUCUGUCUCUGCGUCUUUGAUUUUUGCACAUGCCCAUUUUUUUUUUCUUCAGCUUAUGCUGGGAAAAAUAUAAUUUUCACCCAUGAAUAUUGAUAUUCGUGCUCCAUAUGUGUCAUGUUCACUUGUGGUUGAGUAUCCUUGUUGCCCCUGUUCGAUGUGUGCUGCUACAUGCUUUUCCUGUUCAUAGCAUUCAUCUUAUACACCGCGUUCUUAGUUCCCACCUUUUUAUGCAAGUAUUCUCCAAUGUUUCAAAAGUUCUUCAAGUUCUAAAUUAAAAUAACUAUUGCAGAUGUGCUUGAACUUCUGCAUUUUUCUAUACAAUUGGGUUACAUAUUAUGGUGUUCACCUGUCUCUAUCGAAUGUCAGCUCUGAGCUAUCUCAGGUGAUCAUUUGUCAUUGCUUAAUCAAUAACUACGUCUUUUUUUUAGAUUUUCUGCCAAAUUAUUAAAGAUUGUGUCUUUGCAGUCAUGGUGAGGCCUUCGAUGGAGAUAAAAAGCUGGACCUCCCACAUGCACUCUAGUGUAUAAUACUUUUCUCUGGUUUCUAUCGAUGAGACUGGAUGAAAUUGAUCGUCCAUAAAAGUUCAUCGGAUGUAUAUGUAACAAAAGUGACUUGUGAUCGACCCUUUUUUUUGUUUGACAACGCAAUGAAAAUAGCUGCAUUUUUGUUCUUCUUCACGCAUUCAUUUGUGGGUGGAUAUCGUGAAGGCACCGAAGAAUAGCUAUUAGGACUAUUUGAAUCUACUAUAAUUAGUGAAAUCUGUGUAAGGUUUGCUGUGCGACGCAGCUGAUUAUGCCUCGUUGACCAUGAAAGUGUCAAAUUUGUGUACAAAUUAAUUUCCCAAGGGAUGUUCUAGCGUUGUGUUCGUUACUUCAUUUCUGUAACUACGAUCUUCUGAAAAAUUAAGAUUCCGUGCCAUUCGACGACUCCUGAUUACUAGCUUUUCCUGUUUAUUGUCAGCAGAUUCUCGUAUCUUGCAUGUGGGGAAUCAGUCACCAAACAAAGGACGGUGAGAACAUUCAUGGGUGGUGACUCGACGGACAGGUGAGAAUAUCAUAGAAAAGAGACAUUUCUCCUUAACAGUGAUGUCAAAUGUCUACAUAUACAAACACCGACAUUAAAAUUAUAAAUUUUAUGUUUCUUUCUUUCCCGUGUCUGUAUUUUUUGGUUUCGUAACACCGAAAGAACAGCCUAAUCUACUCAACGAGCCUCAGGAUAAGCCAUUCGAUGAUUGAUAUUCCUCAUAUAUGCAUUGCAAGAUGAAAUUUGGCAUUGAUGUCGUGAAAUUUGUUGAGGUUGAAUUGAUACUCAAUGCCACAUGGAAUCCCACUCAGGAUUAUGCGUGUUGCUGAAGCUACAAGCUUGGCAACAUAAUGACCGUUGUCAGGUCAAGAACACAAGGCUAGAGAGUUGAAAAGGAACGGUUGGUAGGUCACCAUCGCAUCGUAAAUUGUGGGCAUUUGAUUUGGACACUUCAUACAUGUUGAGAAUACGCAAGGAUCAAUGUGCCUACAAUGGCCUCAGUUCACUCUUAUGGGUCGCUUCUAAUGCCAGGACAAGAUUCCCUUGCAACUUUUGAAAAUUCUAUCAUCGAGUCAAGAUGGGUCUGACUAUUCCGUGACAAAAUUGUUGAUUAGAGACUAGGUUUGAUGGAGUCUUUUGAAUAGUUUUGAUUUCAAAAUGUCACAAUUAUAAAAAAAAUAAUAGUAUUUCAAUCAAUUUAUUUUUAUAAAAAUAUUCCAACUUUAUUAUUGAACAUAUAAUUAUACUAAGUGAUGAAAUUUUAAUUUAAAUUGUAUCCAAGUGGUUUUAAAUUGAAUUUAUAUGAUUGUGUUUUUAUCUUAGAAUAAUUAAGUAUGCAAGUCAGUGUUAUUAAUCUUGGUUCAACUUAAUUUUUAAAUUAAAUUAGAUGAAAGUUAAUUGGAUCAAACUUGAUUGAUUUAGUUAAAUUUGAGUAAUAUGAUAUAAUUUUGAGAUGAUUUCAAAAUAAAAUAACAUUAUUAAACUUGGUCGAGCUUGAAUUUUAAAUUAAAUUAGAUAGAAAUUGAUUUGAUUAAGUUUGAUUUAUUUUUAAAAUAAAAUAUUAAAAUAUCAUGAUUUUAAAUUGAUUUAAGGUAAUUCAAAUUAACUUAUCUAAUGUUUUGCAGUGCUGGCUAAAAUGUUUUUUUGUCUAAAUUUUGAUUUUUUUAGUGUUUUUUGAUUCAUUUUAAUGUAUUAAUAUAAAAAAUAAUUUUUGGAUUAACUCUAGCUUAAUCAAAUCUUGGAUGUGAACUAAUUGAUCACAAUCACGAGCUAUGGUAAAAGGGAUCAGAUUUGCAAUUCUUUGCAGCGAAUAACAAUAGGAAACGACUAACCCAACCGAAUUGAAUGGAAGCUCCAGGAGCGUUUGAAGCAUUUUGCAUUCCGCUAAUGAAAGGUAAUUGAGUGUACCAAUGUCCUUAAUGCUUGGUGGAAGAAAACAAAUUGGAGUUCUACUAAAAUUUUGUGUCGUCAAAGAGUAUGGCAAUGUAAACGAGGUAAAUCUGGAAUUUUUCAUUUCUGAAAACCUGGAGGGAAAGAAUAGCUUCAAUUGAAGAGAUGUAAUGUAAGAUGUGCUUGCAACAAUUCUAUCACUUUGAUGCAACCUGUGUCGCUCUAAAUCCAUAUUCAAGCUCUCAAGUUUUGAGCAACCACACAAAACAAGCUCUUCAAGUGAAUUCAAUCUACUCAUUUCUUUUGGAAGUUCCACAAGACUUUUACAAUUCUUCAUAUUUAAAUCACGAGAAAAUGUAAAUCACCAAUAGGCUUCCAUGUGAUGCCAUAUUCUUUGACAUUUGGGUGAUUCUUGACGAGCAAUUUCCCUUCUCAUAUCUCUUAUGAGUUGAAGCAUCCAUAACUUUUUAUCAUUUUUUAUUUUGAUAAUUUCUACUAGACAUUUAUUAAUCAGAUUGUCAAUUCUAAAUAUUGCACCUAUACCGAGUCCAUUUAGUAGCCUAACUGCAUAAUUGUAAUCCAUUCUAUUAAAGAAACAAGCAAUAUCAAGAAAUAAGCUCUUCUAAUUAUCAUCAUCAAGAGAGUAGUAACUUGUUGCAAGAACCUUUUGAACUUGAAAAUUCGGAAUCAAUAACACGUAGGGCCAUUUGAUUUGAUUUGAUUCAUUCUGAUGUAUGGGGACCUUUUCCUGUUGCCAUAAAAGGAGGGUCUCGAUAUUAUGUCUCUUUUAUUGAUGAUCAUACUCGUUAUUGUUGGGUUUAUUUAAUGAAACAUCGUUCUGAAUUCUUUGAGAUAUAUGCAGCUUUUCGAGCUCUUAUCAAAACUCAAUAUUCUACUGUGAUCAAAUGCUUUAGGUGUGAUUUAGGUGGGGAAUACACUUCUAAUAAAUUUUGCCAAUUGCUUGCCCUAGAUGGAACCAUCCACCAAACUUCAUGUACAGAUACUCCUGAGCAAAAUGGUGUUGCUGAAAGAAAACAUAGGCAUAUUGUCGAAACUGCUCGUUCUCUCUUGUUGUCUGCUUUUGUUCCUAGUGAGUUUUGGGGAGAAGCUGUUCUUACUGCUGUAAGCUUGAUUAAUACAAUUUCAUCUUCUCAUAGUUCGGGUCUAUCUCCUUUUGAAAAGUUAUAUGGGUAUGUCCCUGAUUAUUCCUCAUUUAGAGUCUUUGGUUGUACUUGUUUCGUUCUUCGUCCUCAUGUAGAACGAAGUAAGCUAUCCUCUCGAUCCGCUAUUUGUGUCUUUUUGGGCUAUGGUGAAGGUAAAAAGGGUUAUCGUUGUUUUGAUCCAAUAACUCAGAAACUUUAUGUGUCUCGUCAUGUUGUCUUCCUUGAGCAUAUACCUUUCUUUUCUAUUCCAUCCACUACUCAUAACCUGACUAAAUCUGAUCUUAUUAGUAUAGAUCCAUUUUCUGAGGAUUCUGGUAAUGAUAGCUCUCCCCAUGUUCGAUCAAUUUGUACUCAUAACUCUGCAGGUACUGGUACUUUACUCUCUGGCACACCUGAAGCUCCAUUCUCAUCUACAGCCCCUCAAGCUUCAUCUGAGAUUGUGGAUCCACCUCCACGUCAGUCCAUCCGUAUUCGUAAGUCCACAAAACUACCAGAUUUUGCUUAUUCUUGUUAUUCUUCAUCAUUUACUUCCUUUUUAGCCUCUAUUCAUUGUCUUGUUGAGCCCUCUUCCUAUAAAGAGGCAAUUCUUGAUCCGCUUUGGCAGCAAGCUAUGGAUGAGGAACUUUCUGCAUUGCAUAAGACAGAUACUUGGGAUCUGGUUCCUCUACCUCCUGGUAAGAGUGUUGUUGGUUGUCGUUGGGUGUAUAAGAUCAAGACUAAUUCUGAUGGGUCUAUUGAGCGAUAUAAAGCUAGGUUGGUUGCCAAAGGAUACUCUCAACAGUAUGGUAUGGACUAUGAGGAGACAUUUGCUCCGGUUGCAAAAAUGACUACUAUUCGUACUCUUAUUGCCGUAGCUUCGAUUCGUCAAUGGCAUAUUUCUCAACUUGAUGUUAAAAAUGCCUUCUUGAAUGGAGAUCUUCAAGAAGAAGUUUAUAUGGCACCCCCUCCUGGUAUUUCACAUGACUCUGGAUAUGUUUGUAAGCUUAAGAAAGCAUUAUAUGGUCUCAAACAAGCACCCCGUGCUUGGUUUGAGAAAUUCUCUAUUGUGAUCUCGUCACUUGGCUUUGUUUCUAGCAGUCAUGAUUCUGCUCUUUUUAUUAAGUGCACUGAUGCAGGUCGUAUCAUUCUGUCUUUAUAUGUUGAUGACAUGAUUAUUACUGGUGAUGACAUUGAUGGUAUUUCAGUUUUGAAGACAGAGUUGGCUAGACGAUUUGAGAUGAAGGAUUUGGGUUAUCUUCGAUAUUUCCUGGGUAUUGAGGUAGCAUACUCACCUAGAGGUUACCUUCUUUCUCAGUCGAAAUAUGUUGCAGAUAUUCUUGAGCGGGCUAGACUUACUGAUAACAAGACUGUGGAUACUCCUAUUGAGGUUAACGCAAGGUACUCUUCUUCUGAUGGUUUACCUUUGAUAGAUCCUACUUUAUACCGCACUAUUGUUGGGAGUUUGGUAUAUCUCACCAUUACUCGUCCAGAUAUUGCAUAUGCUGUUCAUGUUGUUAGUCAGUUUGUUGCUUCUCCUACUACUGUUCAUUGGGCAGCUGUUCUUCGUAUUUUGCGAUAUCUUCGGGGUACAGUUUUUCAAAGUCUUUUACUUUCAUCCACCUCUUCCUUGGAGUUGCGUGCAUACUCUGAUGCUGAUCAUGGUAGUGAUCCCACAGAUCGCAAGUCUGUUACCGGGUUUUGUAUCUUUUUAGGUGAUUCUCUUAUUUCUUGGAAGAGCAAGAAACAAUCUAUUGUUUCUCAAUCAUCCACCGAAGCAGAAUAUCGUGCCAUGGCAUCUACUACCAAAGAGAUUAUUUGGUUACGUUAGUUAUACUUGCUGAUAUGAGAGUUUCCUUUUCCCAUCCUACUCCUAUGUUUUUGUGACAACCAGAGUUCUAUUAGAUUGCUCAAUCGGUUUUUCAUUGAGCGGACUAAGACAUUGAAAUCGAUUGUCAUCUUACUCGUCAUCAUCUCAAGCAUGGAACCAUUAUUUGCUUUUGUUCUUCUUCAUUGCAGAUUGCGAUUUCUUUACCAAGGCGCAUUCCAUAUCUCGUUUUCGUUUUCUAGUUGGCAAACUCUCGAUGCUUGUAGCUGCCGCAUCGUGAGUUUGACGGGAGAUGUUAAAUAAUAUUUAUGUUGUCUUAUUUAUUAAGGGUAGAAUAAUACUUUCAGUUUAACCUAUAUAUACUUUAUUUGUAAUUAGGUUAAAACUAUGCAUUCAUAAUAUACAGUUUAUUCAGAAUUCUAGCUUUCUUUUUGUGUUUGAUCUCAAUUAGUUUAACACCCAGAAGCCAUUUCGAGACUAGCAAAGAAAAAAAGUUGCAGGAUGAAUGUCGAUAAUUCAAGAUCGAUAGCACAACAAUUAGCUGAUGUAUUUAUAUAAAAUAAUUUAUUAAUAUUUUAUUUUUUAAAAAUUUAUUAAAAUAAUAAAGAAUAAAUUUUACAAAUUAAAAAGUUGAAUGAAAAUCAAAUUUAAAAAAAUAUAAUUUCAUAAAUUAUCUCAAAUAAAAUAAAUAAUGAUCAAAAUAAUAGAGAUCAAAUCUAAAAAAUAAAAAAAAAUAAAAAUAAAAAAAUUAAAAUAAUAAUAAUAAAUAUUUCAUAAAUUAUUUCAAAUAAAAUAAGUAAUAAUAAAAAAUAAUUUUUUAUAAUUUGAUAAAUAAAAAAUUUCAAUAAAAAAAUAAUAAGAAAAAAGCUAAUAAUUAUUAUAAAAAUGAGGACCAAAAUUAAUAUAAAAAUAAAAUUUUAAAAAAUAAAAUUGAAAAAUAAAUAUUUAAAAUAAAAUAUAUAUAGCAAUUAAAAGUUUGAAUAUCAAAUUUGAUAUAAUUAAUAAAUAAUAUAAUAUUUUUAAAUUUUUUAUAAUUUUUAAAAAAUUCUUUUCAUUUAAAUUUUUCAGGAAAAUAUACCCUAACUUGUUUGCUCAAACUUUUAAGACAACCCUGGAGUCUAUGUGGCAUAAUAUUAUAAAUAAAGUAUUUUAUUAUAUAGGAAUGCGAGGUAUAGACACCCGCAUCAUCCAACUCAUCCACUCUCGCUGUGCGCCUGCUCUGGCCGUAUCUCUAUCCUCUCGCAUCCAAAACUAGCAUCAACACCACGCACCAAUAAGAAAAAGGCACGUGGAGGAUCAUGACUCUGAAUCAGCUACUGGGUCGGCUACCGAGCGGUGUUCCGUUUUGAGCCAUUGAGUAUUGCUGUGGAGUGCUGAUGGCAAGAGGUUUAUUGAGUGGGAGUUCUAUAAGAAUGGAGGUUCGAUGGUGUGAUAAUAUAAUCAAAUUAAUUUUUAAUUAAAAUAAAAUAUAUUCAAAUUAUAGAAUCCUCUCAAUCAUAUUUUCAAGACAUGUUCACUUUUUUUUUUUUUUUUUUAUUACAAGUGAACUUGUCUGAAAAUGAUAUAUGUAGAAGCCAAAAAAAAUUACCAAUCAAAUUUUACCAUGUAUUAUUUUUUAUUUUAUUUUUAUAUAAAAAGAUGAAAUAAAACAAAUAAAAUAACAUAAAAAAUGAAUCAUUACAUAUAUUUUGGCCCAAUAGAAGAUUGACACAUAAAAUAAUAUAUUUAACAUAUCUUAUUAUAAAUUCAAGAUUUUAUAAAUAAAAAUCAAUUAAUAAAAUAAUAUUAUAUUACAGGGAAAAAAGAAAGAAAGUGAAAGUCCUGACAAAUAUUUAUAAAUAAAAAGAUCUCAUGCUUUCCAUGAUAAAGAAAGGAGGAAGACACAAAACUAUUUUCAUGUUAAGCUUUUCGAGAGAAAAUAGCAAACCUCUACUUUGGGUAUCUUGCAAGUUCCAGACCUCUAUUUGCAAAAGACCACCAAUAGCCAUUGCCAUCAUCGCCGUUAGCAUGUAAAGCACAAUAAUAAUUUCUAAAAAUACGAGAAGCUAUUUUCAUGUUAAGCUUUUCAGGAAAAAAAAACCAUUUCAAAAGCUAUCCAGCUUUUUUAAUGUUACGGUUGAAAUCUAAAAAAAGCAAACCUCUACUUUGGGUAUAGACCUCUCUUAGCAAAAUACCACCAAUCGAUAUUGCCAUCAUCGACGUUAGCAUGUAAACCACAAUAAUAAUUUCUAAAAAUACGAGAAGCUAUUUCUACUUUGGCAGCGUGUGCAUCAUCGCUACUGUUGUGGGCAUUGAUAACUUCAUCCUUUGAUUGGAUAAAAUCAUCAUCCUUUCCUUCCUCUUCAUGCAACCAUCGUAUACCAAUCCUCCUUACUUGAAUAGUUGGACUAUGUGGACGCACUGAAAUACUCACGUCAUCACCAUUAUCAAAUGUAGGAUCGUUGACCAUUAAUUUGAAGUGGAAUAGCGAUUGGUAUUCAGUGCUUGACGACGCCAAGAAGAAGGCUUGACGACGCCAGGAUCGACCACUGGUAUUGUUUCUGAUUUCAAGAUCAACGUCACUAUGGCGGUACCCUGACGUCACGCUAUACCUUGCAAACAGAUUAAAGCCACAUAUCCGAGGCGCAGGAGGUAAGGAUAUUUUAAAUGAAAAGUUAUCUACAAACUCAUUCUGAAUUACCCAUUUAUCCUCUUCUUCCUCCUCAUAAAACCCCCUAAACUCAUCAAAAUCAAAUACAUAUACGUAGAGUUCGCCAUGAUCAAAUCUUAUCUGCACCACCAAAACAAUGUCUAUAAAAUGAGCAAAAGAAAAGUAUUCAAAUGUAGAUUUCAAAGACAAUAAAAUGGGCCAGGGAGGACCUGAAAUCUGGAUGGCUGUAUUUGAGCAUUAACAACCGUUUCUAUUAUUCUGAACAUGUGAGAGUCAAACUUUUGGAUUAAUUCUUGCUUUAUCCCAUCUUGGAACUCGACUAAGUGAUCACAACCAUAUGCUCCAAUCCAACGGUGUCGAUUUGCAAGGCUUUGCAGUGAAUAGCAAUAGGACACAUCUAACAAAUCCAAAUGGGAUGGAAGCUCUGGGAGUGCCUCGAGCAUUUUGCAAUUUCCUAAAUAUAGGUCAUGGAGCAUACCAAGAUCCUUGAUGCUUUCAGGAAGAAAACGAAUUGAAGUUCCACUUAAAUCAAGUGUCGUCAAGGAGCAUGGCAGUGCAAACAAGGUAAAUCUCAACAUUUUCCUCGCUGAAAACCUAGAGGGAAAGAAUAGCUUCAAUGGAAGAGAUGUAAUGUACGAUGCACUUGCAACAAUUCCAUCACUUUGAAGCAAGCUGCGCCCCUGAUGAUACUCUAACUCCAUAUUCAAGAUGUCAAGAUUUGAGCAACCAUUAAAACCAGCUCUUGAAGUGAAUUCAAUCUACUCAUUUCUUCUGGAAGCUCCAUAAGACUUGAACAAUUUUUAGAUUUAAGAUCAACAGUCUUUGUAAAUCACCAAUAGAAUUGUGAAUUUGAACCAAACGAAUGCAGUCUUCAAGUAUUAGCUUUUCAAGGGCUAGGAGACCCGAGAAGUCAGGGGUUCUAAUGAGAUCACGAGAGUGACGGAGAUCAAGAACUUUCAAUUUUGGAAGAAACUGUGACAAUACAUGAAUUUAGUUGUUAUCAAUUGAAAACAGAGAGAUAGCUAUAUAAACUGUGACAAUACAUGAAUUUAGUUUAUACAUACCAGUUUGCCUUUCCAAGCAUCAACUAGACAACUUCUGGAUAGAUCAAGAACCACAAGCUUCUCCAAGCAUACGUGAUUUGGUAUGGAUCUCCAAGACAAUCCAUGCCAACAUAACCAUAUCAAAUUCUUAGGAAAGUGCUCCAAACUUCCAUGAAAAUUAGUGUAGUUUAGUUGGAGAAAUUUUACAUCUGUCAUCUUUCUAAAAGCAUCAGCAGGAAACAAAUUUUUUUGUAAUUUUCCCCUAUCAGAAAAAUCAGAAAGCCAUUGUUGAAAGAAGUUAAGCC